ACUCACUCCGAUCUCCCAGCGUCUCACUCCACUCUCCUCUCCCACCACCUCAACCAGAUGAAACAAAUGGGUCAAAUUGUUAUGUUAAACAACAAUUACUCGAAACCCGACCCCAAUGCCCCACCCAAGCGUGGACGUGGACGUCCACCUAAGCCCAAGGUUCCUCUUCCACCUGGCGUCGUCGUCUCUUCUCCCAGACCUCGUGGUCGUCCGCCUAAGCCGAAGGACUUAUUGGCUCCCCCCAAGCCCAAACCCGUCAGCACCGGAAGGCCACGUGGACGCCCCCCUAAGAAGGCUAAGACUGGUACCGCCACCGCUCCUCCACCUCCUCCCGGUGUGAAGCGAGGCCGCGGUCGACCUCCGAAAGUGUUACCGUCGGUGGGUUUUCAGUAAAGUAGGCAAGUUAAUAAAUCAAAGAGAAUGGAGAAAAUGACUCAUUCCGUCACUACUCCUACCCCUGCCGCGUUAGGUGUAAUAAUUUUUUAACCUUAAUUUUUUAGGUGUCGUUUAGUUAUCUGCUAAUUGACGUUUUAGCUUUUUCGUUUUUUUCUUUUAGUUAACUUUGGGUGGAGUACUGUAAUGAAUUUAGUGUAGGGUUUAGAUUUUACUUGAGUUAAGACUCUUUGUAAUUUCCAUGUAAUUGUUAAGGAUUUUUUUUAAUGAAUUACAGUAUGAUAUUUUAAUGGUGUGACUUACAUGCGACCCGCAAACCCUUAAUUUUGUAAACCUAUUACUGUUUCAACCGGUGAUGGCUCUAAACUUUAAUUUGUUGUGGGAAUUAUGGCAGGUUUGAUGUGACUUUGUCUUUUUUUCUUCCCCCGCUUUUUUUUUUCAAUUCUUAGUUUUUUGCCAUAAUUGGUUGGUUUCAUUUUUUAUAUCUAAUUGUUAAUUAUUUUCCUGGUAAAUGUUUUGAAUUAUAUUUUAUUUUUUAUUUUAAUUGAAGAUAAAUUAAAAGUAAUUUAUUUUAUUAUAUAAAAGAAUUUAUUACCACCUCUCUAGCAUUAUUCUCAAUCAUUAGACAUUAUGUAGGAACUAUGUAUGACCUUCCAAUACUCAGAUUAGUACUCUAUCUAAAAAAAGAAAUUGUUAGAAUAAUAUCAUCCGGAAAAAAAAAUGUCAAAUAAUUGUUAUAAUAAGAAAAAAUUUAUCACCUAUUCACAGUAGAAAUACAUAUGAUUGAUUACUAAUUGAUGCCAAGAAUGGCAUCCAGUAAGGCGCCCAAGACUGCAGUAAUAUGAUGCAUCUGCCUAUGUCCACGGCAGAAGGAUUUAUCGUCGGAAAAAGUUUGCGAUACAACAUAGCUAACACUAUGGAGCCCCAACUAUACAAAUGGAAGUUAUGCAAAUCAGAUAAUAAGAGCAAGUACAUCAAGUGGACCUUGUUAUUAUUUGCAUUUGACAUGAGUACACCUUCUAAAAUGUGUAUAAUGUAAGCUCGAAUGGUGUAACGACCCAAAAUCCGUAGGCAUCGGAAAAGUAUAUUAUCGGGCCUCCGUCUUAGUGAAACGGGUUCGUAAAUAAUUAUUAGGAAUAGUUAUAAGUAUAGUAGUGUGUUUAAUUAGGUUUUAAUUAAGUGAAAUUAGCUCAAUUUAGAGUAAUUAAUAAAAAUAACUAAAUUGAAUAAGGGGUAAAAAUUGAAUUAUAGAGUAAUAGAAAAUAAAAAGGACUAAAAUAAAAAUUAAGCCAUUUAUAUGAAAUGAGGCGGCAUAUAUGCAUUAAAAUCUAAGAUUUUUGUUUUAACUAUAUAUAUUAUAUUAUGUUAUGUUAAUUUAUAGUAUUAUUAAUUUAUAGCUUAAAUAAGUAAAUAAACCAAAACAUGCUAAUUAUAUGGUUAUAAUUAAAUAUAUGUGUAAAAUACAAGAAAAUAUACUUGUAAUAUAUUUGUAUAUAUUUUUUAAAUAAUAAGUAAAAUAUAUCUAUUGAUUAUUAUUAUUUAAUUGAUAUUAUAUGAGUGAAUAAAUUAAUAAGUUGACAAAUGUAGGAUAAUGAGAUGAUACAUGUGUAAUAAUAUGUAUAAUACAAUUGUAAUAAAAAAAGUAUUAUUUAUUAAGUAGAUACUUAUUAUUUAUUAUUAAUAAGUUAAAGAUAUUUAUUAGAUAAAUAAUUAAAAUUAUAAGAUUUUUGGUAUGAAAAACAAAUUAGAUAAUGACAUUUGUAAUAAUAUGAAUAUAUACAUUUGUAUUAUAAUUAUGUAUUUACUUAAAUUUUAGGUUAAAGAUAUUUACUAAUUAAAUAUUGAUAUUAUAAGAUUUUUAUUUGUUAAAUAAAUAAAAGAAAGACAAAUAAAUGGUAAUAAUAGUGUACAAAUGUACAAAGAUACAUGUAUACAAAUGUAUUAAUUAUAUUUUUAUUAAAUAGAUAUUUUAUAAUUAUUAAAUUAAUAAUAAUCUAUAUUAGUUAAAUGAUAAAAUAAUACAAAGAAAAUAAAAUAUAAAAGAAAAACAAAGAAACCAAGGAAACAGAACAGAAGUAUUUCGAAACAGGAGAAGAAAAAGAAAGAAAGAAAAGAAAAAGGAAAAACUAGGGUUUUAAGGUUUAAAGCUUUGAUUAGUAAGUCAAUUAAGCCAUUUUUACUUAAUUUUGAUGUUUUAGAAGCUUUAGAACAAAAUUUUGAAGAAAUUAAGUUGAGGUUUUGGAAGUGUCUAGGUUUUGAACAUAGUUCAUGUUGAAUAAAAUAAUGAAUUAGGGAUUUAAUUGAAUGAAUUUUAAGGUAGAAUUGAUUAAAGGAUUAAAUUGUAAACUAAGCUAUAAGUUUUGAGUUUUAGGGAUUAAAUUGAAAUAAAUUCGAAAUUAUGAAAAUAUGAUAAAAAUUAAAUAGUUAAAUGUGAGUUUGGCAAGAAAUUGAGUAGCAAAAAUGUAUGAAUUGAGAAAGAAAAAUAUAUAGGUUUAGUUAAGAUUAAAUUGGAAUUAAAGUAAAAGUUAGAUAAAAAUUUCAACAAUUAAAUUGUGUUGUGUUAAUGAUUGUGAAAUUAUUUUAAUUGUUUGUAGCUAAUAUCGAGCCUCAAUCAUCGGCCCAAAAAGGAAAAGAAAAGAUCGUCGAAGAUUAAAUCCGAAGAGAAUUCUGGUUUGUAUCACUAUAACUCAAGCUUUAUAAUUAAUAUGUGUUUAAUUUAAUACGUAUGUGUGGUAAGUAUUUUAAGGUAAGUAUUUAAUAAACUGAUAAAAUUUGUGAUUCGGUAUUAAAAUUGAGAUUGAUACUGAACUGAAUUAUGGGAUACUGAAUAUUGUUUUGAAUACCGAAUUGAACUGUGAAAUUACUAAUUAUUGUUAUGUAUACUGCAUCGAACCGUAAAAUUUCUGAAGAAGCGAAUUACUGUAUUACUGUGAAAAAUUGAUCGAAAUAAUAAAUUAUAAUUAAUAUUAAAUCGAAAUGGAAAGUUGUACUAAAAAAAUGAUUUAAAUACCCUAUUAACUAGUCGGACUAGUCGAAUAUAGUUGGCAUGCCAUAGGAUAUGGAAGAGUACGGGUUUUUGUCGGCUUACUGAUCAGGCACUUAUGUGCCGAAUACUGUUACUGUUACCGAUUCGACACUUUGUGUGUCGAAUACUGUUAUUGUUACUAUUACAGAUUCAGCACUUUGUGUGUUGAAUACUAUUACUAUUACUUUUAUCAUUUUUUAUUACUGUUUAGGUACUGUGUACCGUUAAGGCACAAUGUGCCGUACUGGUGUGUUGGUUGGAAUCCGUGUAUCCGCCGAAUCCGAGUUAAGUUAAUAGGGACAAAUGAAAUAAAUUUACUAAUAAAACUAAAUUUGAAUGAUAUGGCAUAUGUGAAAAGGUGAGAAUUGAAAUAAAGAAAUAAGAAUGGUAUAUAUGUAAUCAAAUGAUAACAUAAAAAAAAAUUAAUUGUUCAUUAAGUGAUGAUAAUUGUAAUGUAAAAGUAUGUGUGUGAUUUAAUGUAUUUAAUUAUAAUUUGAAUUAUAGUGAUACCACUGAGUGUAUGCAUACUUAGCGUAUGGUUGUUUCCGUGCGCAGGUUGUAGAAGUUAAGUAUUGAACCAGAAUCCAAAGCCAGACCCGACUUCAGUAAACUUUUGGUGAUGUAUAUUUUCUUUUGGUGAUGUGGCAUGUAUAUAGGAUGUGUAUAAAGGUUAUUAUGUUUUGAAUAUAAAUGGUUAAAAACAUUAGUAAUACAAGUCUAAGAAUUAUAAUGAAAGAAGUUUAUCCAUUUCAAUUUAAUUAGUAUAUAGAUAAAUUUAAUUUGAUAUUAAUUGAUUGAGUUUGAUUAGAAAGUAUUUAGAAUAGAAAAUGAGUAUGUGAAAUGAGUUGGUUGAAUUGAUUAUGUUUGAAAUGGAUACGGUUUUAAUUGCAGGGGGUUUUAUGUAAAAAUAAGCAGAAAUGCUGUCGAAAUUUAUAAAAAAAAAAUUCGGAGUACUUGAAUGAGUUCCGUUUCAUUUUUAAUAUAUGUUUUAGACUUCGAGAGUUCAUUAUAAGGACUUAGUUAUUAAAUUAUACCAUGAAUGUUAUUUUAUUUGUGAGUUAUUCGUAAGUUGUCUGAUAUGUACGGUAGUGCCUAGUAACUCAAUUCCGGCGACGGUUCGGGGUUAGGGGGUGUUACAAAUGGCAUACAUCAUCUCCUAUUCAGUGGCAGUACUCGGUAAAUGCUCAAAAUUGAACUUUAGCCAUGAAAACCCCAAACCUGUAAAUUUCCCCUCACUUAGCAAGAGUCCAAGUAAGUGCAUUCCCAUCGAUAGGGAGCCUGAGUUGUAGUGCAAUAUCCUGCAGAGUGAUUGUGCACUCCUCACACGACAAAUGAAAUGUGUGGGUCUCUAGGCGUCAUCGCUUCACCAAAGUGGAUAUUAAAUCGUAUCUCAAAUCAAAGGUCUGGAUCAAUGUUAUUGAUCCUCAUCUGGCAAAUAGCCUACACCAUUCACACGACCCCUCAAUGCGCGGUAGUAGCCCUGAACAUUAUUAAAUUAGUGAAAUAGUUAAUAUAACCUAAUUUAAUUCCGUAAAUGACGUAACAAAUAACAAUUUUAUUACCAUCUCAUUAAUAUUUUUUUUAUAUGUGACCAUCAUUAUUAAUCAAAGAACUCAUUGGUUGUAAAUCUGCAAUUAAAAAAAAAGAAUUCAAUUAGUUUGUUGCAAAAAAAAACACAGUACGACAGGUAAAUAAUUUGGAUUUGAGCAUUUUUAUCUCAAUAAUAGGAGAAACAAUAUUAAAAUACAAAAGUGAGAUCCUAACAAUUGGUUGACAAUAACAAAUUUCAAUAAUUAAUUUCUAGAGGCUAUAUUUUCAAUAAUUAUCAAAACACAUUAAUAUUAUACAUACAGUAAAUAAUAAGAUAAAUAUAGUACAAUAAUAAUAUAAUUACAAUAAAAAAUCUCAUAAAUUCCAAUAUUUUACCUAUAUAAAAAAAUUUAUGUUAGUUUACAAUAAUAAUAUAAUUAAAAUAAAUAUAAAAAGCAUACUAAUUAACAAAAAAUAAAAUAGAAACAUAAAUGUUUAGCUUCUUUCAAACAACCUAUAGAAUUAUAUAAAAAUAAAUUUAAUCAACAUUUCAAUAAAUCAAAAAAAAAUUCAAAUAAAUCAAAAACAAAUUAAAUUACAUUACAAAAAAAUCACAAUAAACAGUAAACUAAACCCAAACAAUUUGUAGCCUAAUAAUAAAUUACUAACAAAAUAACUUUAAAAAUAAUUUUAAAAAAUUUAGAUUCAUAAAAAAUCAAAAUAAACACUAAACUAAACACAAACAAUUUAUAACAUAAUCAUAAAUUACUAACAAAAUAACUUUAAAUAAUUUUAAAAAAAAUUACAUUCAUAAAAAAAUUACAAUAAAACACUAAAUUAAACACAAACAAUUUAUAAUAAUUACUAACUAAAAAACUUUACAAUAAAUAGAAAAUAACAUAAAAAAAACUAAUCCCUUCUAUUUAAAAAAAUUACUAAUCCCUUCAAAUUUUAAAAAAUAAUUACUAACAAACAUACCUUCUUUUUUCUUUCUUUCUUCUCCUUCCUUUCCUUUCCUUUUCGUUCUUUCUUUUUUUUCUCUGCCUACAGGAUUUUCUCUACAAUGGGGACCAUGGUUAUAAGGUCUCGUAUCUGCUCCUGCCUCUUUCUUUCCGUGCUUCAACGGGACUUAACACUAUAUUUGCAAUGCACUGUGCAGCUAACGGAGGGGACAUGUCGCUAGCACCAGUGUCACCUGUCAAGGAGGUGUGACUGGUGUCAACAGUGCAUGUGGCACUACCUCCUUUUUUUCUUGUGAUACCGCCUACUAAUAAGGUACCACUAAUAUAAAAUUAUUAUUAUUUUUUAAACAUUAAACAAAUAAUUUUCAGAAAAAAAAAAGUGGUGUGGCUUAUACAUCACCUGCCACUGCCUUUAAUAUAUCAUUUUGAUAUAUAAUUUGAUUGUUAGUAUACAAUUUUUUUAUAUAUAUUAUUACUGUAAAAAAGCCAAAAGGGAGUCCCACAAAAUUUUGCAGAGUUCACAAACGCUAUAAGCAAUGGCAACACAAAAUUUUCUCGAACAUUUCUCAUAAGUUAUAAAAAAUAUGAAUUUCAAUCAACUACAUUUUCUAUUCUUUAUUGAAAUUCAAUCAAUCUGCUUCAAUUUUUUUUCAAAACAAUGUCUUCAUGUUUUAAAUAGGGAGAGUGCAACUUGAAAAUAAAUUUUGAUUUAGGAGAGUUAAUUCGGUAAAAAUGACUAAAUCGCGUAAUGCAUAAAAGUUGAGUUCUAUUGUUUAAAGGUAUUAAAUAGCUAUGGUUUAUUAAUAUAGAAGUACUUAUUAUGUUAUUUAACCAUAAUUUAAGUUAGUGGACAUUUAUGUCCAUGAAUUAUAUGAUAUAUUAAGUUUAAUUAUAAGGUUAUAAUGGUAAUUUAUGUAUUAAGUUAAUAAUAAAAAAAACAAAAAUUAAAAUCAUGUUAUUCUAUCCAUGUUCUUGUCAAAAUUUGAGAAAUAAAUAAGGGUUUUUGAGCUUCCAUGGUUUCGACAACUUCAAUUUUGGAUUAAGGUACGAUUUUAGCUCGGUUUUUAAUGAUUUCUACAUUUUUGAGCUCGUUGCAGCUUAAUCUAGCUAGCCCGUACCUUCGUUUUUAAAACUUUUAUAGAUUUUGAGAUAUUCCAUCGUUGAAUACUUGACUAUUUUGAAGUUUCUUGUUAGAUUAUUAAUGGUUGUUACUAGUUAUAGAAGUUUUAUAAAGUGAUUUUUGACAAAAAUGAGAAUUAGGAAUUAAAUUGUGAAAGAUUGAAAAGUUGUGGUUGAAAAUGUGAAUAAAAUAAAAAUAUGGGCUAAUAUGAAUCCCAUUGAAAUUUGGCUACCUUGGGUUAGGGCUUAAUUGUGCAAUUUUGCAUUUUUAUGUGUUAAGGACUAAAUUGCAAAGUAGUAAAAAAUUUAGGAGUAAAAUUGUAAUUUAGCCAAAAUGAAUGUUUUAGGGUAAAUUGAAUUGAAUGAAAGUUUGAAUGAGUUAAUUUGAUAUCAUAUAGAUUAAGAUAAGCAAAUACCGGAAUUAGAUCAGGGUAAACGAAAGAUAGAUGAUUAGACGACGAUUGGACGAUGAUUAUACGAGCAAAUACGAGGUAAGUUCGUAUAAUUAGAAUUGUACUUUUCUAUACUUGUGAUUAUUGAAAAGAAUGUGUAUAAUUGAGAUAUUUAAAGUAUAAAUGUCUUAUUGUUAUAUUGUAUGUGUUACCGAACCCCGUUUAAACUAUUAGAAUUCAUUGGAUACGAGUGACAUGUUACUGGAAUUACUAUAAUGGUCGAGCUCCUGCAUUUGUUGCGGACUCACCAUAGCUCGUAAGAGCUUACUAUUUCAGCUCAUUGGAACUUACCGAUUCAGCUCGAAAGAGCUUACUGUUCAGCUCAAUAGAGCUUACCGUUUUUAGCCCGAUAGAGCUUACUGUUUAUCAGCUCAGUAAGAGCUUACCAACCAUGACUUUAAAAGAGCAUGUAUGAUGAUGAAUUUUCGGAUUACUGAAAUUAUUCACUCGAUUAUCCUUUGAAGUUCUAAUAGGUUCAACGGGCCUAAAUAAUGUUAUACAAACAUAUUACGGUUUAUAAUUGUUACUAAAGUUAUAUAUAUGAUGUAUGAGUUUGGAAGGAUAUGAAGUAUUAUUUUAGUAAAUAGUUUAUGUAUUAGUUAAAUAACUAACAUGUGAUGAUUAUGUGUGAUUAGGUGAUGGUUAAAUUGAAUUGUUGGCAUUUUAUUAUUGCUUUGAUUAUAUUUAAAUGAUAAGUUUAAUUCUAAAUUAUACGGGCUUACUAAGCUAUAAGCUUACUCUGUUUCAUUUUCUACGUUUUAUAGGGUUCGUUAGCUCGCUCGUUUCGGACAAGUCGGAGUUGCACAUCACACUAUCCAAUUUCUGAUUGGUAUUUUGAACUUACGAACUUAUGUAAAUAUGGCAUGUAUAGGCUAGUUUAAUAGUAAUAGUUAUGUUUUGGUAUUAUAGUUUGAGAAUGAAUUUGUAUAUAAGUUAAGCCAUAUGAUUUGGCUUAUUUUGGUAUCAUAUUUGAAUUACAUAUAUGUGCUUAAUGAUGGUAUAUUUUGGUAUGGUAAUAUUUGCAUGAAAUUAUGCAAAAGAAGUCUUGAUAUAUAGAUGUUAAAUGAAUGAGUUGUAUAUGUGGUUAUAUAGGUAUUUUGUUAUGUAAAUGGUAAGUUUGGAUAUAGCUUAUAAUGUGUAUUGAAUUCAUCAAUUUGGUUGCCAAUUGAGUUGCAUAAAUGUGGUCAAAUAUGAAUGUAAAUGCUUAUGUUUUAGGGUGGCAAGUUUGGCUUUUCAAAUGGCCUAUUUUUGUCCACACGGGCAUGGACGACGGCGUAUGUCUCAACCGUGUGCGACACACGGUUAUGUUACACGGCCGUGUGUCCCCUGGGGUAUGUUACGAAUUAAAGUCAGUACACCCUACAGUUUUGACACGGCCUAAACACACGGGCGUGUCUAUCGGUCGUGUGUGGCACACGGGCUGGCACACGGGUGUGUGGUUAGCCGUGUGACCCAAGUCAGUAGCCUCCCUAAUUUUCGCACGUCCUGGCACACGGGCUUGUCUUGUGGCUGUGUUGACAAGUCAGUAUGUAUGCCUUGUUCUGCCAUGACUUAGACACACGGGCGUGUUUAGUGUCGUGUGAGGCACACGGCCUGUUCACACGGGUGUGUGUCACUUGAAAAGUUGAAAAUUUCCUAAGCUUCUGAAAUUUUAUGUGUCCCAAAUGCAUGAUUAAGACUUUUUAUGAUUGAUUUAAGUACAUUUUGAAUGUGAAUAAAUGAUGGUUACUGAAAUGAGAUGAAAUUUGUUAAAUGAAUAUUUUGAAUUGAGUUACAGGUCAAGUAAUGCCUUUUAACCUAUUUCGGCGACGGUUACGGGUUAGAGGUGUUACAUCGUGUGAGGCAUAUGGCCUGUUCACAUGGGCAUGUAAAUUUUGUAACUUAAAAAAAUUGUUAAGUUUUAAAAUUUUUUGAAUGUGCUCGGUUUUGUCCCGACCCCUUCCUAAUGCAAGCUUAAGGUCUCGAUGACCUAGGAAAUGGACUUUAUGUUGAUAUUUUAUUAUGAUAUGAUGACGUAUGACUUUUAUAUUGUGAAAUGAAUUCGUAACGUUCCAAUUGCUUGGUAAUGCCUCUUAACCCUAGUCCGGCGACGGAUACAGGUUAGGGGUGUUACAUUUUAUUAGUAUCAGAGCUACGGUUUAGUCAAUUCUAGAACUAAAGUAGCACGUGAGAGUCUAGCUAUACAUGCCAUAUAUAUGAAUUGCGAUAGUGUGAUGAUUCCUGGCAGUUAAAAUUUGUUUUUCAUAUAGCAAAUAGAUCCCGAACGAGCGAUAGCUGAUGAUGUUGAAAGCAAUGCACCUGCUCCCGCUCAAGGAGCAGUGCUGGUUGAAUCUAGGCCGAUAUCUAGUAGUUGGGGAGGAGAGGCUAAGCAAGCCUUCUUCCAGAUAAUGAACGAGUGGUUUAUGGAAUUCGUUCGAACGAAUCCGGCUACUUAACAGCCUCCACCCCCACCUGUUCCUCAACAAGUCUCGAUUGUACCACAAGUAAUAUAUCCGAUUCGAUUGAGGAAGCCCCCUGUUGAUAAGAUUCGUAAACAUGGAGCUGAAGAGUUUCGGGCUACAGUUGAUGAUGAUGCUGAAAGAGCUGAGUUCUGGCUUGAGAACACUAUCUGAGUAUUCGAUGAAUUCUCCUGUACUCUAGAUGAAUGUAUUAAAUGUGUAGUAUCCUUACUUAGAGAUAAUACAUAUCAAUGGUGGAAAACAUUGACAUCGGUGGUGCCUAGGGAACGGGUUGCCUGGGUAUUCUUUCAGGCUGAGUUCCGGAAAAAGUAUAUAAGCCAGAGACUCCUCAAUCAGGAACAUAAAGAGUUUCUAAAAUUGAAACAAGGCCGAAUGAUAGUUACUGAGUAUGAAAGGGAAUUUGUACGUUUGAGCAAGUAUGUUCGGGAAUACGUGUCUACUGAAGAGAUCAUGUGUAAAAGAUUUGUUGAAGGAUUGAACGAAGAUCGAAAGCUAUUAGUCGGGAUACUUGAAUUGAAAAAAAUUGUAGUAUUGGUUGAGAGGGCUUGUAAAGCCGAGGAUCUCAGCAAAGAAAAGGGAAAAGUCGAUUUAGAGGCGAGAGAUUCGAGAAAGUGAUCAAUGAAUAAAUCUUAUCAUUCAUCGUCAAAGAAAUCUAGAGACUAUUUUAAUCGAUCGACAGCUUCAAAGGAAAACAAAAUAGAGAUCGGGGAAAGCAAUAUACCAACCCUAAAACUCAAACCACAUCAGUAUCGAGUGUUGGUAACGCAAAAGAUGUUAAGCCUGAGUGUCAACAAUUUGGAAGACAACAUUUUAGAGAUUGUUGGGGGAAAAGUAAUAAUAGAGCUUGUUACAGUUGUGGUUCACGAGAUCACUUUAUAAAAGAUUGCCUAGAGUUAGUUGAAAAAGAUAAUGCUCAGAGUACGAGGCUGAUUAACACUGCAGUUGAGGUAUACCUCUUAGAAACACGAGAAAUGUGAUUUUGGUGUGUUACUUAGGGUAGAAGUAAAGUUGUCAGGGUUGGCACUUGGAGCCUAGGAGUGUUUCGGAGGAAUGUUAGCCUACCGGCUAAGCAUUUGGUGCCCAGGUUUGUUCUCGAUUGGUUUAGCUCGUUUCAACAUUUUAAUGUGUUAUGGAUGGUUAAUCGCUUAUCCGUAUUCGUUUUAUCGUUCAUUGGGCAAAUUUCUAAGCAUAGAUGACUUGUUAUGGAACUAUAGAAUGUUUGUAUGAUUUUUUCGAUAUUAUUGUGACUUGAUAUCGAAUGGUAUCAUGGGAUUGAGUCGACUAUGAAACUCGUACAUAUAUAUAAACUCACCUAUUGAAUGAUUGUGGAUGACAGGAUUAUUGAUUAUUAGUAUUGCUAAUGUAUAAUUGAUCUGUUUAUAAGGUAAGUUUUAUCUUUUCGACUGUUGAAAAUUUUAAGCUCAAUUGAAGCUUACUCGUGUCAUUUUCUUGUUUCUUUGUAGAUAACAUUUGGUAAAAUCAGACGAUCAGAUCAAUAUGAGGAUCACAUUAUCUAGAUAUCUAUCGGUAGAUUUUGAAUGUUUACCUUUGGAUUAUAUAACAUGUAAUAGGUGUGUUUUGAUAUAUGUUUUGAAUGCUUAUUUCUAAUGGUAUAAGUAUGAGAUUGAUGUAAAAAUGUUUAAAUUUGGUUUUAGUUUGUUUUUGUGUGUGCCUAUGACAUGGCAUGAAUAUGUCUUUGUGAACUUAUAUUUGGCUAUUUGAUUCAAGUUUCAUAAUGAUAUGGUAUUGAAACAUGGCAAGUUUGAUGUAUGCUUUAGGUUUGGUGUAUGAACUUGAAUGCCAUUUAGUAUAUGAAAUAUGUAUUUGUUUUGGAUAUUGAAUUGUUGUGUCAACUAGGACACAUUGGUUAGGCAUUUAGGUUGGAUGAUUUUGACAUGUUUCGGGCUCAUUUAAUUGUGUUUCGAAUAGGUUUAAUUAAUGGCAAAUGAGUUGCUUGAUGUUGAAGUAAGCAUGUUUUUUUGACAUCCCAAAAAUUCAAGUAUUUUGUUUCUUAGAUUUUGUGAUAAGUUAAUAUCUACUUUAGUGGUGAAGGGUCUCAAAUUUGUGAUUGAGGUCUUGGGUUCAAAUCUUAGCAUAAGCAAAAAGGGUUUAGUUUUUGCUAUUUCCAGUUAAGGGUGUAAGGGGUGGAAUUAGAUUGAAAAUCAAAUACUAGGUAGUUAUCAGGUUGUGGGAUAGAGUUGUUGGGAUUAUCUUAAUUUCUUUUAUUUUUAUUUUUUUUAGUAAUCCUAAAAAUGAACUUCAUUUUUCCCACGUUCUUCUUCCUUUUUGGUUCUUCUUUUUUUUUCUUGUUCCUUCACUUAUCAUUUUUGUUUUCCUUCCUCUGCGAACAAAAUUCAAGAUUAAUUUUGGGAUUCUCCUUGUGGCCUUCCGUUUAAUCAGUUUCGCUUGGAGAUCUUUGUCAUUCAAAUUCAUUUUACUGUUGAUUUGAGGAGAUUUGCGAGCCAAUGAGUGUUCCUUUGGCGGAGUGAUUGCAAUGGGUUGUUUUUCUCGAGGGUACUAGGAUUCUCAUUCUUUGAAUUACUUCAAAAUCAAACUAGGCGUGUAAUGAGAAACUCGAAAAAUAGUGAACGAUGAAAGCCAAAAUUGGGCACUGUUGAUGGCACACGGCAGUGUGUGGUACAUGGUCAUGUGACAAAUAGUGUGUUGAGCCGUGUAUGAUGCACAGUCUAGGUUAUUUUGGGUUGUGUGGACCACACGGGCGUGUGUAGUCAUGUGACAAGCCGUGUGGGCCACACGAGUUAGGCUAUUUGGGUCAUGUGGGCCCAAAAUUAAGAAUUUUUACUUAUGGUCGUGCACAUUAUCCCGAUCAACUAUGGGCCUUCUAUGGGGUCGGUAUGUUAUUAAAUAUUCCAUGAAACAUGAAAUUUGGUUAUCUGAUUAUGAAUUUUGAUAUAUGUAAUUGUAUCUAAGUUGUCAUAUGAUAAUUCAAAUUGAGUGUAACAUUAAAUACGUACAUGAUUUGCAAAUGAAAUGUUAUGCAUGAUUUCUGUUUUGUCUAUAUUUAAUUCUAGGAUGGGGUAUAUUAUGUAGAGGAAGUGUUCUAUGAGCGGCAAUUUCUCACCCAUUAUAAUGGCAGCAUAGCUGCAAAUAUUCUAAAAGGUGUCAUAUCGACACUACGUAGUGUGUAGAGCUGGAUGGGUCUUUAAUACUCUAUAUGGUGUGUUGGGAUGGUUGGAGAUAGUGUGUAGCAGGUGGGGGUAGGAAUGUAAAUUUGCAUAUGGUUCUGAUUUUGUAUGAUAUAUUCAUCGGUAUCUGCCCUGCUAUAUUAUUAAUCUGAAAUUAAAUUUGUGAUUUUGUUUUCUAGUAAGUUACACAUUAAGUUUGAAGCUCACUCUCGGUUUAUCUGAAAAUUUUAGGUAAUCUUCAGAUUUAGGCUGGUCGGUGCGACGGGAGCUCAGUUAUAUUCGUAUUCUGUUUCUUAACUAUUUUAAAUUGGUUUAAGUGUAUUGUAAACUUUGGAUUGUUUGGAUAUUUUGGGAUUGUCUCAGUUCUGGAAUUUAUUCCGAAUUUUUGCAUGAUGUUGAUAAAGUAAUUUACCAAAAAAGAUUAUUUUUUCGUAACCAACUAUUUUCGAGAAAACAAACUUGAUUUUCUAAAAGAUAGUGAUCUAAGAAUUUCUGCUGCGUGGUAUUUGAUUUAAUUAGGCAACGUAAACAAAUAACUCUUUUAAUUUAAGAAUCAUGACAAACUCGUUUCUAAUAAAAGGGUUUUUAAGUAACAAAAGUUCACGAUGUUUUUCAAUUAAACGAAAGUCGGAAUUACAAUUUUUUUACGUAACAUCUCUAGAUCUAGCCAUAAUGUCCAGGUCAAAUUUGGGGUGUUACAGUUUUAGUAAACUUACAUUUGAAGGCACAAUUAGAGGAAACGGCCUGGGACACAGGUUGGCACAUGGUUGUGUGCUGCAAACGGUCUCUUUACGCGGCCGUGUAUUUUAAGUCAGUGUGUCACACAGUCUGGGCAAUGGCCUACAACAUGGCUAUGUGUUCCAAGAUUGAAUUGAAUGUGACUUAGCACACAGCCUGCGACAUGGUUGUGUGAGGGUAUUUCGAUUGUUACGCAGUUGGGCACACGACUUGCGAUAUGGUAGUGUGAAAUUAUUUCAAAAGUUACAUGGUUUGUCACACAAUUGGCCACGCGACUUAUUUCAAAUUUUAUCUUAGAAGUUAAAUGGUCGUGUGACCCAUGUUUUCAAAAUUUUUGAAUUUUUCUAACACUUUCGAUUUUAUUUCAAAUUAGCCCCUGAUUGUUUCUAAAUUAUUUUUAAGGCUCUGUAAGCCUGAUUUAAGAUAUUUACGCUAUGAAUGACAUUUGAAUUUUAUUACUUGUUAUUUAAUUUGAUUUUUGAAUGGUUAAAUGUUAGUAAUUGAUAAGAUAUGUUUCAUAAUACUCUGUAACCCUAAUCUGGCGGCAGUGACGAGUUAAGGGUGUUACAUAAGCCUAAAUAAUGAAAGAAACGUCGAAAGUGUGACCAUCUAGCAUCACAAGUAGGUGGCUAAGUGGAGGGAGAAAAUAAGUCGUCCUCCUCCAAGGUUAUGUUUCGAGUGUUGAAAAAUUUUAGUUUAGAAAACAGAUUUGUUGUACAGCGAAAAAUUAAUAUUUUUGAAAUUCGAGCUUUUGUGUUCUUUAUAUCAAUAAAUACUUUAUCAAAUUAAUAUAUGUUUUAGGUUAAGCAGUCUAAGUCACAUCCAAACUUUUUACCAACACGACCCUCUCUGCUAUUCUCGAAUCCUUAGUUUGCUUAAGUAUAAUAUGUUCCAACAACUUUUCUUAUGCUAAAAUUCAAAUAUAAAAAAUUGGAGAUUGUGGAAAUUCAUUUUCUUACUUUUUUUUUGAUUUUUCUCUCUCUACCCAUGACCCUUUUUGAAUAAACUCGUAAAUUCUAGUUCUUGAAAUGAUGAAAAUGAUGGAGGAAACAAGAUUGGAUAAAGUUUUGCUACUAGUUUUUAAUGGGAAAUCAAUGUGGGUGAUGAAUUUUUUGGAUGAAUUAAAGGAAAAGACAUGGAAAAUGAAAAGAGGAAAAAGUUCCUCUUCCAAAGAGUGGGGGAUGGCUGAAUUGGGAUGAGUGAGACACAUUUUGUCAUAUUUUUUUCCUUUUAUUUUACUCAAAAUUAACAAAGUCAAAGGACAAAGUCAAAUCCUUUUUAAAAUGCAUGUCCGCAUUUAAUCUUCAUAUAAAAAUCCAAUAUAAUGACUCCAAAUUACUUCCAAAAAUUUAAUAUCUCAUGAUAUAAUAUUUUCAGUUUCACAUGAAAUGACCAAAAUACCCUUUAUGUGGAAUAAUUAAACUUUAGUUCCUUUUUAUCCGGACAAUUUUCUUCAUUCCAUUCAAGGAAAUUAAUAUCCCAAAAUUUCCAUAAUUUGCACUUUUCAUCUAUAAACAUUAAUUAUUCAUGCAAGGAUUGCGUCUAUAACCUUUCUCGAUAAAAUUAAAAAUUUAUGAUUUAGUUCUUAAACUUUAAUUUUCAUCCAAUUUGAUCUUAAAAAUCCUUAUUCUUUACACUUUUUUACUAUUUUGAUUGUAUGAAACUUUAUUGAUGUUUUUUAACUCUUUUCUUUAUCGUUGGGAAAUUUGCACUUUAGUUCUUAUAGUUUUCAAAUUUUACAAUUUAGUCGCCAAAGUGAGUUCCAUCAUAAUAUCAUCAUUCUAGGUCUUCCUCAUGUCCAACAAUUUAGUUGCUAAAGUGAUUUCCGUCAUAAUUAUAUUGCUUGUAAGUUUUAAAGUGUAAUCACACUUAGAAUUCUGAAUGAAUGUGUUAUACAGAAUUCUAAAUGAAUGUGUAACACCCAUAACCCGUUUUUGCCAUCAAAAUAGGGUUAUGGAAUAAUAUCGGACGAUUUAGAACAAUCAAUAACAGAUAGCAUCAAGUUGCUGAAUUAAUUAAUGAAAUUUAUAAAUAAUUCAGAUUGGACUAGAACCUACACUUAUGAACCUUAACUCGAACCAACGAGGCCUUUAAAAUAGUUUUGGAAUAAUUGGGGACCAAUUCUAGAAAAAAUAAAAGAUUUGGGAAAAAGUGAAAAUUUUCAAAUUAGGGGUUACAUGGCUUUGUGUCCAAGCCGUGUGAUAGAACCUAGACUGUGUGACUCAAACAUGAUCGUGUGUCCAUUCCACACGCCCAUUUGGCUACUCCAUAUGCCCGUGUACUUAGGUCAUGAAGUUCACUGACUUGGCUCACACGCCUGUGUCCUAACCAAAAUAAAUUGCAAGAGCCAAGGCUUGAACCCAGGCUCCUAUACAACCUUAAUGACGCCACAACCACUAGACUACAUGCUUCAUUGUGUCUUUUAUUUACCACAAUAAUUUAAAAGGCCCUCAUCCAAGCAUCCAAGUUUUUUUUCACUUAAUACCAAAAUUUUUGCUAAAGCCCAAGUUUAAACCCAAGAUUUCUCCAACACUUCUCAAAGCCAUUAACCACUAAAGCAAACAUUUAAUUGUUUCAUUUCAUUGCACAAUUAAAUACCUAUAUACAACCUCCUUACAGACCCCCACUCAAGGCCCAAUACUUCUAGGCCCAAAUUCGGGGUGUUACAAUUCUAACCCCCCUUAAAGAAAUUUCGUCCUCGAAAUUUUCCACUCUCAGACUACACCACACUUCCGCUGCGCACUCUGAUACUAAUAAUACUAACAUACACCCAAAACAUUUGUCCAUCGGAGCGGAUAAAUUUCACAUGCAACCAAUUUCUACAUUUCCAGAACACACGCCAAAUAAAUACUAAAUCUAAAUUCAAGCGUUACAGUUUACUCUUAACUAGAGAGUUUCAGUAUAGUGCUACUAUAUAUAGUGGUUUCUUAAUAUAGCAUUUCAAUCUAUAAUAGUAAACAGAGUUAGGGAACUUACAGAUUUGGUGCCGGAGACUCGGUGUGCCACACCUCCAGUAACAUCUUUUCAGAAACAAGUCAAGUUUCAUUGAGAGAUUUCAAAACAAAAUUUUAGAAAAACCCAUUUCAAACCCCAAUUUCGGAAAAAGAAAAACAACAAUAAUUUUCUGCUACCCAUACCACAGUCGAGUUUUGCAACCUAAGCUCUGAUACCACUAAAUGUAACACCCCAAACUCAGGCCAGACAUUCUGGUCUAAUCUGACGUGCCACAUUGAAGUUAAAAAAAAUCCACGCUUUAUUUUAGUGUUUUAAAAAAAACCAUCGUUUGAUAAGGCUUAACCAAGUGAAUGGAAGCUGCGCACCAGGUAGGUAUCCAAAAACAGAAGAGGUGAGCCAUGAAGGCUGCUUAAGUACCAAGCUCUUCGAAUGGAUCCAAUCCUAGACAUGCCCACAACCAUUGCCACACUUUGGUGCGAGGUUAGGUUUUGAGAAAAACGAGUUAGAAUUCAUUUAAGUAGAUAUUUUUGAUAAACCAAUUAAUUGUAUCGUUGCGUUAUUUUGAAAACAAUUAUCAUUUUGAAAACGCGGCCUAAGUCUAACCCAUUUUGGAUUGUUAUCAGUAAAAUAUAGGGUAUAAAAUAAAAUAAUCCCAGAAAAUAAUUAAAAUGGCCUUAUUACAACCCAAAACCAAAUAAAAAAAUUAAUAAGAUAAAACUUAUAAAGAAAUAAAUUGGCUACUUAUUGCAAUUAAAAGAAACAGAAACAGUAGUGUGGUCAUCUCCGAGUCCCUCGCAGCUCCAAACCAUCUAGGCUUAUGGAUUACCUGCACAGUUAGAAACGAGGUGAGUUUACGAAAACUCAGUGUAUAAUCCCAAUAACAUACAAACAGUGAAAACACAGUAUCAGUACAAUCUGGGCCAAAGCCUUAUUUAGUCUUGACAUAUACUGGGCCGAAGCCUUUCGUUUAACGGUUACUAGGCCGAAGCCUUUUCAUAAAUCAUAUCACUGGGCCAAAGCCUUUUCAUAAAUCAUAUCACUGGGCCGAAGCCUUUUCAUAAAUCAUUUCACUGGCCCGAAGCCUUCACUGUAAACGGUAUGGCCCAUAGGCCCAUUUCAAUAUCACAUGUAAUGUCAAUGGAUGUAUGCAAGCCCAUUUCAAUAUCAUAUGAAAUACCAAUGAAUGUAUGCAAGCCCAUUUGGGGAGAAUACUCGACCCACCAUCCGCUACUCUCCACCCAUACCAACCAACACACCAUGUGGGGAAUGAUUCAACCCACCCAACCAACACACCACUGGCAGCAUAGCUGCUUUAUCAUAUAUCUAGAGGCCUAGCCUCUUUUAAUAACUGGGGCAAAGCCCUUUUCGGUAAACUGGGGCAAAGCCCUUUUCAAUAAACUGGGGCAUAAGCCCUUUUCGGUAAACUAGGGCAUAAGCCAUUUUCAAUAAACUGGGGCAUAAGCCCUUUUGCACUUCCUCCAUCCAUAUAAAAACCCAAUCCAAUGCAUUUAUGAAUACAUCAUGUGCAUUUCAUACAUAUCAUGUGCAUUUCAUACAUAUCAUGUGCAUUUUAUACAUAUCAUGUGCAUAUCAUAUCUAUCAUGUAUAUCAUAUCCCACGUAUCAAAUUUAUAAUUAAACCCUAGGGGUAUAAUGGUCAUUUUUACCUAGAGGCGAAACAGUCAUUUUCAUACUAUAAGGGUAAUUUCAUAAUUUUACCAAAUAUCAGGGUUUUCCUUGUUCAUCAACAAUUAUCAAUAUUUUUGAGUGUUUAAACAAUGAUCUUUAACCCACUUUAUCAAACUCGGGCUUUUAGGCCAAAAACCUCUAAUGGGCCCUACGAAUGCCGAUUUAGCCCACUAAGCUUGCUUAAUCCAAAUUUUACGAUAGUACCAACCAUGUUAUCAUGAAACUUUUCCAAAUUCCAUUUUCUAUCAAUUUUACCCAAAUGGGCCCGAAAGCCCAUUUGGCCCCAUUCCUGCCCAUUAAGGCCUAACUUACCAUCGUGCACAAAAUUGAGUUAUUACCCGUUCCAUUGAUCAAAACACCGAUCUUAUCGUAUUUAUCGCAUCUAUACCCACACGCAACAUUACAAGUUCCCAAAAUGCCAGUAUUUUAGCAUUUGGGCUUCUCAGCAGAUAUUAAUCUAAGCUACUACGAGGGUUAGUACACACCUGUUAUGGGUUGAAGUUGAAACGUUUCCAUAAUCAAUCACCUACGAUAACCACCACCUGUCACUCAAACUUAACUAAUCCAAUAUCAAUAUAUGUAAAUCCUAAGCACAUCAGUCAUACGGAACAUAAGGACAUAUUCAUCAUUUUACCAUACAAGGGUAUUACGAUCACUUUACCCUAUAGGGGCUUUACGGUCUUUUUACCUAUUAGGGGUAUUUUAGUCAUUUCAUCCUACAAGGGUGUUUUGGUAAAUCUACAAACCAAGGGUAUUUCAGUAAUUUUGUAAACCAAUGGUAUUUCUAUAAUUUUUAGAAAGUCAAGGGUAUUUCUGUAAUUUUGUAAAUCAGGGGUAUUUUGGUAAUUUUACAAAUUGAGGGUAUUUUGGUAAUUUCACAAACCAGUGGUAUUUCGGUAAUUUUACAAACUAGGGGUAUUUGGUAAUUUUACAAACUAGGGGUAUUUUGAUAAUUUUACAAACUAGGGGUAUUUUGGUAAUUCUAUCCUACAGGGGUAUUUCAGUAAUUUCACAAUCGAGGGUAAAAUGAUAAUUUUGUAAACUGCGGGUAAAAUAGUAAUUUUGUAAAUCGAGGGUAAAACGAUAAUUCUGUAAAUUGAGGGUAAAAUGGUAAUUCUAUAAAUCGAGGGUAAAACGGUAAUUUUGUAAAUCGAGGGUGAAACGGUAAUUCUAUAAAUCGAGGGUAAAAUGGUAAUUCUACAAAUCGAGGGCAUUUUAGUAAUUUGGUAAACUAAAGUAUUCUAAACAGGGAUAACAAUACGAAUGGGCCUAAAGCUUAUUCUCGGCCUAAAUGGGCCCACACGCUCGUGUGGCCAUUUUAGCCCAAAUCUAGCCACAAAUAUGAGAUUCAACUAGCCUAGUCCAAUAUUUACUACACAAUCAAACAAACUUAUCCAAUUGGGCCCGUAGGCCCAUUGGGCCCACAUGACCCCUUUCGGCCCAUCGCGGCCCGAAGUAGCCAUCCUAUAGCUAGAGUAGUGAGAAAUACACACCUGAUAGGAGACUAGAGUUAAUCCACGCUCCGAGCACUCUUAGCCAACGCCCAACCCAAACGAGCACGCCAUACAGCGAAAGGGAUCAGCCAAGAAAAGGUACCUUUACUAUCCUCAUGGUUCCCUCUAUUUAAAGCCAGCUUCGCAACCACUCUUAUGUUAGCUUCCCGAUGUGAGAUCCCUCCAACAUCAGAAUUUAAAUUCAACACCAACUCUUGCCGCCCCCUGUUAGCAAAAUAAAUACUCCUUGCUUGCCAUGGGAUUCGAACCCAUGCCUCCCCUCAGAUGCUCCACACGCUACUUGCCACUAAGCCACAAGGCUUUUUGUGUCAUAUUUUAUCCCCAAUUAAUUAUAAGGUCUAAAGGCCAAAGUCCAGGUUCCCUAAAAAAACCAAAAUAAAUUGCAAGAGCCAAGGCUUGAACCCAGGCUCCUAUACAACCUUAAUGACGCCACAACCACUAGACUACAUGCUUCAUUGUGUCAUUUAUUUACCACAAUAAUUUAAAAGGCCCUCAUCCAAGCAUCCAAGUUUUUUUUCACUUAAUACCAAAAUUUUUGCUAAAGCCCAAGUUUAAACCCAAGAUUUCUCCAACACUUCUCAAAGCCAUUAACCACUAAUGCAAACAUGUAAUUGUUUCAUUUCAUUGCACAAUUAAAUACCUAUAUACAACCUCCUUACGGACCCCCACUCAAGGCCUAAAUUUGGGGUGUUACAACUUAUCUACAAGAAAUAAAACAAACAACACAAGUAAGCUUUCAUAAAGCUUAGUAAGUUCGUCGUUUAAACUAUAAAGCUUACUAAAUUAAACAUAAUAAUUCACAUAACAAGAUUAAUGAACAACGUUCUUUUCAAUCACGGUUCACAAUAAGUGAGUAAUGCUCAACACAAUAAUACUAUUAAAUUUUUACAUUUCAAUACCAUUUAGAGAUCAAUAGAACAUAGCUCGAUGAACGAUAAGUGGAUGCGAGUACACGGUUAACUAUCUAGCACACCAGAUGCUUGAAUGAUCCAGACUAACCAACAAACCAAAGGCUCGUAUGAGGUAGACCAACCAACAAAUCAGAAUACACUGUAAUAUAACACAAUAAUCCACAACAAAUGCUUGACUUCGACAUAUCUAGUGAAUAGAGAAUUUACAGAAAUCAUCUCCACUGCUCCAAUCAAUCCCAUACCGCGUGCAACAUAACCUAUUGGUAUGCCAAUCGUACUCAAUCCUACGUUAAUCAGCUCUGGAGAUAUCAACAGUGAUCUGUGUUUAAUCAAAUCGUUAUCUCAAUUCUCAUUUACAUGACAUCGAAUGAACUUACCAGACUAAACUGCAGCAACUAAAAAUGUACAUGGACUAUUCAACAACUUCUUUAUGCCUCGAUUUCUAACCCAUUCUUGAUCUAAAAUAACAACUUCAUUCAAUUAACUAAUUCCAAGAGUAAAAUUUAACCAAUAUUUUACGUUUAUGCAAUUUAAUCCUUGAGCUCAAAAUUUUCAAUUUAACCAAUUUUAACUAAAACUAAGUUCAGUCAAAUUGUAAAGCUCUCCAAUAUGGCCCAUAUUUUCUAUUAUUUCACAUCAAGUCCUUGUAAUUUUAUCACUUUAAUAUUUAGUCAUUCAACAUUAAAAUUACUAAAAACUACUUUAUAAAUUGUCCUAUUUAAGCUUAAUAAUCUACCAUAAAACUUCAAGAACAACUCAAACUUAUCAAUGGCAUAAUCUAUAAUGUUUAACAAUUUUACAAAUUAGUCCCCGGAUUAGCUAGAUUAAGCUAAUAUGAGCUUAAAAACAUAAAAAUUACUAAAAACGGGCAAGGUUUACUCACCAAAUUGAAGGGCCUAAGCUUGGGCGAAGCUUUCUAAUUCCUAGCUAUAGUGUUUCAACUAUAGAAAAGAAAAUUCAAGAAGAUAAUAGCCAAUUUGGCUUUUAUUUUAAUUAAAUUUCAUUUAUUUACUUAAUUACUAUUUUCGAACUGACUGACCCAAAGGACUAAUCAUAGAAAACUUUCUAGUAGUAUUUUCGGUAGUUAUACCCAAAUUUGUAGAAACAACACUAGCUAUAUACGAAUGAGUAGAUCCAAUAUCAAUGAAAGCGUGUACGAAACAUGAUAAAUAAAUAAUGUACCUACUAUGAUGUCGGCAUCAUCACUAUCCUCACAGGAUCUCAUCGCAUAAACCAGUGCCGGCUGUCAAGGAUCAGUUGGACCAGCACCUCUACCAGGUGCUCUUUGUCCUUUCCGUGAACCAUUACCCUCUCUAGUAGUACCACGACCCUAGAUGGUUAUUGAACUACUCUCGGAGGCUGAAAAGAACCCAGAGUCUGUGGCAGAAUCAUAGCACUGAGGAGGCCACGUGGGAGCCUGAGGACUCGAUGCGUUAGCAGAAUCCUCAUCUAUUCUGAUCAGGUAAAUUUCGAGAUGAAAAUUUCUUUUAGAGGGUAGAGUAGUAACUCCCCAAAAUUCUUAUUUUGGCUUUUGUGGAAGUGUGACACAAUUGAAUAUCUGCUUCUGUGGUUAUGUGUUCUAGGAGUGUCUGAGAGGUCCCAAGUUCAAGCCUUGUCUUUGGUAAAUUUUAGUAUUUUUCUGACUUAAGCUUUAUACUUGCUCAAUGGGCUCAUAUUUAAUUAUUGGUAUAAUCAUAUCAGAAUGGGCCUGCUGGUCUAGUGGUUAAGUUAAGGGUUAAUUUGCUGAAAGUCCUGUGUUCGAAUCUCUAAGCAAGUGUGGGUAGUAAUUUUUGCUCCUUUAACUGAAAGAGUUCCGAUUGUAUUGAAGGACUGAGAGUGGGUGGUUAGGGUGUGAAGUAGUGGGGAGUUAUCAAGAUAUCUCCAAGCAAAUUUUGUUUUCCUCUCCCCAAGUCUUCUAAUGUUAGUUUUGUUUCCCUGUUAUUUUUCUUUUUCGUUUUCUUUUUUCUUUCCUUCUCUUUUUCCUCCCCUUAUUGCUGGUUUUUCUUUCUUUUGGAUCAAUAUUUUGUGCGUCGUUGUUCUGGCGUUUUUGAUGCAUUAUCGGUAGGUUGGUGAGUACGUUUCCUGUAUUGGUUAAUGAGUCUUGGUUUAAUGGAAUUCGUUUUAUGUUUAGGAGAGGUUUAAAGGCUGGAGGAUUUCAAUCGGCGUUUAGAUUGCUAAUAAGCAUUAUUGUUCGCUCUAAGGUAAGAGUUCUUGGUAAACUAAAGGCUUGUCUUUUACGAGAUAGUUCGGUUUAAUUUAGUUUUAAGAGAUUUAUUCGGGCUUUAAUUGGUCUGUUUUAGGUUAUGGUGAUCCUGAGAGUGCUUUUGCGUCGAAAACGUACCAGGUGUGUACCCGAAAACAUAAAACAUGGGACUCGAUGAAAGCUGAAAUUGCAAACUGUCAACACCACACGAGCGUGUUGUCGCCCGUGUCGUAGGCCAUGUGUGAUGACAUGGCGUGUAAUCGACGAAGGCCAGGCCGUGUGAAAGACACGGCCAUGUAAUGGCUAAGUAGGCCAUAUGCGACACACGGGCUUGAUUGAUUGGGCCGUGUGGGCCACACGGAUGUGUGGGCCCAUAUAGGUAAUCCACACGCACGUGUGGAAUUUGGGCCAGGUCGUGUGAUCCACACAGGCCAAGGCCAAUCUGAGGGUUUGGGCUACAUGAGCGUGUGGGCCCGCACGGGCAAACCAUAUGGGUGAGUGGGCGCAUUUAGCUAAAAUGUUUCCUAGGUUUGCACGGGUCGCCUAAGUCGACUGUGAACCUACUGCAGGGUCGGUAAGCUUUACUUAAACCCUAAAUCAUGUGAUCUGAAUAUACAAUGUAUGAAUUGAGCAUGUUAAACUUAUGCAUGUUUACUGAUCUGUAUGUAUUGCUGAUGAUUGAAUUUUACCAAAGCAUGUAUUUCGUAUGUUUGCAUUGAGCAUCUUUAGUUGCAUCUGCAUUGAGGUGGGACAAUUGAUUAUUGGAGGAAGUGUACUGAUAGGCUUUCAUGCAUAUUAUUUGGCAGCUCACCUACAAUAUUACUGAUAAGUGCCGCAUUCAGUACAACUUGGAUUGCAGGGCUGAGUGGGUGUUUUAAACCCCACAUGGUGUGUAGGGGUGGUUGGAGAUGGUGUGUAGAUGCUGGUGGGUAGGACAUUGAUUUCUAUUCUGUAUGCAUACUAUAUCUGGGAUGGGCUAAGGCCCUAAUUUAUAUCUGAAACUCUAUCUGAAUAGGCUAAGGCCUAAACUACAUCUGAAUCUGUAAUGGGAUUAGGACCAGAUUGCAUUUGACUGAUAACUGUUGUUUGACUGUAUCAUGUCAUCUGUGGGAUUACACACUGAGUUUACGUAAUCCCCAGACUUAGACAGAUCGGUGUGGCGGAGUACUCAACGUGACCAUAUGUCUAGUGAACGGUUUUAAUUUUAUUUAAGGUUUUUAAUUCCUAUUAUUUUUGGGUUUUUUUUAUGUAAUUUGGGACUUUUGGACUGUUUACCUUUGUUUUGGAUUUUGACUAUUUUCAGGAACUUUAGAACUGCAAUGAAAACUCAGUUUUGUUAAAUACAAUGUUUUUCCUAAAGGCGAACGAUUUUAAUAAAAUAUCACAGUUUUAAAAGCUUCCCCUACAGAAUAUGUUUUUAAACGAAUCAAAUUAACGAGACAAUAGUUUUGAAAUUGAGGAAAGAUAAAUAAAAGCUAAUAAACAGAAUCAGUUUUCACUUGAUAAAUUCGAUUUCAAAUUCCAUUUCAUGUGACAUCACCAGAUUCGGCCAUAACGUCUAGGCUGGGUUUGGGGUGUUACAUUUAAACCAACCAAUCCAAGCAUUAUAACCAAACAAAAUUUAACAUGUUACAUGGUAUAUCAUUAUAGGCAUACAUAUUAAUAAUUUUAUCUUUAUUAAGUAUAUUCAUUUAGCAUAACUCAAUCAAUUCAUAAUAUAUAUUCAUGAUAUUGCCAUAGGAUAACCUCACUAGAUAUACCAAAACAUAACCAUUACUAGCCAUUCCAAUGGCUAGAUUACAAACAACAUUUAUAAGUCAACAAUGACCAAGUUAACUAUACAUGCCAUUUGAUCAAAAUGAGGUUACUAUUUAUACCAAAACAAGCUAGUGGAUAGUGUGAUGAUACUCCAACCGAUCCCCAACCUUCGCGAGCUUCCGAGCACUGUAAAAUUGAGAAAAUAAAACCUAGUAAGCAUUUAUGCUUGGUAAGUUGUAUAACAGGAAUUAAACUUACCAAUCUCAUUUAUUAAAGUUAAACAUACAAUAACAUGUUUUUCAAUGAACUUGGCAAAUUUCCUACACACAUACACUCAAUCAAAUAAGUUAGUUAUAUAAGUCUCAUGCAUAUCAAAUAGCAUAGUUAAGUUCAUCAUAAAACAAUUAUUAGAUUACUCAGAAUCAUUCAAAAUAUAAAUUUGAUAUAUCUCAUCACUUUCUCUUGUCAGGAGCUUUAUCCAUUGAAUUAACGAAAUAUCGAUGAAUACUUGAAUAGUACGCUCAAGGUUCACAUAUCUAUAAAUCGUCAAUUCUUAUUCAGGGAGCAUACUCUCGAGCUACAUGUCAAGAUGCUCAAACGAGCCAUGUAAUCAUGUAACAAGACACUUAUCCGAGCUAAUCAGGAAACUCAUAAGAGUUUUUACUUAUGAAGCUCAUAAAGCCUUUCAAAUAUCUCCAAAGAGAUAAUAUCAUGGAGCUUCGAUAAGGUAACAGAGAGUUCUUACGAGCUUAACAGGAUGCUUGUAACAUCCUAACCCAUAUCCGUCGUCGGAAUAGGGUUAUAGAGCAUUACUGGCAAUUACAGAACAUUUUCAGAUAAUUCGAGUAAAUUACUGUUCAUAGCAAAAUUGUCCACUUGAGUCAUAGUCACUAAAUUAUUUAUAUCAUGAGCUACAGGAUUCUAAGUUAAGAUCCACUUGAUUUUUUCGAAACUGGACUCAAAUGUAUUUCUACCAUAAAAUUUUCAGAAUUUAUGGUUUAGCCAAUAAGUAUAGUAAAAUCUUCAAAUUUACCCCUGUUCUGCUAUUUGACAGCUUCGACCUUUCUUACUAAAAAUUAAUUAUCUCUUAGUACGGGUUUUGGAUGAUGCUUCCGUUUGCUUCUAUUGAAAAUAGACUCAUUAAUAAUUUAAGCAUAUAAAUUUGAACCCCUAAUUACUUUUUUUACAAUUUUCGAUGAUUUUCCAAAUUCAGAACUGGGGAAACCAAAAUCAUUCUGACCUUGUCUCACAAAAUUUAUUUUGUCUCAUAAUUUAUAACUCCAUUGCUUCCAUCGUUUCUUCUAUGAAAAACUAGACUUAAUAAAAUUUAAUUUCAUAUUUUCUUCAACCUCUUUCAAUUUCCAAAGUCUUUGGUAAAUUUUCAAAGUCAGACUAUGCUAACACAUACAUAAUCACUAUAUCAUAAUUUCAUAAAUAUACCAAACCAAUCAUCACUAGUCACUCCAAUGGCUAAGUUUCAAACCACAAUUUAUAAGACAAGAUUUAGUCAAAUUAGCCUAUACAUGCCAUUAUAACCAUAAUUGUUUUACCUUAUACACUGAAUGAAUUGUUGGAUAGUGUGAAUGAUCUCCGCAAAGCUUCCAAUCCAGCGAGCAUUCCGAUUUACUAUAAGAUAGGGAAAAAUAAAACGGAGUAAGCAUAUAAUGCUUAUUAAGUCCGUAUAUCUUAGUAAUAAAUUUACCAUCCAUUCAUCAUCAAAAUAAAUAUAAAAGGGGUAUAAUCAAACUAUUUAAUCUCACAAGCCCUAUCACACAUUCUCAUCACCCUUGUUAGUCACAUGUUUCAUAAAAAUUUCAAGAAACACAAAUAUGAAUUCAUCAAUAUUUGGCUUCUCAUACACACAUGUUUUUCCACAACAUGUAUUCACAUAACAUAUAUACAAAUUAUUUCCAUGUAUUUCAGAUAUAUUUUAUAUUAAUUCAUCUCGAGUUCCGAUAUAUUUCAUGUCAUGACUUUACUCAAUAAUCAGUUAGUCUAUUGAAAAUCACUCGGGUAGUACACUCAAGGUGUACUAAUCUAUUCUCAUAGAUGAAUGUAUUCAUUAAACCAUUCUGUGUUCAUAUAUAAACAUCUCACACUUCCAUAUUUCAUUUCAUGUAACAUAUUUUCAUAUUUCCACAUAUCAUGUCUCAAUCUAUAACCAUUUAUCUCUAUUUCAUAUUUGCUCAUAUUAGAACUUUGCUCAUUGAAUUUAUUUAAAUUAUUGAUGGAUUCUCAUGUAGUAAACUCAUAGUGUACAAAUCAUAAUCCGUCAAUUCAUAUCCAGUAGUACCUUUUAGGUACACUCUCGAGCCACAUAUUGUACAACAGAAUUACCAGUCUAGGCUAAAUUUUAUCUGUAACGCAUAUACUCUAAGGGCUUUGUCGGAUUACCAGUACAGGCUAAAUCCUUUAUAUGACAAAGAAUUCCCUAUAUAGUCCAUUCUGGAUUACAAUCCAUGCUAAAUCCAGUCAAUUAGGAUUACCAAUCCAGGCUAAAUCCUAAUUGAAACAUAUGCUCGAGAGACCCAUUUCGAAUUACCUGUCCGGGCUAAAUCCUUUCUAUAAUGAGAUCAAUGGAUUACUCAUUCGAGCUAAAUCCUUUCUGCAACACAUGCAGGACCUCACUUCAUAUAGGGAAAUCACCACUAUCCAUCGAUAAUCAUUAUUCAACCAGGACUUACCAUUUAUGGGAUAUUAUCAUUUAUUGGGCACUAUUGAACAUCCUUAAUUUCAUAAAAUAUAUAUAUGAUUUAUAUAUCAUCACAUAUAUAUACCAUCACAUUCAUACAAUUCAAUUUAAGCAUAUUAACAUACAUAGUUAAGUUACACGAACUUACCUCAAAAGUUGUUCGUGUACAUAUAAUCUAUUAAUUCAACAUUUUCUCUUUUCCUCUCUCUAACUCCAUAUUCGGACUACCCAGAUCUAUACAAGUAAAUUUAACAUCAAUUUAAUGCAAUUCAUACUCAAUUUAAUCCAAUUUACAUUUUAGGCAAAAUUACAAUUUUUCCCCUAAAUUUUAAUAAAUGACGAUUUCAUCCCUAGGCUCGGAAAAUGAAAUUCAUGAAAUUUAUUCCUUGUUCCAAGCCAAAUAUUUUCAUAUAUAACAAUAGCAGCCCUUGAAUUCCAUGAAAUUUUAGAAUUUUCCAUAAAUUCAACAACUUUAAAAUUUUAUCCCUAAAUCAUGAUUUCACUCAAAAUUCUUUAAUAAAGUACCUUUACAUAUCCGUUAACAUCUCAAUUUCAUCAUAAAAUAACUAAAAUCAUAUGAAAUUAUCAAUGGUAUCUUUCAAAACUUCCAACAAAAUCAAAAACUAAAGAAAUAACAAGUUGGACCUAAUUGUAAAAGUCCAAAAACGUAACAAUUUCAAAGCAAAAGCAAGAAUUGAACUUACUUGAAGCUAAAAUAUGAAAGACCAGCUCAAACCCUCUUCAAGAGCUAUUUUUGACAGAAAAUUGAUGAAGACAAUGUAUAGAAACUAUUAAAAUAACAUUUGGCCAUAUAAACUUUAUUUUAAUUCCAAUUUUGUCCCUAAUCACAUGAAUAUCUUUGAUUUUUUUUUUCACGUUAUGCCGCCUCAGCCAUUUAAGAUUGUCUGUUUGCCCUUUUAGUGCUUCUUUAUUUACAAUUAGGUAUUUAAUCACUUUAGUAAGUUUUGCACCUUUUUCAAUUUAGUCCUUUUUAAUUAAUUGACUACUGAAAUGUUAAAAUUUUCUGACGAAACUUUAAUACUACCAUAUUGACACUCCGUAAAUAUUUAUAAAAAUAUUUAUGGCUCGGUUUAUAACACCAAGGUCUCGAUAUCUCUUUUUCCCAGUUUAUAACACAAAUUUACUAAUUCAAAAAUCUUUUAAAAACCACAUUUAACUCAUAAAUAUUAAAUAAUAAAAUUUACGGGCUCAUUUGUCGGAUUUAGUGACCUCGAACCACAGUUUUUGACAUCACUAAAAUUUGGGCUAUUACAAUGCUCAUGAAGAGCUGGGUUUGUGUCUGCAUUAAAUGCAGGAUCACAAUCGGUCCCAUGUCAAGACGCUCACAAAGAGCUGCCGUAGUGCGCAACACAUGCUAAAUCGCUACCAGUCAGGAUGCUCGCAGGAAAAAUAUAAUAGGAUGCUCGAGAAGCUAUAUCGAGAUUACUAGUUCGAGCUAAAUUCCUUCUGCAACAUAUGUAGAAUAACAUUCAUAUACUGGAAAGCACAUGUAUGCAUCGAUUUUCAUUAUUCCAACGGAACUUAGCAUUUUAAACACAUUUCCAAUCAUGUGAUCAUUUCAUAUUUUCAUAACAUUCCAUAAAUCACAUAAACAUAUAUCAUAUUCAACAAUCAAUUUAACAUGUUAAUAUGCAUAAGUAAGUUACACGAACCUACCUCGAUAAUAAUUCGUACAUGAAAAUCUACUAAUCCGAAACUUUCUCUUUUCCUCGAUAUAGCUUUGAAUUUGUGUUAUCUGGAUCUAUAUAAAUGAAUUUAAUCAUCAAUUUCUCACAUUUCAUAUUCUAUUGAACUCAAUUUACAUCCUAAGCAAAAUAAUCAUUUUUCCCCUAAACAUUUCAUAAAUUCCAAUUUCGUCCCUAGGCUCGGAAAAUGAAAUUCAUACAAUUUACUCCUUAUUCCAAGCUGAACCAAAAUUGCAAUAUAAAAUUUAUGGCACAUGUAUUCUAUAAAAUUCAGAAUUUUUCUUCAAUUUACACAACUUUACAAUUUAGUCGCCAAAUCACAAUUUCAUCAAAAUUCACCUUCUCAAAAUUGUUAAUGUAUCAACAACCUUUCAUUUUCCAACAUAAAUUUCAAAUUUUUAGCAUAUUCAUUCAUGGAAAAAAUUCUAUACUUUGAUAACUUUUCAAAUUAAUCCCCUAAAUAGAUAAAUUAGACUAUCUCAAUUUAAAAAAUAUAAAAAUUAUUAAAAACGAGACAAUAAUACUUACCCAGUCAAGCUUGAUUAGUUUCCUUUCUCUCUCCUAAGAUUUCCAUGCAAAUUUUAGGGAAGAUGAUAUAAAAUAAGAUGAUAUUUCUAUUAUCAUCUUUUUAAUUAUUUUAGUUUCCAAUUUAGUCCUUAACCUUUUAUAAUUUUUCCAUGGAUGAAUCACCAAAAAUAUCUACUAACUUUUCUUUAAUGGUCUAAUUACCAUAUAAGGACCUCAUGUUUUGAAUUCCAUAGCUAUUUGAUCCUUCUAGCUUCUAGAAUCCAACUUUUUCAUUUUAUGUAAUUUGGUCCUUUCAAUUAAGCACAUAAUCGGUAAAAUUUACUUAUCAGACUUUUUUUAUGACAUUCCUAUCAAAAUACUAACCAUGCAAAAAUAUAAAAAUAAAUUUUCUUUUCGGCUCGGAUUUGUGGUCCCGAAACCUCUGUUCUGAUUUCACUAAAAAUGGGUUGUUACAACUCUCCCCCCUUAAUAAUUUUUGUUCUUAAAAAUCAUUCCAGUAAAGAGAUUUGGAUAUUUCUUUCUCAUGGUAUCCUCCGGUUCCCAGGUAGCUUCUUCUAUAUCAUGUCAUUGCCAAAGAACUUUUACUAAAACCACCUUUAUAUUUCUUAAUUUUUUUAUUUCACGGGUCAUGAUUUUAAUUGGUUCUUCACUAUAUGUCAUAACAGUCUGAAUCUCUACCUCUAAUUGAGAAAUAACAUGUGAAGGAUCCGAUUGAUACUGCCGUAACAUAACACAUGAAAAACAUUAUGAAUCUGAUCAAGUUGUGGUGGUAAGGCUAACUGAUAUGCAAGAGGUGCAAUUCUUUCUAUGAUUUCAUAUGACCCAAUAAACUGUGGACUCAAUUUUCCUUUACAGCCGAACAGGAGAACUUUCUUCCAAGGUGAUACUUUUAUGAAUACUUUGUCACCAACUAGAAAUUCUAUUUCUUUUCAUUUAAGAUCAGCAUCAGACUUUUGACGAUUAAAGGCUGGUUUUAAACUGUCCUAAGUUACUUUCACAUUUUCUUUAGUUUCACGGAAAAAUUCAAAUCCGUGUAUCUUUUUCUCACUAAGUUCUGUCUAAUACAACGGUGUUCUAGAUUACCGACCAUACAAAGCUUUGUACGGUGCCAUUUUGAUACUGGACUGAUAACUAUUACUGUAAACAAAUUCAACUAAAGGCAAAUAUUUUUCCAAGUUACCUUUAAAUUCGAAAAUACAACAUCGAAGCAUAUUCUCCAAAAUUUGCACCACACAUUCAGAUUGACCAUCUGUCUUGGGAUGGAAUGCCGUGCUGAAAUGUAACUGUGUACCUAGAGCUUCUUGCAAUUUGCUCCAGAAUCGAGAUGUAAAUCGAGGAUCUUUAUCUGAAAUAAUGGAGACAUGUACUCCAUGCAAUCUGACAAUUUUAGAGAUAUAUAAUUCAGCCAAUUUAACCAAGGAAAAAUCAAUACGUAUCAGAAUAAAAUGUGCAGACUUUGUCAACCGAUCGACAAUUACCCAAAUGACAUCUUUCUUGUUCAGAGACAGGGGUAAUCCCGAUCCAAAGUCCAUGGUAAUUCUUUUCCAAUUCCAUUCUAGUAUUGUAAUUAGCUGUAAUAAUCCCGAAGGAAAAUGAUGUUCAGCUUUUACUUGCUAACAUAUCAAACAUUUUGAUACAAACGUAGAAAUAUCCCAUUUUAUUCCCGGCCACCAGUACAUCUUUUUCAGAUCAUUGUACAUUUUAUUACUACCAAGAUGAAUAGACAUGUUAUCAUUAUGAGCUUCAUUCAAAAUCAUCUGUACUAGUUCUGAAUUAUUCGGUACACAUAUUCUGCCUCUUAACAACAAACAACCAUCAGUCCUAAUUUCAAAUUCUGAAUUAGAAGUCGAUUCACACUGAAUCCGCUUUGCUUGUAACGUACUAUCAUCUGAGCUUCAGAAAUCUACUGCAAAAACGUCCGUCUAGCUUUUAACUCAACUAUGAUUAAAUCAUCAUCAGAUAACAUCAAUCCAGUAUUCAUUGCUUGCAAAGAAAACAUGGAUUUUUUACACAGAGCAUCUGCUACCACAUUGGCUUUUCUCGGAUGGUAGUCAAUAACCAAAUCAUAAUCUUUCAAUAAGUCAAGCCACAUGCACUGUCUUAAAUUCAAAUCUUUCUUUGACAUCAAAUACUUCAAUCUUUUAUGAUCAGAGAAUAUGUGACAUUUUUCACUAAACAGAUAAUGUCGCUAUAUUGUUAACGCAAACACAAUUGCUUCGAAUUCAUGAUCAUGUAUCGGGUAAAUUUUUUCAUGUGGUUUUAGCUGUCUUGAAGCAUAGACUAUUACUUUACCUUCUUGCAUCAAAACACAGCCUAAACCAUUUAAUGAUGCAUCACUAUAAAUUACAAAUAUCUUACCUGAUUCAGGUUGAACUAACAUAGGUGCUUCUGUUAAUAAAGCUUUUAGCCUAUCGAAACAUUGCUGACAUUUAUCAAACCACUCAAAUUUCACAUCUUUUUGCAACAAAUAAGUCAUUAGAGAGGAUAUUAAUAAAAACCCUUUUACAAAUCUCCGAUAAUAUCCAGCAAGUCCCAGAAAACUUUUAACAACAAAUACGUUCUUUGGUUGUUUCCAAUUAACAAUAGCUGAAAUUUCACGUGGAUAUACUCGAAUAACUUAUGCAGAUACAAUAUGCCCAAGAAAACCAACUUCCCGUGGCCAAUAUUCACAUUUACUAAAUUUGGCAUACAAUUGCUUUUCACACAAAGUUUGCAACACAAUUUUCAAAUGAUCUGCAUGUUCAUUUUCAUCUCGAGAGUAAACCAAAAUAUCAUUAAUAAAUACCACCACAAACUUACCGGUGCAUUUGUCAAACCAAAUGGCAUCACAAGAAACUCAUAAUGUCCAUACCUAGUUCUAAAAGCUGCCUUUCUCACAUCUGAGUCUUUUACUCGUAGCUGAUAAUAGCCAGAAUGAAGAUCAAUCUUUGAAAAUACAGUAGCACCUUUCAAUUGGUCAAAUAGAUCAUCAAUUCGAGGUAAUAGGUACUUGUUCAUUAUUGUAUCUUUUUUGAACUGUCUGUAAUCAAUGCACAGCCUUAAAGAUCCAUCUUAAUACUUUACAUACAGAAUUGGUGCACUCCAAGGUGAGAAACUGGGUCGAGCAAAGCCUCUAUCAAUUAGUUCUUGCAACUAUGCUUUCAACUAUUUUAGUUUGGUAGGAGCCAUUCUGUAAGGUGCUAUAGAUAUGGGUGUUGUCCCCGGUACAAGAUCUACAGAGAACUCCACUUCUCUAACCGGCAGUAAACCAGGUAAUUCCUCCGGAAAUACAUCAGGAAAUUCAUAAACAACCGACACUGACUAAAUCUUCGACUUAGAUACUUUAGUGUCCAACACAUAUGCAAGAGAAGCUUCAUAAUCCUUUCUGAUAUAUUUUUAUGUUGAUAUUGCUGAAAUCACAUUAGAUAACCCAUCUAAUUUAUCAGAUUCAACAUGGAGUAACUCACCGCUUUGACAUUUCAAUACAAUAUAUUUCUGUUUACAAUUCACCACCGCAUCAUAUUGGGUUAACCGGUCUAUUCCCAAAAUCACAUCAAAUUCAUCAAAUGACAAUAACAUCAAAUCAGUCGAAAAGCAAUAACCCUUUACCAUCAACAGAUAGUUUUACAAAGUUUAUCCACCAUAACAUCUGGCCCAAGGGUUUUGAAACUUUAACCACAAAUUUAGUGAAUUCAGCAGGUAAAUUUUUAACAGACACUAAAUUUGUGCACAUGUUUGAAUGUGUGGAACCAGGAUCAAUCAAAGUAGUAAUAUCAGUAUCAAGUAGAAAAAAUGUACCAGUAAUGACGUUUGGUACAGAGGCAUCUUCUCUAGCACGAACAACAUAUAUCCUUGCCGGUGCUCAUGCCUCAGAUUUAACUAUUGUAUCCCUUGUAGUACCUCGGCUACCACUGACAUUGUCGGGAUGAAGGGGUGGUGUGCCUCUUGGAGUGGUAUUACUUAGUUUUGAAGUCUGUUCAAUAUCUCUUUCAACCCUUUCUGAGCAAUCUUUAAGAAAAUGAAAAAGAGAACCACAUUUAUAACAUGCAUCACUUCUUAAUCGGCAUUCCCCAAAAUGAAAUUUGUUACAAAAUUUACAUUUUAAUUUAGGAUUACCGACACUAACAACACUGGUUACAGAUGGAGACAAAGAUCUCGGUUGCAGCGUUGAGAGCCUCGCUCUCUUCCAGAAUAUCCUGUUGAUAUUGUAAAAUAAUUCAUCUAAAACCCAGAUGGUAUUUUCCAACCAAAACUCAUACCUUUUUCAAUAAUGAUCUGAAGUAGCUCUGACUUUCUCUGCCCCAUACUUUUUUUAUCUACCGAAGGCUUACCGGUUCUAACAGAUUCAGCCCCUUGUGGCAUCUCAAGAACUGGUUCAGGAGCAAGUAGGGGAGGUUGUUUUACAGUGGGAUUUGUUCUUAUAUAUUGAGUGAACCAUUCAUUCAUCAUUUGAAAGAAGGUUUGUUUUGCCUCCUCACUUCGGCCUUCAGAUACAAGCAUUCACUACUAGAUGCAACUAUUUGAACUGAAGCUGAAGCAUUGCUCUCAGCUUCCUCGGAUUUAGCUCUAGCUUGGUUAGAUGACAUUACUAUAUGAAAAACACAUUAAAAAUGGUUUAGUCAAUCUGAGAAUCAACUAAACUGUGGCUCGGAUUCAGCUCUAGCUUGGUGAGCAUAGGAGAGUGAAAGGAACAAGAAAUGGGCCAAAAAUAGAGAAAAUGGGCCAACGUACUAAAUCAACAUAGCUUGGACCUCCUCACACAGUUAGACCACACGGCCGUGUCAAUUUGGCAGAAUCGAAGCACGACUCACACGGGUGGACCACACGGCCAUGCCUAUUUAACAGGCUUGACCACGGUCUUAAGCAAUCGCACAUGGGCAUGUCCCUGCGGAGCCCAAGUUUAGUCCAAUUCGGAAAAGGACAAUUUUGAGGGUUCUUAGGCAUUCUAAAGCUUAUAAAUACACCCUAGAGGAGGAGAAAAAGAGGACACACAGAGAAGAAAGUAGGGAACUGCUCAAGGAAUGCCGAUUGAUCCAUCUCAGAAGCCGGAUUCAUCAUCAAGACUGAAGAUCUCCCCUCAAUUUCCCUUCAGGAGUUUUGGGUUUUUCUUUAUGUUUUGCAUUCAUUAUUCUUCUAAAAUGUUUACCUUUUUAGUUAUGAACUGAAACCCCUAAAUACCUAAGGGGAAUGUGAUGGGCGUCGAAUCCACCAUAUAUAAUUCCUACUAAAUACUCUGAAUAGUAGUAAGAGUGGUAGUAGGGUCGAGUCCACAGGGAUUGGUACUCUAAUCAACUUUCGAGUUUGGCUUAUGAAUAGAAUGUCGUGUCAAGGGUCGUGGCUAGAGUCGUGCACACGACUCAAAACGUACCAGUUGAAAAAUAAGCAAAUAAAUAAGUAAAGCGGGGAUUUUGAAAUUGAUUAGAAAUUAAAUAAUCAAAACUGCUAAGAUAAUUAAUUAAAUAAAUAAGAAAUUAAAUUGGGAUUUGCAAUCAAAUGUAAUGAGCCUUAGCCUUAGACUCGAUAAAUUUCGUGUUGAGAAUCGAUCCUCGAAAAUUGAUUUUCUCCUUCAAAUGAUAAGCUAGUUAUAGUGGUUAAGAACGUCCUAACCACCAAUUCUUCCUCUCGUAGCUAGUUCCGGUAUGACUUGCAAACCAACCCUUACCGAUUACCUAACUGAGAUACACGUGUUCCAGAUUCAAGAUUCCGGUAGCCUUGCGUUCUGAAGAACCCAACUCAAAUUAACGGCUUCAACCGCAUGGGUAGUUUAAACCCGAUCACCUCUUCCUCAAUUUGUUCUCAGAGAUCCAAAUACAGCAGGGCCGAUUCGUUUCUCCAACUGUCAGAAAACACGACUCCAACCCAACGAGCUCUUUUUGACUUGAAAUCGAAUUAUCCUUAAAGGAUGAAUUGUCAAUCCCGAUACUUAGGAAAAAAGGUGAAUACCGAUUGGAAGAAUUUUAGGCGCGAGUACGAAUCUCACAAUUUUCGACCGGAAAGAACACCGGUCUAAAGCUAAGAUGGAAUUUAGUGGAACAUGAAUUUAUUCAUGUUUGAAAGUUGUGGAAAAUGAUGGAUUUAUAUGAAAGGUGAUGAAAAUUAAAAAGGAAAAGUACUUGGAAGGUAAUUAGCCCGAUUUGACAAAAGAAACAAAACCAAAUGAAAAAGUGGCAGAAUGCUAAACUUCAAUUUGAAAAGGGAAAAUGAGAGUAUUUCUAUUCCAAAUAGAAGUAGGAAUACAAAGACAAGAGAUGAGUUUCUAAGAACUAAAAGCCCCUAUUUAUAUACAUAGGGUUUACUAAAAUUAGGCUAAAGCUAAAUUAAUAAAAUAAUAAUAAUAAAUAAUAAAUAAUAAAUAAUAAAUAAUAAAAUAAAAUAAAAUAGUAUCUUCUAUUUUUAUCUUUUUACAAAGUCAAAAUUGAUGUUAAAUCCUUGGCUUUCCCAUCUUUAUGAUUUGUCCCCAACUCAACGAUCUGUCUUUCAAUUUGACCCUUUUUUGCUCGUUUUUGACCAAUUGCAUCCCUGACAAGAUUAAGCCAUAAAAACACCAAUUAAGCAUGGAUUAAUUCAGAAAUAAGCCAAAUUAAACACAAGAAUCAUGUAAAUUUACAUGUUUAUCAACUCCCCCUACUUAGCUCAUGCUUGCCCUCAAGCAUGUUUGUUUUUUCAAGCAUUAAAUUUGUUCUACAAUUUAUUAAAAAUCAAGCCUCUUUUCACAUACAUAAUCAAUGCAAACAACGGCAGACAAAAAUAAAUAAACGCUCAAGAUAUAAAGUUUGAUCAACAAAUGUCAUAAAAUUGAAACAUGUGGACUAAAUAAUUUCACUAAAUUGAGUUUGAAUCCAAUAAAAUGCAAGGCAAUAUUUAAUUAACUAUGCAUUAGAAAAAAUUAUUGACGUGGUCAAACCUUUUUACGUGAAGUAGGAUGACAACCCAAGCACCCUAUCCUAGUUAGUCAGUUUAAACCUUCUUAAAUUUUAUUUAUUUAUUUAUUAUAUAUGUUUUUUUAUAUAUAAUAAAGCUCAGUUAGCGGAAUGUUUAUAAGUUAUCGACUUGUCAUUCGAAUCUUUUUACACGAGAUAAGAUGACAACCCAAGCACCUUACCCCGGUUACUCAAUCCGGUCACGUUUUCGAAACUUCACUCAUAACUUGAACCUUUAUUUAUUCACUUAUUUAUUAAUGCACAAGCAAAUAUCAUUUUCCAAAAAAUCAAUUUAUACGAAAAAAAUCAAGCUACAUAUAUCAAUUUUAAGACACAAAUGUUGACUGACUGAUAUACUUGAACAUUUUAAUUCAAAUUUUGCCCAAUUGUCCAAAUUAACUAAGUAUGGGAUUAAAGGCUCAAUGUUAAAUAAACUGUUGAAUGAACUUAAUGUAAGAUUGAACACAUGUAAAAAAGAGACAUGCGGCAAAAAACAUGCAUAUUUACCAUCCAUUACUAUCCAUCCAUCCCCCCUACUUAAGCUAUGCUUGUCCUCAAGCAUAUAUUAUAUGAAAUAAAAGUUAGCAGCCUAAAAUAAAAAGAAAAAGUGAAGAAUACUCCCCAUAUAUGUUAAUGACGUGGUUGGUGUUGGGAGUAACGAUUCUGCAAGAUGUCGAGGAUUGUGGAGACUUGGGUUUCCAUUGUUCCAAGUCGAGCCUCGAUUCGGCUUAAACGGGCCUCUACAGUCAGAGGUUGUUCCUCUUGUUCUCGAGUAGCAAAAUAUGGGCGUUGGCGAAAAACCAUACUCCUACGAGCAGUCCGUGUACUUGGAGGAACAAAAUAACACGCAGUAGGGGUGCCGGCAAGCAAACCCAUUGUAACACCCCGAAUUUGGGCCUAGAAGUAUUGGGCCUUGAUGGGGGUCCAUAAGGAGGUUGUAUAUAGGUAUUUAAUUGUGCAAUAAAAUGAAACAAUUAAAUGUUUGCUUUAGUGAUUAAUGGCUUUAAUAAGUGUUGGAGAAAUCUUGGGUUUAAACUUGGGCUUUAGCAAAAAUUUUGGUAUUAAGUGAAAAAAAACUUGGAUGCUUGGAUGAGGGCCUUUUAAAUUAUUGUGGUAAAUAAAUGACACAAGAAAGCAUGUAGUCUAGUGGUUGUGGCGUCAUUAAGGUUGUAUAGGAGCCUGGGUUCAAGCCUUGGCUCUUGCAAUUUAUUUUGGUUUUUUUUAGGGAACCUGGACUUUGGCCUUUAGACCUUAUAAUUAAUUGGGGAUAAAAUAUGACACAAAAAGCCUUGUGGCUUAGUGGCAAGUAGUGUGUGGAGCAUCUGAGGGGAGGCAUGGGUUUGAAUUCUAUGGCAAGCAAGGAGCAUUUAUUUUGCUAACAGGGGGCGGCAAGAGUUGGUGUUGAAUUUAAAUUCUGAUGUUGGAGGGAUCCCACAUCGGGAAGCUAACAUAAAAGUGGUUGCGAAGCUGGCUUUAAAUAGAGGGAACCAUGAGGAGAGUAAAGGUACCUUUUCUUGGCUGAUCCCUUUCGCUGUAUGGCGUGCUUGUUUGGGUUAGGCGUUGGCUAAGAGUGCUCGGAGCGUGGAUUAACUCUAGUUUACUAUCAGGUGUGUAUUUCUCACUACUCUAGCUAUAGGAUGGCUACUUCGGGCCGCGAUGGGCCGAAAGGGGUCAUGUGGGCCCAAUGGGCCUACGGGCCCAAUUGGAUAAGUUGUUUGAUUGUGUAGUAAAUAUUGGACUAGGCUAGGUGAAUCUCAUAUUUGUGGCUAGAUUUGGGAUAAAAGGGCCACACGAGUGUGUGGGCCCAUUUUGGCCGAGAAUGGGCUUUAGGGCCAUUUCUAUUGUUAUCCCUAUUUAGAAUACUUUAGUUUACCAAUUAUUGAAAUGCCCUCGACUUGUAAAAUUACCAAAGUACCCUCAAUUUAUAGAAUUAUCGUUUUACUCUCGAUUUAAAAAAUUACCAUUUUACCCUCAGUUUACAAAAUUACCGUUUUACCCUCGAUUGUGAAAUUACUGAAAUACCCCUGUAGGAUAGAAUUACAAAAAUACCCCUAGUUUGUAAAAUUACCAAAAUACCCUUAGUUUGUAAAAUUACCAAAAUACCCCUAGUUUGUAAAAUUACCAAAAUACCACUGGUUUGUGAAAUUAUCGAAAUACCCUCAAUUUGUAAAAUUACCAAAAUACCCCUAAUUUACAAAAUUAUAGAAAUACUGUUGACUUUCUAAAAAUUAUAGAAAUACCAUUGGUUUACAAAAUUACUAAAAUACCCUUGGUUUGUAGAUUUACCAAAACACCCUUGUAGGAUGAAAUGACUAAAAUACCCCUAAUAGGUAAAAGACCGUAAAGCCCCUGUAGGGUAAAGUAACCGUAAUACCCCUGUAUGGUAAAAUGACGAAUAUGCCGUUAUGUUCCGUAUGACUGAUGUGCUUAGGAUUUACAUAUAUUGAUAUUGGAUUGGUUAAGUUUGAGUUAUAGGUGGUGGUUAUCGUAGGUGAUUGAUUUUGGAAACAUUUCAACUUCAACCCAUAACAUAACAUUCAUAGGGCCCAUUAGGGGUUUUGGGCCCAAAAGCCCGAGUUUGAUAAAGUGGGUUAAAGAUCAUUGUUUAAACACUCGAAAAUAUUGAUAAUUGUUGAUGAACAUGGAAAACCCUGAUAUUUGGUAAAAUUAUGAAAUUACCCUUAUAGUAUGAAAAUGAUUGUUUUGCCUCUAGGUAAAAAUGACCAUUAUACCCCUAGGGUUUAAUUAUAAAUUUGAUACAUGGGAUAUGAUAUACAUGAUUGAUAUGAUAUGCACAUGAUAUGUACAAAAUGCAGAUGAUAUGUAUGAAAUGCAUAUGAUAUGUAUGAAAUGCAUAUGAUAUAUAUGAAAUGCACAUACUGUAUUCAUAAAUGCAUUGGGUUGGGUUUUUAUAUGGAUGGAGGAAGUGCAAAAGGGCUUAUGCCCCAGUUUAUUGAAAAGGGCUUAUGCCUCAGUUUACCGAAAAGGGCUUAUGCCCCAGUUUAUUGAAAAGGGCUUUGCCCCAGUUAUUAAAAGAGGCUAGGCUUCCAAAUAUAUGAUAAAGCAGCUAUGCUACCAGUGGUGUGUUGGUUGGGUGGGUUGAAUCAUUCCCCAUAUGGUGUGUUGGUUGGUACGGGUGGAGAGUUGCGGAUGGUGGGUCGAGUAGUCUCCCCAAAUGGGCUUGCAUAGAUCCAUUGGUAUUUCAUAUGAUAUUGAAAUGGGCUUGCAUACAUCCGUUGACAUUACAAGUGAUAUUGAAAUGGGCCUAUGGGCCAUACCGUUUACAGGAAAGGCUUCGGCCCAGUGAAAUGAUUUAUGAAAAGGCUUCGGCCCAGUGAUAUGAUUUAUGAAAAGGCUUCGGCCCAGUAUAUGUCAAGACUAAAUAGGGCUUUGGCCUAGAUUGUACUGAUACUGUGUUUUCACUAUUUUUAUGUUAUUGGGAUUACACAUUGAGUUUUCGUAAACUCACCCCAUUUCUAACUGUGCAGGUAAUCCCUAAGCUUAGAUGGUUUGGAGCUGCGAGGGACUCGGAGAUGGCCACACUACUGUUUCUGUUUCUUUUAAUUGCAAUAAGUAGCCGAAUUAUUUCUUUAUAAGUUUUAUCUUAUUAAUAUUAUUAUUUGGUUUUGGGUUGUAAUAAGGCCAUUUUAAUUAUUUUUUUGGGAUUAUUUUAUUUUAUACCCUAUAUUUUACUGAUAACAAUCCAAAAUGGGUUAGACUUAGGCCGCGUUUUCAAAAUGAUAAUUGUUUUCAAAAUAACGCAACGAUACAAUUAAUCAGUUUAUCAAAAAUAUCUAUUUAAAUGAAUUCUAACUCAUUUUUCUCAAAACCUAACCUCGCACCAAAGUGUGGCAAUGGUUGUGGGCAUGUCUAGGAUUGGAUCCAUUCGAAGAGCUUGGUACUUAAGCAGCCUUCAUGGCUCACCUCUUCUGUUUUUGGAUACCUACCUGGUGCGCAGCUUCCAUUCACUUGGUUAAGCCUUAUCAAACGACGGUUUUUUUUAAAACACUAAAACGAAGCGUGGAUUUUUUUAACUUCAAUGUGGCACGUCGGAUUCAGCCAUAACGUCUGGGCCGGGUUUGGGGUGUUACACCCAUAGAGUCCAAAUAAUAUUUAUCUAGGCUGUCCAUAUGAUACGCACAUGUCAAGGACGAGAAAUCAAUUUUAGAGGGAAAAAGUUUAGAGGUUAAGUUCGUAAUAUACGAUCCAAGUAUUAGAGGACGAUUACAAUGCAAAACAACAUGAAAAUUUCGUGCAAACCAAUAUCCUAAAUUAACUUUAUAGCCGAAAUGCAUACACCACAAGAAAAAUAAUUCAGUUCUCGUUAAAAUAGCGGAUGAAUCGUUUCGUCGCGAAAAACUAAAUGCCAAAAAUCGGUGAAUAUAUCUUAAAGCAGGUUCAUGCACUAAUAAGUCUUUUGUGGUUUUCGGAUUAUAAAGUUAAUUAGAAUUGGUUAAAACACGAUAGGCAUCUUGAGCAUUAAAGUCGCUCGGAAAGUCUAACAGAGUAGUAUGAUAGGAAUCGAAUUGAAUAUUGUCAGGGUCAAUGAAACCCAUGGAAAUGUUAAAAUCAAAUAUCGACAUUCGAAAGUCCUUUCCAAGUAGACGAAAACAGAUAAUGUUUUGUGUUUCAACUAUUUGUAAUGCAUUAAUAUUGAAGCUAAAUGUGGUGUAAAACUUAUAUAUUAACUCAUAAAAUGCAUAGCAAGAAAUAUUGGCAAAUGAGCUCCAACCAAUAGCAUCAAAAUAAUUAAUCACAGCAUCAUGAAUAUCUAACAUAUCAAGAGUGGUGAAAUCGAUUUGCUUACAAACCGGGAUUGGACGUUGUCGAAUAUCAUCAUAUCGUGUGCGAUGCUCUGGGGUUGAAAAAUCUAAAAACCCUCGCAAUCGUCCUUCGGUGGGAAUUGUGUUACCACGACCUCGUCUAUUACGCUGACUGUUUCGUGUUGGUCGAACUUAUACGUCGGGCGAGGGGGAAGGAUUUGAAUUUUUAGCAGCAUCAGUACUGCUACUCGGUGGUGUUGAUGGCUCACGUCUUGACUGUCGACGACUUCAAGUAGUCCGUGUUUGGAAUUGACUGACACGUUCAUUCAUGGUCGAAAGAGCGUCGACAUGUUCGUUAAAGGUUUGAGUCUCGUCUACAUGAUAUGUUAGUAAAGGAAAAGGAGGUUGAAGUUCAGUAAUCGACCUUUUGGGAGGAACAGGGUUAUUGUCCAAGUGUUCUGUAUCAACAGGAGUUGGGCUUCAUCGAUGACGAGUUCUCGUGGGUGGGGCCGUUCAUCUAGGAGGAGGUGGAGAAGGUUCAUCGUCGGCUAUAUCGACGAUAGGAGGCACGGAGAAUCAGUGCCGACUUCGAUUGAGUGAUACCAGAAAGUUAUCGGGCCGUUUGGUUUUGAGUUCGAGCCAUUGUGUCUAUAUAGAUGACAAAUAAUCGGCUCUGUCUACUAAGGCAUUGUGGUGGACGACAACGAUAGGCGGCAGCGACAGCAGCGGCGACAACGACAACAGUAUCAACGGCGGCAAUGGUAGGUGGUGCUAUUUCAGUCAAUUUUUUUAAUGGUGAUGGUGGGGGCAUCGGUGUUGGUGUCAAUUAAGGUGGUGGGUGGCGGUUUUGGUGUUUCAAAGAAAAAGAAGAAAAAGAAAGAAAAAAAUAGGGGUCGGGGGAAGAGGAGCGACGGCGCACGGUGGAAGGCUCCAUUCAGCGACGAUGGUGCAUCACAGGUUGGAAGUUGCUGUUCGGUGGUAGUUAGGUGGUAGAGAGGUGUUGGUCGACGUGGAGGAAAGGAAAAGAAGAAAAAGAAAAGAAAAUGGAGGGGUUUGGGUUCGGGUUCGUCAGCGUGAGGUAGGGUGGCGAGGUGCAAUGUCGGCUACGGGGUGCGACGACGGUACUUAGAAAGUGGUAGACGGCCGUCGAAGGGAGUGGCGGCGAUGGACGGCGGUUUGGGGAGUGUUUGGAGGUUGGGUUUUUUUUAUGGAGAAGAAAUUGGGAAAUUAAGGAUUUUGGGUGUUUAAAUUUUUAUUUUUGUUAUUAUUAUGUAUUUGGGUUAUUUUAGGUUGGGUGAGGUAUUUGGGUUAGGUGUUGGUUAUUGGGCCAACCUUGGGUAUUGGGUUUAUGUGCGUAUUGGGUGUGGUUGGUUUGUUUGGGUAGGUGAUUUAAUUGGGUUAGGUUGAUUGAUCGCGUGAUUCGUAACAAGUAAAAAAUAUUUAUAAUGAAGAUCAAACCUAGUCUAACUAAUAUCACGACGAAAAGGCAAGCGCACCUAUCAAACAAUAGUAUAGUAAUGGCAAGACCGGGAUAUCGUACCCAAGGGAACCAAAAGUACUAGUAAAAACUAUCUUUUUAUUAUUUAACCUAAGAAUAGAGAGGUUUUUUUUAAUUAACUAAUUAUCUAAACUAUGAACUCACAGAGAAAAGAAUCGGGGAAUUGCUUUUGGGAAAAUCGAUUGAAUGAAGACAAUACCUAAGGAAAAAUCCACCUAGACUUUACUUGUUAUUCUGGCUCUGAAUCGGAUGAUUUAUUCAUUCAACUUGUUCCAUAGAGAUCCCUAAGUUAUGUUAUUAUCCUUAUUCAAGACUAAUAACGUCUAAUCCCUAGAUUGAAUAACCGAGAUUUUUUUCUAAUUAACACUCUAAGAUUACAUUAACUCGAUCUAUGGAUCCCCUUAUUAGGUUUCAUCCUAAUCCAGUAAAAUCUUGUCACCCUAUUUCUAGGCGCGCAAUUAACUCCGUUUAAUCAUGACAAAUGUACUCUAAGACAGGGUCUAUUCCUCCUCUGAAUAAGAGCGUGUCUUGAAUCAGUAUCCUGGAAUAUCAAAACAAGAAUUAAGAACAUAUAAUUAAGAACAAGUUAAAUAUUUAUCAUACGAUUCAGAAAAUAAUAAGAAGAUUCAUCUUAGGUUUCAUCCCCCUUAGGUAUUUAGGGGUUUAGUUCAUAACUAAAUAAGAAAACAUCUCAGAAGAAUAAAGAAUACAAAACAUAAAGAAAACCCAAAACUCCUGAAGGGAAAUUGAGGAGAGAUCUUCAGUCUUGGUGAUGAAUCGACCUUCCGAGAUGGAUCAAUUGGCUUCCUUGGGGUAAUUCCUUACCCUCAUUCUCCGUCUCCCUUUUCUUCCUCCUCUAGGGUGUAUUUAUAGGCUUUGGAAUGCCAAGAAGCCCUCAAAAUUAGCCUUUUCUAAAUUGGACUCAUCUUGGGUUCAACAGGGACACGCUCAUGGCACACGCCCGUGUUCAAUUAUUUUAGGUCGUGCUCGAGCCUGCCAAAUUGACACGGCCGUGUGGUCUGCCCGUGUGAGGAGGUCCAGGCCGUGUUGAUUAAGUACUUUGGCCCAUUUUCUCUAUUUUUGGCCCGUUUCUCGUUCCUUUCGCCCUCCUAUGCUCUCCUAAGUAUAAAAUAUGAAAUUAGAGCAUUAGGAGCAUCGAAUUCACCAAUUCUAAUGAGAAAUCAUCUCUAAAAUGUAUUAAACAUGGGGUAAAAAUAUGUAUAAUUUAUGGUUUAUCAUUUAUGGAUGUGGGUAUUGGUGGGUGAUUGGGUAGUUUGGUAUUCGGGUUUGGGUUAAGUGGGUUAAGUGAGGUGGAUAUUUAUUGGAUUUUUGGAUUUUUGGAUUUCUGUAUUUUGGUAUGUGGGUAAAUGGGUUUGGGUAGGAAUUUAGUUGAUUUUGGCUUUUUUUCUUCAAUCACCAAAUUAGCAAGUCGUGCCCAUGCCACCAUCAUCGUUCGUCAUCUUGAAAAUUCAUGACCUCUAUAGUGUUCCUGAAAAUAUCAAUUUGAAUUAAAUAAAAAUUUAUUUAUUUACACCCUAAAUUCUACUUAAACUAAAAAAAAUUAGAAUAAAUAAAGAUAAAUUUGGGUUGCCCCCCAAAAAGCGCUUUUUUUAACGUCGUUAGCUCGACGACCUGUGAUAUUAUUCAGCUGGCUCUUCGAGGACUAAUUCCUCAACCAAGUGGACUUGAAAGUUUUCGUAAAAAUGCUUUAAGUGCUGCCUGUUGACUUUGAAAAUUUUUUCAGAUUCUUCACUUUUAACCUCGACUGCACCAUGUGGAAAUACGUAACAAUAAAAGGCCCUAACCACUUAGUCCAAAGCUUACCUGUAAAAAUUCUUAAUGUAGGGUCAUAAAGUAAUACUUUCUGUCCUACCAUAAAUUGUUUGCAGUUUAUCUUUUGGCCAUGGUACGCUUUGACCUUAUCUUUGUAUAUUUGGGCACUCUCAUACGCUUCUCGUCAAAUUUCCUCAAGUUCCUGGAUAUUUAAUUUACGAUGCUUACCUGCAACUUCCAAUUCCAUGUUGUAUAGUUUGACCGCCCAAAACGCCUUAUGUUCUAGCUCAACAGAGAGAUGGCACGGUUUACCAAAAAUUAGUCGAUAAGGAGAUAUACCUAUAGGUCCUUUAUAAGCUGUUCGGUAUGCCCACAAUGCAUCGUUAAGUCGUAAACUCCAGUCUUUCUAAUCCGGCUUAACGGUCUUCUCCAAAAUCAACUUGAUUUCCCGAUUUGACACAUCCGUUUGACUGUUCGAUUGUGGGUGAUAAGCUGUAGCAACUCGAUGCACUACUCCGUACUUUUUCAAGAGCGUAUCAAUCACUUUAUUGCAAAAAUGCGUCCCUCGAUCGCUGAUCAAAGCUCGCGGUGUGCCAAACCUGGAAAAAAUACAACUUUUUAGAAAAUCGACUACUGUUUUGGCAUCAGCACAACGAGUGGCUUUCGCUUCUAACAAUUUUGACACAUAGUCAACAGCAAGUAAAAUAUAAACAUUAUCGAACGAUGAGACAAAAGGGCCCAUAAAAUCAAUGCCCCAUAUAUUGAAAAUUUUACAAGCAUGUACAGGGUUUAGAGGCAUUUCAUUUUUUCAGCUCAAGUUUCCUACCUUUUGACACUUUUCGCAGGUUUUACAAAAUAGAAUGCGUCACGAAAAAUAUUUUUCCAAUAUAGUCCAUAUUCAAGUACUUUAUUCGCAAUUUGUUUGGGGCCAGAAUGUCCACCACAUGCAUAAGAAUGACAAAAGGAUAGAAUUGAUUUUACCUCAGUUUCAGGAAUGCAUCGGCAAAUUACCUGGUCAGAAUAGUACUUCUAAAGAUAUGGGUCGACCCAAAUAUAGUAUUGAGACUCACGUUUGAUCCUGUCUUUUUCAGAUUGCGAUAGGUUAGGAGAGACUAUACCUGUAGCAAGGUAGUUCACUAUGUCCACAUACCAUGGAAAAAUCGUCUGGGCAGCAAGCAAGUUUUCAUCCGGAAAAUCAUCUUUAAGUGAUGUUACAUCUUUUGAUGGAGGAAUUCGACUCAGAUGGUCAACGAUCAGAUUUUCACGUCCUUUUAUAUCUUUCAUUUCGAGAUCGAAUUCUUGCAGAAUUAGUAUCCACCUUAUAAGUCUCAGUUUUGCUUCCUUCUUCCGGAUCAAAUAUUUGAGGGCUGCAUAAUAAGAAAAAACGACAAUCUUAGUUCCUAAUAAAUAUGAACGAAAUUUUUCUAAGUCAAAGACUAUAGCUAGAAACUCUUUUUCAGUGGUUGAAUAAUUGAUUUGGGUAGCGUCCAAAGUUUUAGAGGCAUAGGAGAUGACGUGUGGUUCUUUCUCGAUCCUUUGUCCAAGGACUGCUCCCACGCUAUGGUCACUAGCAUCAUACAUUAUCUUGAAAGGAUAACUCCAAUACAGUGGUUGAACAAUAGGUGCCGAAACGAGCUUAUGUUUGAGCGUGUCAAACGCUUCUCUGCAUGACUGGUCAAACUCGAAUUCCUUGUCCUUCUGUAAUAGGUUGCAAAGGGGUUGCGCAAUUUUCGAAAAGUCCUUAAUGAACUGCCUGUAGAAACAUGCACGUCCAAGGAAAGGUUGAAUCUACCUCACAGUAGUGGGGUAUUGUAGUGAGUUAAUAAUGUCGAUUUUUUGCUUUAUCGACAGAAAUUCCCUCUGCAGAAAUAAUAUGACCUAGAACUAAUCCCUUGUCUACCAUAAAAUGGCAUUUCUCAUAAUUUAAAACAAGAUUAAAUUCUAAGCAUCUUUCCAAAAUUUUUGCAAGGUUAGUCAGACAUACCUUUAAGGACUCACCAUAUACAGUAAAGUCGUCCAUGAACACCUUGAUAAUUUUCUCAACGUAGUCUGAAAAUAUACUUGCCAUGCAUCUCUGAAAAGUGGCUAGUGCGUUACACAGUCUGAACGGUAUCCGUCUGUAAGCGAAUGUGCCAAAUGGGCACGUAACGUCGUCUUCUCCUAAUCCUCCGAUGCCACUGGAAUCUGGAAAAACCCAGAGUAACCAUCAAGACAACAAUUGUGAGACUUUCCAGCUAAACGUUCUAACAUCUGGUUAAUAAAAGGAAGUGGGAAGUGAUCUUUCUAAGUUAAGGAAUUCAACUUCCUGUAAUCGAUGUAGACUCUCCACUUAUUUUGGACCUGAGUGGGAACCAUCUCACCUACCGAAUUCUCAAUUACAGUCACACCAGUCUUUUUUGGUACUACGUGUACUGGGCUAACCCAACUACUAUCGGAAAUGGGAUAGAUCAUCCCGGCAUCAAGUAGCUUUUGGACUUCUUUUUUUAACACUUCUAUCAUAGGCGGGUUGAGACGCCUUUGAGCCUCUCUUUUGGGAACAGCAUUAUCGAUAACCUGCAUUUUGUGCAUGCAAGUCGAUGGACUCAAUCCCUUGAUGUCGACUAUUGUCCAUCCAAUUACCUCUUUAUAGUCCCUAAGGACUUGUACCAAGUUUUCUUCUUCUACCUUCGAGAGUUUACUCGAGAUUAUCACCGGUAGUGAAUUUCUUUCACCGAGAAAAGCAUACUUCAAGUGGCUUGGGAGUGGUUUGAGUUCUAACUCCGGAGCCUGCAAAAUAGAUGGUACGAGCUUAGUCUGUGAGGGAGAUAAUUCAAAGGUUUUACCUGAAGCUUUCCGAAGUUGUGAUGCCUCCAUAUGAGCUACUGUUUCGUGAACAGAAUCUUCAAUGGUUAUCCACUCCUCAAGUUCCUUAAUGGCAUCAAAGUCCAAACUUCUUCAAAGGACAGUUUGCAAUUCAUCCUUGUCAUGAUAUUCCAAAUAUAACUCAGUUAAAGGAUCAAUAAUAUCAAUAUUAGAAACAUUAGAAAUCAUGCUAGGACGGUUCAUGGCCUCGUAGACAUUGAAUUUUAAUAAUUCCCCAUCGAACUCCAUAGUGAGUAUCCCACUUCUUACAUCAAUCUUCGUUUGUGCGGUACUCAAAAAUGGUCUACCAAUAAGUAUGUUUGAUGCAUUGGCCGAAUUGUCAUCCUCCAUGUCGAUAAUGUAGAAGUCUGUAGGAAAUAUUAGCUCGUUUACCUUGACAAGAACGUCCUCUAAUACUCCCUCCGGAUGCACCACAGAUCUAUCUGCAAGCUGGAUUAUCACGCCUGUUUCCUUUAAAGGACCCGCGUUAAGUAGUUUAUAAAUUGACAAAGGCAUAACAUUAAUUGAUGUGCCUAGGUCACACAUUGCUUUUUUAAUACCAACGCUACCUAUUUUACAGGAUAUGGGAAACAUACCUUGGUCUUUAUAUUUGGGCGGUAUUUUUUGUUACAGAAUGGCAGAGACAUUUUCUCCGACACUUACCUUUUCAUUUCCCAAAAGUUUCCUUUUCGUGUAUAACUCUUUCAGGAACUUCGUGUAUCAUGGGAUUUGCUUAAUUGCAUCGAGAAGAGGUAUGUUGAUUUUCACCUUUUGGAAGGUGUCGAGGAUCUCAUUCUCGUCUCGCUCCUUACAUUGGACAAGUUGUCUGGGAAACGAAGGUGGUACUGCAAAUGACUUUUGUGGUACCGACUCCAUUGGAGCCUCUGUGCCAAGUUUCUCCUUAUCUUGACUAGCGUUGUGGGCGUAACUAGUGUCGUGGCCACGACUUGUGUCAUGUACGGGCUCCAAAACCUUCUCACUCCUUAGCGUCAUAGUGCUUGCAUUGUGUCGUGGAUUUGGCUCAGUCUGGGAUGGCAGCUUACCUUGGGACUCGGCUAACCGUGAGCGCUAGUUUGCUCACUUGCCUGUCCAACUCCUGCAAAUGCAUGUCAGUUUUUUUUUGGAACUUCUCAGUACUGUUGGCUAGCCAUUCCACUAUGGUUUCCAAAGAUGACUUUGGGGGUGGUAUCUGUUGAUUCUACGACGGCCUUUGUUGGAAUGGUUGAUUGAACCGCGGAUUUGUCCCAUAGCUAAGAUUCGGGUGAUCCUUCCACCCCACAUUAUACGAGCUCGAGUAGGGGUCAUACUGUCUUUGGGGUGGUCCUGGGAAGUUCCCAACAGCAUUCGCUUGUUCUGCCGAACCCUUUUGUAAAAUUGGACAUGAGUCAAUCGAGUGGUCUAGCUUGGCGCAAAUUCCGCAUAACCGUGCUGGGCCUGUUUUAUCUAAAAGAAAAGUUUGAACAACAUUAGUCAACUUGUCAAUUUUAUCUUCUAGAGAUAGAGAAUUUAAUCCAUGAACCUCGUGGGUUCUGUAACCGAUCAGAAUUGUUGAAAGUUGGCAGCCAUGGUUGAAAUCAACUCUCUCGCUCUGUGAGGUGCCAUGUUAACAAGUGCCCCCCACUUGCAGCAUCUAUCAUUUUCAUUUCCAUCGAGAGUAAACCCUCAUAAAAAUACUGCAAGAGUGACUGCUCAGCGAGUCCAUGUUAUAGGCAGCUUGCACACAACUUUUUAUAUCGCUCCUAGUAAUCAUAGAGCGACUCAGUGUCUUUCUGACGGGUUCUUACGAUAUCCCUCCUUAGUUCGGCCGCUCGGGCUGCAGGGAAGAACCUAUCAAGAAACAAAUAAGACAUGUCAUACCAUGUGUUGAUAGAUCCCGGAGGCAAAUAAAAUAGCCACUCUCUAGUAGAGUCGGCUAAUGAGAAUGGAAAAGCUUGAAGUUUGAUUUGGUCUUCUGUUACUCCCUGAGGCUUCAUGCUUGUGCAGACCAUAUGGAACUCCUUAAGAUGGGUGUGCAGAUUUUCGUUUUCUAGUCCACGAAAAGUGGGUAGUAAGUGGAUCAAACCCGACUUUAGUUCGAACAACAUUCCUCCUAUCGGAUAGGUUAUACAUAAAGGCUAUUGUUCAUCUGGUGCCGCUGCGAGCUGGCGUAUAGUUUGUUCAGCCAUCUCGUCUAGUUCGUCAAAAAAUUCUUCGGUGUAAGAUAUAGUUUCAAAUUCACGAUUUGGCCGUUUACCACGUCGUAUGGCUUAUAUUCGUAGUUGUCGAGCCAAUUUCUCAAUUUUUGGCUCAAACUCUAGAUUUCCCGGUUCUGAUCUGGUCAUAAGGUAGACAAGCAAAAGUUAGAAAAUAUCUCCAAUCACCAGCAACGACGCCAAAAUUUGAUGGGUGUCGAAUCCACCAAAUAUAAUUCCUACUAAAUACUUUGAAUAGUAGUAAUGGUAGUAGGGUCGAGUCCACAGGGAUUGGUACUCUAAUCAACUUUCAAGUUUGGCUUAUGAACAGAAUGUCGUGUCAAGGGUCGUGGCUAGAGUCGUGCCUACGACUCAAAACGUACUAGCUGUAAAAUAAGUAAAUAAAUAAGUAAAGCGGGAGAUUUUGAAAUUGAUUAGAAAUUAAAUAAUCAAAACUGCUAAGAUAAAUAAUUAAAUAAAUCAAAAAUUAAAUUGGGAUUUGCAAUCAAAUGUAAUGAGCCUUAGCCUUAGGCUCGGUAAAUUCCGUGUUGAGAAUCCAUCCUCGAAAAUUGAUCUUCUUGUUUGUAUGAUAAGCUAGUUAUAAUGGUUAAGAACGUCCUAACCACCUAUUCUUCCUCUCGUAGCUGGUCCCGGUACGACCUGCAAACCAACCCUUACCAAUUAUCUAACCGAGAUACACGUGUUCCAGAUUUAAGAUUCCGGUAGCCUUGCGUUCUGUAGAACCCAGCUCAAAUUAACGGCUUCAGCCGCAUGGGUCGUUUAAACCCGAUCACCUCUUCCUCAAUUUGUUCUUAGAGAUCUAAAUACAGCAGGGCCGAUUCGUUUCUCCAACUGUCAGAAAACACGACUCCAACCCAACGAGCUCUUUUUGACUUGAAAUCGAAUUAUCCUUAAGGGAUGAGUUGUCAGUCCCAAUACUUAGGAAAUAGGUGAAUACCUAUUGGAAGGAUUUUAGGCGCGAGUACGAAUCUCAAAAUUCUCGACCGGAAAGAACACCGGCCUAAAGCUAAGAUGGAAUUUAGUGGAACAUGAAUUUAUUCAUGUUUGAAAGUUGUGGAAAAUGAUGGAUUUAUAUGGCAGGUGAUGGAAAUUGAAAAGGAAAAGUACUUGGAAGGUAAUUAGCCCGAUUUGACAAAAGAAACAAAACCAAAUGAAAAAGUGGCAGAAUGCUAAACUUUAAUUUGAAAAGGGAAAAUGAGAGUAUUUCUAUUUUAAAUAGAAGUAGGAAUACAAAGACAAAUAGAUGAUUUUCUAAAAACUAAAAGCCCCUAUUUAUAUACAUAGGGUUUACCAAAAAUAGGCUAAAGCUAAAUUAAUAAAAUAAAUAAUAAAUAAUAAAAUAAAAUAAUAUCUUCUAUUUUUAGCUUUUUACAAAGUCAAAAUUGAUGUUAAAUCCUUGGCUUUCCCAUCUUUAUGAUUUGGCCCCAACUCAACGAUCUGUCUUUCAAUUUGAUCCAUUUUUUCUUAUUUUUGACCAAUUGCAUCCCUGACAAGAUUAAUCCAUAAAAACACCAAUUAAGUAGGGAUUAAUUCAGAAAUAAGCCAAAUUAAACACAAGAAUCAUGUAAAUUAACAUGGUUAUCAACUCCCCCUACUUAGCUCAUGCUUGCCCUCAAGCAUGUUUGUUCUUUCAAACAUUAAAUUUGUUCUACAAUUUAUUAAAAAUCGAGCCUCUUUUCGCAUACAUAAUCAAUGUAAACAACAGCGGGCAAAAAUAAAUAAACGCUCAAGAUAUAAUGUUUAAUCAACAAAUGUCAUAAAAUUGAAACAUGUGGACUAAAUAAUUUCACUAAAUUGAGUUUGAAUCCAAUAAAAUGAAAGGCAUUAUUUAAAUAACUAUGCAUUAGAAAAAAAUAUUGACGUGGUCAAACCUUUUUACGCGAACUAGGAUGACAACCUAAGCGCCCUAUCCCCGUUAGUCAGUUUAAACCGUCUUAAAUUUUAUUUAUUUAUUUAUUUAUUAUUUAUAUAUAUGUUUUUUUAUAUAUAUAAUAAAGCUCAGUUAGCGGAAUGUUUAUAAGUUAUCGACUUAUCACUCGAACCUUUUUACGCGAGAUAAGAUGACAACCCAAGCACCUUACCCCGGUUACUCAAUCCGGUCACGUUUUCGAAACUUCACUCAUAACUUGAACCUUUAUUUUUCACUUAUUUAUUAAUGCACAAGGAAAUAUAAUUUUCCAAACAAUCAAUUUAUACGGAAAAAAUCAAGCUACAUAUAUCAAUUUUAAGACACAAAUGUUGACUGACCUAUAUACUUGAACAUUUUAAUUCAAAUUUUGCUCAAUUGUCCAAACUAACUAAGUAUGGGAUUAAAGGCUCAAUGUUAAAUAAAUUGUUGAAUGAACUUACUGUAAGAUUGAACACAUGCAGUUGAUAAACAUGUUAAUUUACAUGAUUCUUGUGUUUAAUUUGGCUCAUUUCUGAAUUAAUCCCUGCUUAAUUGGUGUUUUUAUGGAUUAAUCUUGUCAGGGAUGCAAUUGGUCAAAAACGAGCAAAAAGGGGUCAAAUUGAAAGACAGAUCGUUGAGUUGGGCCCAAAUCAUAAAGAUGGGAAAGCCAAGGAUUUAACAUCAAUUUUGACUUUGUAAAAAGCUAAAAAUAGAAGAUAUUAUUUUAUUAUUUAUUAUUUAUUAUUUAUUUUAUUAAUUUAGCUUUAGGCUAUUUUUAGUAAACCCUAUGUAUAUAAAUAGGGGCUUUUAGUUCUUAGAAAAUCAUCCCUUGUUUUACAUUCCUAUUUCAAUUUGGAAUUGAAUUACUCUCUCUCUCUUGUAUUUCCUUCUUCAAUUUGGAAUUGGAAUAUGAUUUUUUUUCUCUUCAAUUUGACGUUACAUUUUGUAGCAUUGUCCCUAAUUUUUGUUUAUUUUCCAUAAUUGGGUCAAUUGCUCUCCAAGUCCUUUCUAUUCAUUUCUUCACCAUAAUCAUCAAUCUCCUUUCCAAGCUCACAAAGCAUGAACAAUUUCAUGCUUAACUAAAUUCUAUCUUAGCUUUAGGUCAGUUUUCUUUUCGGUCGAGAAUCGUGAGAUUUGUACUCGUGCUUAAAAUCCUUCUAAUUGGUAUUCACCUUUUUUCUAGGCAUCGAGAUUGACAACUCGUCCCUUAAGGAUAAUUCGAUUUCAAGUCAAAAAGAGCUAGUUGGGUUGGAGUCGUGUUUUCUGACAGUUGGAGAAAUGAAUUGGCCGUGCUGUAUUUGGAUCUCCGAGAACAAAUCAAGGAAGAGCUGAUCUGGUUUAAACGACCCACGCGGUUCAGGCUGUUAAUUCGAGUUGGGUUCUUCAGAACGUAAGGCUGCUGGAAUCUUGAAUCGGGAACAUGUGUAUCUCGGUUAGAUAAUCGGUAAGGGUUGGUUUGCAGGUCGUACCGGGACCAGCUACGAAAGGAAGAAUUGGUGGUUAAGACGUUCUCAACCACUAUAAUCAGCUUAUCGUUUGAAAGAGAAGAUCAAUUUUCGAGGAUGGAUUCUAAACACGGAAUUUACCAAGUCUAAGGCUAAGGCUUAUUACAUUUGAUUGCAAAUCCCAAUUUAAUUUCUGAUUUAUUUAAUUAUUUAUCUUAGUAGUUGUGAUUAUUUAAUUUCUAUUCAAUUUCAAAAUCCCCGCUUUACUUAUUUAUUUGCUUAUUUUUCAACUGGUACGUUUUGAGUCGUGGGCACGACUCUAGCCACGACCCUUAACACGACAUUCUGUUCAUAAGCCAAACUCAAAAGUUGAUUAGAGUACCAAUCCUUGUGGACUCGACCCUAUUACCACUCUUACUACUAUUCAAAGUAUUCAGUAGGAAUUAUAGUUGGUGGAUUCGACGCCUAUCAGAAUGUAACCUAAGACAGAUCUUGUUAUUAUUAUAUGAAUUGUAUCAUAAAUAUUUGACUUAUUCUUAAUUAUGUGUUCUUAAUUCUUGUUUUGAUAUUCUAGGAUAUUGACUCAAGUUAAGCUCUUAUUCAAAGGAGGAAUAGACCCUGUCUAAGUGUACAUUUGUCAAAAUUAAGUAGAGUUGGUUGCAAGCCUAGAGAUAGGGUGCCAAGAUUUUGCCAGAUUAGGGUGAAACCUAAUAAGGGGAUCCAUAGAUCGAGUUAAUGCAACCCUAGGGAGUUAAUUAGAAAGAGAUUUCAAUUAUUCAACCUAGGGUUAGACGUUGUUAGUCUCGAGAAGGAUAAUAAUAUAACUUAGGGAUUUCUACGAAUCAAGUCAAAUGAAUAAAUUGUCCGAUUCAGAGUCAAAUAACAAGUGAAGUCUAGGUGGAUUUUUCCUUAGGUAUUGUCUUAAUUCAAUCGUCUUUCCAAAAGUAAUCCCCCAAUUCUAUUUUCUGUGAAUUCUUAGUCUAGUUAAUUAGUUAGUUAAAACAAACCCCAUUAUUCCUAGGCUAGAUAAUAAAAAGACAGUCAUUACUAGUACUUUUAGUUCAUUUGGGUUCGACAAUCCGGUCUUGCUAAAACUAUACUACUGUUCGAUAGGUACACUUGUCUUUAUCGUGAUAAUAGUUAGUUUCAAGAACAAUUCAUUAUAAAUUUAUAAAACUUACCGCACCAAAUCACGAUCAAGUUUUUGGCGCCGUUGCCGGGGAACUAAGAUAUUAGGGACACUCGAUUUUUAUUACUUUAACCAUUUACUUUUACUGUAUUUUAAAACUAUUCCUAAUUUUUAUUACUAAUUCUUCUUUUUCCCUUUUUUCUGGGAGGUUCUUAUAGUUUAUGACUAGAAGAAACCCGUCAGGACCAUUACUUUUUGAUAGUGAGAUCGAUCGCACAGUUCGCAGAAACCAAAGAGAAAUAAGGCGAAGCUUAAGAUACGCAGAUAACGAACAAGAGGACGAUAUUCAAACCCCAACCGAAGAGAUGACUGAAAAUCAAGAAAUCCGCUACCUCCUGCAAUUACUGUUAAUCAGAAUCCUGCUCCACGCACUAUGUAUGAUUAUGCUAAACCUAAUUUAAUAGGAACUGAGUCAAGUAUAGUUAGACCUGCUAUUGCUGCAAAUAAUUUUGAACUAAAACCUAACACCACCAUUCCAAUGAUACAACAGUUUUUUCAGUUUGAUGGUUUGCAGGACGCGGAUCCCAACGCUCACUUGGCAAAUUUCCUAGAAUUUUGCGAUACCUUUAAAAUUAAUGACGUUUCUGAUGACGCCAUUCGUCUUCGGUUGUUUCCCUUUUUGUUAAGGAACAAGGCUAAACAGUGGUUGAACUCGUUACCACGAGUGUCAAUCACUACUUGGGAACAAAUGACCGAAAAUUUUUUAUUAAAAUAUUUUCCACCAGCUAAAAUAGCCAAGUUACGUAAUGAUAUCUCUUCUUUUGUGCAGAUGGAUUUAGAAAAACUCUACGAUGCAUGGGAAAGAUACAAGGACCUUUUGAGAAGGUGCCCUCACCAUGGGUUACUGCUUUGGCUACAGGUUCAAACGUUUCAUAAUGGCCUGAAUCCUUCGACUCGGCAGAUGAUUGAUGCAGCCGUUGGAGGAACUAUCAAUAAUAAGACACCUGAGGUGGCUUACAAAUUUAUUGAGGAGAUGUCACUGAAUAACUAUUAAUGGCAAGUUAUGAGAACAAAACCGACGAAAGAAGCCAGUGUUUUCAACCUCGACGCGGUUACUAUGCUAUCUAACCAAGUAGAACUCUUAAAUAAAAAGAUUGACGGUUUGUGUGGUUCUACUAAGGUACAUCCAGUGAUGAGGCGCGACUCGAAUAGAGGAUAAGCAUGCAUGGAAUAUCAACCCUUCAACCCUAGAAUCGAGGAGGAACAAAUCCAAUAUAUGGGUAACAAUAAAUCUAGAUCUCAAAAUAACCCAUAUAGUAACACUUAUAAUACAGGUUGGAGGAACCAACCCAAUUUCUCGUGGGGCGGUCAAGGAAAUCAAAGGCCACAACACCCUUCGGGUUUUCAACAACCACCUUACCAGCAACAAAAGAAGCCGAACCUUGAGGAGAUGCUAACCAAAUUCAUUUCGGUGUCAGAAACCCGUUUUCAAAAUACCAAGACAGCACUUAAGAAUCAACAAGCAUCGAUCCAAGGGCUCGAAACUCAGAUUGGACAGCUUGGCGAGUUGAUUUCUGAACGACCACAAGGUAGCUUGCCAAGCAACACAGAAUCUAAACCAAGGGAGCAACUCAACGCAAUUACUAGUCAAGAUGAGGAAGGGUUAGUCACACUUGAACCAGAACCAAGGCAAGAAAUUGAUAUAAGCAAAGGCAAAUGUGAGGUAGACCACAAUGAGCAGAAAUCGGUAAGUACAGAAUACAAACCUCGUGUGCCAUACCCUAAUGCGAUAAGGAAAGACCGCUCAGAUGAACAAUUUGGUAAAUUCUUUAAACUCGUAAAAAAAUUACAUAUUAACUUACCAUUUAUUGAAGCUCUAUCGCAAAUGCCAAAUGCAAUGAAAUUUUUAAAGGAGCUUUUAGUAAAUAAGUGAAAGUUGGACGAGGCUUCUCAUGUGAAGCUAAACGCAGUUUGUUCAGCUAUUCUACAGAAUAAACUACCCAACAAACUAAAAGAUCCAGGGAGUUUUACGAUUCCUUGCUUAAUUGGUAAUUUAGAUGUUAAGAAUGCAUUAGCUGAUUUAGGGGCUAGUAUUAACGUCAUGCCCUACAAACUGUUUAAACAAUUAGGUCUUGGGAAACCCAAACAGACUAGGAUGAGCAUUCAAUUAGCAGAUAAAAAUAUAAGAUUUCCUAGGGGCAUUAUUGAAGAUGUGCUAGUUAAAAUAGAUAAAUUUAUAUUUCCCGUUGACUUCAUUGUUCUAGACAUAGAAGAGGAUAGCAACACUCCUUUGAUUUUAAGAAGGCAUUUCUUACCAACUGCUAGAACAAUUACUGAUGUUGGCACAGGUGAGCUCACACUUCGUGUGGGAGACGAAACAAUCACCCUUCAAGCUCGCAAUUCUGGCAACACAUCAAAAAUUGAAGGUGAUUGUCUAAACCAUUCUACUAAAACUGACAAUAUGGUGCAACCUACUUUGCAGGAGAUGAGUUUGAAGGAAGUACAUGAGCCAUUUUCAAGCAAUAGUAGAGGACCUAUUCAAGAAGAACGAAGGCUACAAAUUGAGGAGCUAGAUGAAUGGCGAACACAUAAAUCGAGAACACACGAUAAACCAAAACUACGCCAAAACAAGCUCAAUACCUUUCCAAAUCAACUUAAGGUUGGAGAUAAAGUUUUAUUAGAUGCCGCAGAUCCUCACAUUAUAACUGCCAAACCGAAUGAAGAAAUCCCUCUUACGGUACUUAGCAUUUUCUCAUUUGGUACAGUCAAGGUAAAUUAUCCCAAGUUUGGCACUUUUAAGGUAAACAAUACCCGCCUAAAACCUUAUUUUGAUGAGAUUCACAGCAGGAAUGAGGAGUGUAAACUCCUCGAACCACCAAGACCAUUAAAUGGAAAGGUAAGUUGAGCUUAGACUAUAAAUAAGCGCUUCUCGGGAGGCAACCCGAGCACUAACAAUAUUACUUUCUUUAAAUUUUAGUUUUUAAAAUCUAAAACUUUCUUUAAAUUUUAGUUUUUAAAAUCUAACAUACUAACCAAAUCAUUGAGCACAGGCUUUUCAGAACCACACGGCUAGGCACACAGGCGUGCCGUAGGCCGUACACAUACCAUGGUAUGCAAUAUGGCCGUGCGAUAUGGCCGUGUGAAAACAAGGCAAAAAUUUCUUCCCCAACACAGGAUGCGAUAAGUAGCCACGACCGUGGGCGGAAUUGUCAAAAUAACACGGGCGUGCAACACGCCCGUGUUUUGAAACUGUGGGUAAACCUAUCAAUUUAACAUGGGCGUGCGCCUGCCUACACGGGCGUGGGAGAAGCGAACAGAGAUCGACACGGCCGUGCAACAUGGCCGUGUAAACCAAUGCGCCUAAUUUCGAAAAUCAGAAAGAGCUCCAAAGCUCAUCCCCGCAUAGAAACUAAAAACUCCAACGGGAAAGGUUCUCCAUGACUGCCUUGUCCUGUUUAACCAUGACCAUAGCUACCACUAGAUAUAAUAUUCUUUUGGCGCAGGACUUAUGGACUAAUGAACCUCUACCACCACCAGAGUAUCCUCCACCACCCUCACGCCGAUUAUUCUCCAAAACUCCAGUUCAAGGAAAUUCAUUCAUCACUCAGGAAGUUUCACUUCUCUCCCUAUCUUAUUUUUAUAUUCUUUUCUAAAUAUCUGUUUUUGUACAUUGAGGGCAAUGUACAUCUUAAGUGUGGGGGGUAUUCAUUUCACUAUCAGAAAAAUCCCUGAAUGAUUGUCUUCUUCUCUUGAAAAGCUCUCAUAUCAUGUUUAGGAUAAAUUUUGAUUGAUUUAUGACUUCUAUUGAUAUAUCUUGAAUUAAAACAUAGGCAUUUAUGCAUUGAUUGUUUAAACUUUAAGACAUUAGGGAAUCAAGCAUGAUAAGUUGAUUUUUGAAGAAUUAAAAACUUCUAGGUUGUUUCCCUAAGCUUAGAUAUUAUCUUGAGUUGGAAUUCACAAGUUUAAACAUCAAAAAGCCAUAAUUUUUAUGAGAUCUUAAGCCUUUAGAGCAUAUAUUAUUUCUUUCAUGCUCACUUUCAUUAUGAGUGCGUCAGUCUUGAAUUGUUAUUCUAGAACUUGCUUGAUUAUGCAUGUCAGGAUCACACCAUUUGAUUUGAUAUGUCAAAAUGAUAAAUGCACUUAGGUUUAACCCACUCAUUCCAUAAAAGCACACCUUCAAAAUUAACCCUUAGUGAACCCCCCUUGAGCCUAACAACCCAUUCAUUAAUUUACCCUCAAUAUUAACCCAUAACUCAUUAUUGUUGAAAUCCCCUAAAUUAAUUUGAUUUGAUCCCUAUUUUUAGUCGAGAUUUGAGCUGAAUAGUUGCUUAGUUAUGUUUUAUUCUAUUUUGUAAUUUACUUGUUCUUAAAAAAAAUGUAUACAUAUUAGUAGUAGUGAUCUUCUGAGCUAAAGAAGUUAAAUUCCAUAUUCUGAGAAAAAGCUUUGUUGCACGCAUUGUUAACUAGUCAUUUUUCUAGUUAGGCAAUUUUUCAAUUCAAUCUCGAUUCUAACCCUUUCUUUCAGUUUGUGACCACAACCUCUAACCAAAGCCACAUUACAACCCUCUAAAGACCUUUUGAUUGAUGUUCAUCUCAAUUUAUUGUGGUAGAGAUUUGAUUUUCAUACAAGCCUAAGGUAAUGGCUUUUCAUUAUUGACUAUUGAGUGCUUCAUUUUAUUGUCCUUAAACACCUCGAGUGUUUAAGUGAAUCUUAAGUGAGAAUGUGAAACUCUGUGAUAUUUGAAUCAAAGGUAAUUACUUAAAUGAGGGGAGACACCUAUGAUUUCAUGAUAAAAUGCUCAGCUUGGAAUGUUUGAAACUUUGAUGUUCUUUCAGUUGAAUUUUCAAUGUAUGAUUACCUAUGGAUUAUUUUGAGAUAUUAUCGAUAGAAAUUAUAAGUUAAGAAGAAUAUAUUUUGAUCAUGAGUUGAGAAUUUUGCUUGAGGACAAGCAAAUGCUUAAGUGUGGGUGUAUUUAAUAAACCGUAAUUUAUACAUAUUUCUAUCCCAUGCUUAGCAUAUUUUAUGGAUGAUUUUUCCUUAAAAUUGGUGAAUUCGAUGCUCCUACUGCCUUAAUUUCAUGUUUUAUACUCAGGUGAGCAUAGGAGAGUAAAAGGAACAAGAAAUAGGCCAAAAACAGAGAAAAUGGGCCAACAUACGAAAUCAACACAGCCUGGACCUCCUCUCACGAGCAGACCACACGGCCGUGCCUAUUUAACAGGCUUAACCACGGCCUUAAGUAAUCGCACACGGACGUGUCACACAGGCGUGUCCCUGCCGAGCCCAAGUUUAGUCCAAUUCAGAAAAGGCCAAUUUUGAGGGUUCUUAGGCAUUCUAAAGCCUAUAAAUACACCCUAGAGGAGGAGGAAAAGAGGACACACAGAGAAGGAAGUAGGGAAACGCUCAAGGAAAGCAUAUUGAUUCAUCUUAGAAGCCAGAUCCAUCAUCAAGAUUGAAGAUCUCCCCUCAAUUUUCCUUCAGGUGUUUCAGGUUUUCCUUUAUGUUUUGUAUUCAUUAUUCUUCUGAAUUGUAUGAUAAAUAUUUUACUUGUUCUUAAUUAAGUGUUCUUAAUUCUUGUUUUGAUAUUCCAGGAUAUUGACUCAAGUUAAGCUCUUAUUCAGAGGAGGAAUAGACCCUGUCUAAGAGUACAUUUGUCAUAAUUAAGCACAGUUGGUUGCGCACCUAGAGAUAGGGUGACAAGAUUUUGCCGGAUUAGGGUGAAACCUAAUAAGGGGAUCCAUAGAUCGAGUUAAUGCAACCCCAGGGAGUUAAUUAGAAAGAGAUUUCAAUUAUUCAACCUAGGGUUAGACGUUGUUAGUCUCGAGAGGGAUAAUAAUAUAACUUAAGGAUUUCUACGGAUCAAGUCAAAUGAAUAAAUCGUUCGAUUCAGAGUCAAAUAAUAAGUGAAGUCUAGGUGGAUUUUUCUUUAGGUAUUCUCUUAAUUCAAUCGUUUUUCCAAAAGUAGUCCUCCAAUUCUAUUUUCUAUGAAUUCUUAGUUUAGUUAAUUAGUUAGUUAAAACAAACCCCAUUAUUCCUAGGCUAGAUAAUAAAAAGACAGUCAUUACUAGUACUUUUAGUUCCUUUGGGUUCGACAAUCCGUUCUUGCUAAAACUAUACUACUGUUCGAUAGGUACACUUGCCUUCAUCGUGAUAAUAAUUAGUUUCAAGAACGAUUCAUUAUAAAUUUAUAAAACUUAUCGCACCAAAUCACGAUCAUAGGCCGUAUGGUUAAUUAAAAUAUUCAAAACUAAGUGCAGGUUUCACACGGCCAAGACUUACGCCCGUGUUUUAAGCCGUGUAGCACACAUGGCUGAGACACACAAUCGUUUCUCUGCCCGUGUGCUCAAUUCUGAGAUUCUAUUUGUUAAAUUUUAAGAUGCAGGGGACACACGGUCAAACCACAUGCCCAUGUGCCAGGCCGUAUAUCACAAAUGGUCAAGACACACGCCCGUAUGUCCACCCGUAUGUACAAAAUAAAUCCAUUUCCUAGCUUUAUUUCUAACCCAAAUUUGCCAAUAACCUACACCAGCACUUACAAGUAUAUACCAGCCAAUCCAAGCAUUAUAACCAAACAAAUUUUAACAUCUAACAUGGUAUUUUAACAUCCAAGUAUAUUCAUUUAGCAUAACUCAAUCAAUCCAUAAUAUAUACUCAUGAUAUUGCCAUAGGACAACCUCAUUAGAUAUACCAAAACAUAACCAUUACUAGCCAUUCUAGUGGCUAGAUUACAAACAACAUUUAUAAGUCAACAAUGGCGAAGUUACCUAUACAUGCCAUUAUAUCAAAAUGAGGUUGCUAUUUACACCAAAACAAGCUAAUGGAUAGUGUGAUGAUACGCCAACCGAUCUCCAACCUUCACGAGCUUCCGAGAAUUGUAAAACAAAGAAAAUAAAACCUAGUAAGCAUUAUAUGCUUAGUAAGUUCGUAUAACAGGAAUUAAACUUACCAAUCUCAUUUAUUAAAGUUAAACAUACAAUAACAUGUUUUUCCAUCAACUUGGCAAAUUGCCUAAACACAUACACUCAAUUAAAUAAGUUAGUUACAUAAGUCUAAUGUAUAUCAAAUAGCAUAGAUGAGCUCAUCAUAAAACAAUUCAUUAAAUUACUCAGAAUCAUUCAAAAUAUAAAUUUGAUAUAUCUUAUCACUUUCUAUUGUCAAGAGUUUUAUCUGUUGAAUUAACGAAAUAUAGAUGAAUAAUCUGUAAACCGUCAAUUCUUUUUCAGGGAGCAUACUCUCGAGCUAGAUGUCAAGAUACUCAAACGAGCCAUGUAAUCAUUUAACAAGACACUUAUCCGAGCUAAUCAGGAAACUCAUAAGAGUUUUUACUCAGGAAGCUCAUAAAGCCUUUUAGAUAUCUCUAAAGAGAUAAUAUCAGGGAGCUUCGGAUAAGGUAACAGAGAUUUCCAGUGAGCUUAACAGGGCACUCAUGAAGAGCGGUGUUUGUGUCCGCAUUAAAUGCAAGAUCACAACCGAUCGCAUGUUAGGAUGCUCACAAAGAGCUGUGGUAGUGUGCAACACAUACUAAACCACUACCAAUUAGGAUGCUUGCAAGAACUAUAUAAAAGGAUGCUCGAGAGUCUAUAUCGGGAUUACUCGUCCAAGCUAAAUCCCUUUUAUAACAUAUGCAGAAUCACAUUCAUAGACGGGAAAGCACAUGUAUCCAUCGACUUUCAUUAUUCCAACGAAACUUAGCAUUUUAAACACAUUUCCAAUCAUGUUACCGUUUCAUAUUUUUAUAUCAUAUGCAUAAAUAAGUUACACAAAACUACCUUGAUAAUAAUUCGUACAAGAAAAUCUACUAAUCCGAAACUUUCUCUUUUUCUCGAUCUAGCUUUGAAUUUGUGUUAUCUGGAUCUAUAUAAAGGAAUUUAAUCAUCAAUUUCUCACAUUUCAUAUUCUAUUGAACUCAAUUUACAUCCUAGGUAAAAUUAUCAUUUUGCCUUAAACAUUUCAUAAUUUCCAAUUUCAUCCCUAGGCUCGGAAAUUGAAAUUCAUGCAAUUUACUCCUUAUUCCAAGCUUAACCGAAAUUUUAAUGUAAAAUUUAUAGCACUUGUAUUCUAUAAAAUUCAAAUUUUUCUUCAAUUUACACAAUUUUACAAUUUAGUCCCUAAAUCACAAUUUCAUCAAAAUUCACUUUCUAAAAGUUGUUUAUCUAUCAAUAACCUUUCAUUUUCUAUGAUAAAUUUCAAAUUUUUAGCAUAUUCAUCCUUGGAAAAAAUUCUAUACUUCGAUAAAUUUUCAAAUUAAUCCCCCAAAUAGAUAGAUUAGACUAUCCCGAUUUUAAAAAUAUAAAAAUUACUAAAAACGGGACAAGAAUACUUACCCAAUCAUGUUGCUAUUCCUUAUUAUUAAUAGCCCUGAUUGCUAAGUAAAUACACACUCGUUUAGAAAAGAUUCUCGAAAUUCAUAAAAAUCCUCUGUUCUAAAUAAUUUACAAAAUAAAAGAAAAUUCACGGAGAUGCUCGCAUUGAUAGUUACUUACCGACAGCCUUUUGACCAGUGUCUAACCACAGAACUUUUGUUAAUCUCGUAUCCCAAUACCACAUCCUGUUAACAAAAAAAAAUAAAAAUGAAAAAAAAUAAAAAUGGGAAGGAAAAAGAAGAAAUUAUCGUUAAAAUUAAUUUCUUAAAUUCCAAGCAGAUUUCUGACAUAUAACAAAAAUAGUUUCCUAAUGCAUGCGAUGGCAUUCGAACUCGGAACCCGAUAGAAUACAGACAGUUGUUUAACUAUUGAACCAGAAGACUAAUUCUUGUCACAAGUUCACACUGAAUCGAACUCAAGCGGUUAACGCGUGCUUAUGGGUUGAUUUUAAAACUAACAAAACUUUUAAUGAUGCGACUCGAACUCCAGACCUUAAACUCAAUCGUAGAACACAGAUCCACAGAUAUAGAAAUUAAUUACAAUAGAAUCUCACACUUAAAUUCUUAAAAUUUUGGGGCGCUACAACUCUCUCCCUCUAAAAGAAAUUUCGGCAUCGAAAUUUUACCUGAUUUGAAUAGAUAUGGAUACAGUCGUCAAAUUGAUUCUUCUGAUUCCUAUGUGGCUUCUUCAGUACCGUGGUUCCACAAAAGAACUUUCACUAGUGUAAUAGUUUUCUUCUUCAGUACCCUAAUGUCCUAUUCCAAGAACUGGACAAGCUCCUCCUUGAAAGUUAAGUCCGGUCACAAUUCAAUCUUGUCGACAAUAACAACAUGUGAAAGUUUUAGCCUAUACCGUUUCAGCAUCGAGACAUGAAAUACAUCAUGAAUUUUUUCUAAUUCUAACAGUAACUCCAACUGAUGCGCAACAGGUCCAAACCGCUUCAGAAUAUGGUAAGGUCCAAUGAACCUCGGGCUCAGCUUACCCUUACGUCCAAAUCGGGAAAAUUUCUUUCAAGGUGAUACUUUUAGAAAAACUUGGUCACCUACCGAAAACUCAAUAUCUUUUCUUUUCAAGUCAGCAUAAGACUUUUGUCUAUUGGAGGCUGCUUUCAAACGAUCACGAAUUAGUUUCACUACGUUCUCUGUCUCAGAAACCAGUUCAAAACCUAAUACCCGAUGUUCACUUAAUUUAGUCCAACAUAAUAGAGUACAACACCUGCGACCAUAUAAGACCUCGUAGGGUGCCAGAAUAAUACUAGACUGGAAGCUGUAAUUGUAUACAAACUCAGCCAACUGUAAGUAUUCCUUCUAACUACCCCUGAAGUCUAUCAUACAACCUUGGAGCAAAUCCUCUAAGAUAUGAAUAAUUCGCUCCGGCUGUCCAUUAAUCUGGGGUGAUACAUAGUGCUAAAAUUAAGCCGGGUGCCUAAAGCCUCAGGGAGUUUCUUCCAGAAUCGAGAAGUAAAUCGUGGAGCUCUGUCAAAGAUGAUCGAGACCAGAAUCCUGUGUAGUCUCACAAUCUUGGCGAUAUACAAUUUAGCUAACUUUUGUAAGGAGUAAUCUGUUCAGAUAGGAAGGAAGUGAGCCGGUUUGGUCAAGCGAUCAACGAUGUCCCAAAUCGAAUCUUUCUUAGUGGGGGUUAAAACCAACCCCAUAACAAAAUCUAUUCUUAUCUGCCCCCACUUUCACAGAGGAAUUUUAACUGGUUGAAGCAACCCGGAUGGCAACUGAUGUUCUGCCUUAACAUUUUGACACGUCAAACAGCGAGACACAAAAGUAACUACUCCCGUUUCAGUCUGGGCCACCAGUAGAGUUCUGGGAGAUUUCAAUAGAUUUUGUUCCCACCAGGAUGGAUAGCAUAGAGACUGUUAUGCACCUCUUGUAGGAUCGAAUACCUUAGUUCCUUAUCAUUGGGUACACAAAUUCGCCCUUUGAAGCAUAACACAUUAUCGCUAUUCAAGCUAAAAUCAGAAUUUUCAUGUGAACCCAUAUGUCGCAAUCGCUGCAUUAAGGUUUCAUCAUUCAGUUGUAAUUUUACCCAAAUCGGUCUAACUUGUAAUUUUACCAACAGUCCUCCAUCCCUAACCAAGCUCAAACGAGCGAUUAUUGCUUUUAGUUCAGUCAUCGCUCUACGACUACGGGCGUCAGCCACCACGUUAGCCUUACCCGAAUGGUACUCUAUCGAGCAAUCGUAAUCUUUUAGUAACUCAACCCAUCAACGCUGCAGAAAAUUUAACUCUUUUUAGGUUAAAUAAUAUUUGAGACUCUUGUGAUCGGUGUAAAUAAUACACCUUUCACGAUACAAAAAGUGUCUCCACAUCUUCAGAGCAAACAUGACCGCAUCUAGUUCAAAAUCAUAUGUAGGGUAAUUACCUUCGUGUGUCUUAAGCUGCCACGAUGUGUAAGCGACCACCUUACUGUCCUGUAUAAGUACACAUCCUAACCCCACAUGUGAAGCAUCACUGCAAACCACAAACAUCUAACCCAAUUCUGGGGCAUUCUUGGGAUCAACUCGAUUCUGGUUCGUCAGAGGUAACCAGCUAAACCCAAGAAGCUACAAAGCUCAGAAAAAAAUUUUCUAUUGUUUCCACUCAACAACAGCUUCAAUUGUCUUGGGAUAAACUCGAACCCUCCGUCGUCACAACAUGACCCAGAUUGGCGACUUCCUGUAACCAAAACUUAUACAUACCGAACUUGGCAGUAUCUAAAGUACAAUACGGAGAUGACCAUCGUGCUCAAUUUUAGCUUUUAGAGUAGAUCAAGAUAUCAUCGAUGAAAACCACUACAAAUUGAUCCAAAUAAGGUUGAAACACCAGAUUCAUUCAGUCCAUAAAUACUGCCAAGGCAUUUGAUAACCCGAAAAGAAUUACUAAGAACUCGUAAUUUCCAUGACGAGUCCUGAAAGUAGUUUCGUACACAUCAGUCUUUUUUACUUUGAGUUGAUGGUAAUCAGAGCGUAGGUUGAUCUUGGAAAAGAUAGAUGCUCCUCGAAACUGAUCGAACAAGCCUUCAAUCCUCGGUAACGGGUACUUGUUCUUGAUUGUCAACUUGUUCAACUGUCUAUAAUCAAUGCACAUUCUCAUCAACCCAUUGUUCUUCUUAACAAACAAUAUCGAUGCCUUCAUGGAGACACACUCGGUCAAAUGAAUCCUCUAUCAAAGAGUUCUUGAAGUUGCCUUUUAAUUUAGUCAGUACUUUCGGCGGCAUACGAUAGGAUGCAAUGGACACUAGAGUGGUACCUGAUAACAGGUCAAUUCCAAAUUCCACCUUACUCUCCGAGGGUACUCCGGGCAGUUCCUCGGGAAAGGAGUUUGGGAAUUCCCUCACAGUGUAACACCCUCUACCCGUAUUUUGAGCCUAGAAUAGGGUACGAGGCAUUACCAAACUUAAUAUGAUCAAUCAUGUAAACAAAAUUAGCCAUAAAUUUUUUUUCUAAAUUAAAAACUUUCAUACAUAUGUUUAACGUCCCUUAUAUGGGCCUACGGGGCCAAAAACAUACAUUCAGGAUGGUUCGGGAUCAAACGGUAAACAUAUGAAACUUUUGCAACACCUAGAAAAUUUUCACACUUUGGAGAGUCACACGCUCGUGUUUUCAACCCGUGUAACUCUCUGUUUAUAACUUCAUCACCCUUGUCAGUCGUACACUUCAUAUAAAUAACAAGAAACGUGUAUGGGCUUUAUUCUCAUUCAAUUUCUCAUAUAUAUACAUAAUUUCACGUUAUGUAAUCAUACAACAUAUAUCAGCCAUAUCUCUGUAAUCUAAAUAUGUUUUCAUAACAACUUAUCUUGAUUUCAGACUAUUUCAUAUUUAAGCUUAAAUAACCAAAGUAUUUGAAAUAUCAUCUUUAUGCAAAUAGUACAAAUGAGGUAUAUAAUUCUAUAAUUAUAAAUAAACACAUUUAUCAAACAUUUUUCAUAUUCAUAUAUCAAUGUCUCAUGUCUACAUAUAUCAAUAACCAUCAUUUUCAUGAAUUCCGAGUUCAAUUUCAUAAUUAUUUGUCUCGUGUUCAAUUUAUUCCAUAUCGGAAUUUUAUUCAUUAAAACAUUUGAAUUAUCAAUACAUAUGGACAGUACAUUCAAGAUGAACAAUUAUAUAAUCACAAAUGAAUUCAUUUAUCAACCAAGUUCUAUACUCGUAUCUUAUCAAUUCGUACUUCCUUGUAUCACAUAAUUCCAUGUAACACUUAUCAAACUUUGUCAAAUUAGUGAACGUCUUACGGAAUUGAGUACUUCGUUUUCUCGAUGCCAUAGUUCAACUAUGGUCUUACACAUCUUCACAUAAUGAUGCCAUAUCCCAGCUAUGGUCUUACACAUAUUCAUAUAUCGAUGCCAUAACCCAGCUAUGGUCUUACAUGAAUCACAUAUCUCACUGAUGCCAUAUCCUAGAUAUGGUCUUAUACAGUAGCAUAUAUCACACCGAUGCCAUAUCCCAGAUAUGGUCUUAUACGGAAAUCACUUGUCAUCACUUGUCACUUGUAGCCGAAGCUACCACUAUUCACUGAUCAGGUAGCCGGAGCUACCAUUUUUCACUGAUCAGGUAGCCGGAGCUACCACUUUUCACUGAUCAGGUAGUCGGAACUACCACUUUUCACUGAUCAGGUAGCAGAAGCUACCACUUUUCACUAAUCAGGUAGCAGAAGCUACCACUUUUCACUUGUCAUUUGUCAUUGAUCAGAUAAGUGUAGCUGAAGCUAUCACUUAUCACUUUCACUUUUCCUUGAUCAGAUAAGUGUAGUCGAAGCUAUCACUUAUCACUUGUUGCCAUGGUCCAACCAUGGUCUUUUCCUUCAAUUCAUCUUGUCACUGAACUAAAAUACUCAAUUUGAUCAUUUAUUCAAUUUUCAUGCUUUUACAUUAUUCACGAUUUUAUCAUCAAUACAUAUGAAAUAACACAUCAUGAAAUUCAUAAAAUUAGCAAAUAAUCACUAAAAUUUAGCCAUAUAAACUCACAAGUUCAAUUUUUGUAUUAUAACGAUAAUCAUAAUUUCAUAUAAUUAUACCAAAUAAAACAUUAUAUCAUUUCUGAUCCAACACUUAUCGAUUAUAAUUGGGCAUGUGAUCAAUUUAUACACGAGUCAUUCAUAUAUUUUUGUAUAUUUUCCUUCUCCUCCUCUCCAUCCACAUCCUUAGUAUAAACAACACACUUAUAGGUAACAUUAUCCAUAAUUUUCACUAUCAACUUAUGUGAAUAUUCAAGCUGUCCAUCUGUGUCAUAGUAACAAAAUUAUUUUUAUCUUGAGCUACAGAACUCAGAAUUAAGAUCCAUAAAUUUUCCCAGAAACUAGAUUCAAGCUGUCCAUCUGUGUCAUAAUUUUUGGUUGGGCCAAUUAAUACAGUUUAUUCAUUGAAAUCUCCUCUAUUCUGCUGUCUGACAGUUUCGACCCUUCUUCACUAAAAAUUAAUUAUCUUCUCGUACAAGAUUCGAAUGAUGUCCUUGUUUGUUUCUCUUGAAAAUAGACUCAUUAAGGAUUCUAAACAUAUAAAUUUAAGCCUCUAAUUAUUUUUAUCCAAUUUUUGAUGAUUUUCCAAAUUCAAAACAGGGGAACCCGAAAUCAUUCGAAUGAUGUCCUUGUUUGUUUCAUGAUUUACAAUUCCAUUGCUUACAUAAUUUCUUUUAUAAGAAACAAGACUCAAUAAGCUUUAAUUUCAUAUUUUAUUCAUCCUUUAAUUCGAUUUCUACAAUUUUUGGUGAUUUUUCAAAGUUAAACUACUGCUGCUACCCAAAACAGUUUUAGUGCAAAAUGUUGAUUUCCAUUUUACCUCAAAUUUCACAAUUCAUACAAUUCAGUCCUUGCUCAAUUAACCCCUCAAUUAAGAUAAUUUUCUCAAUUAAUACUUUUUCUAGACAUUAUAAGUUAUUUCAUAACUAUUGAAAUUUAGAAUUUUCACAUAAAACUCUAACUUCAAACUCUUUUACAAUUAGGUCCCAAAUAUACACUUUCUAUUCAAUUCUUUCAAUAAAAUCAGAAUAUAAACAAUUUAAAGCUCUAAUUCCAUGCCAAAUCAUCAUAUACUUCCAGCACUCAUCCAUAACAACUUCAAAAAUUAGACAUGGAAUCAAAAACAAAUGAAAUAGUAAGUUGGACCCAAUUGUAAAAGUCUAAAAACAUAAAAAUUUCAAGGAGAAAGCAAGAAUUAAACUUACAUGAAGCUAGAGUAUGAAAACCAGCUUGAACCCUCCUCCAUGGUUGUUUUUCAGCUGAUGAAUAUGAAGAGAAAUGAAGAGAAUUCUAGAUAUUUCAAUUUAGUCCCAUUUUUAUUUAGCUAAUUUUGUCAAUGUUCCAAUUUUGCCCUUAUUUCAGCCAUUUCCUGAUUUUUCUCGGCUAUUGCCGCCAAAAAUAUCUCCUUUGGGCUUAUUUGCACUUUAGGUCCUUCCUCAUUUGACAAUUGAGCUAUUUAAUCCUUUUAGCAACUUUUACACCCUUUUCAAUUUAGUCCUUUUUAUUUAAUUAACCACUCAAACUUCAAAAUUUUCUGACUAAAUUUUAUUACUACCUCACCAACACUCCAUAAAUAUUUCUAAAAAUAUUUAUGGCUCGAUUUAUGAAGUCGAGGUCUCGAUACCUCAUUCUCGACUCAAUUUACCUAAUUAAUUCUUUUAAAUCACCAAAUUCACUAAUUCAAAAAUGAUUUUGUAUUCACAUUUGACUCAUAGGUAUUAAUUUAUUAAAUUUUCAACUCACUUGUCGGAUUUAGUGAUUUCAAAUCUCUAUUCCCGAUACCACUGAAAAUUAGGCUGUUACACACAGUAUGGAUAUCUCUUACUUAAUAAGGUAUGCCUCGCACCAUUUUAGGACUAGCUUAUCUGCUACAAGGGCGGAGAUUACAUUAGAGAGAUAAUCUUGAUGCUUACCAACCAUAACCACCUCGUCAUUCUCAGUUGGUCUCAGGGUAACCCUCUUGGUUGCAUAGUCUAGACUGACCCGAUACUCAACAAGCCAACCCAUUCCCAAAAUAAAGUCAAACUCAUUAAAGGGCAUUUCCAUUAAAUCAGUUGGAAAUACUAUACCCUGAAGUUCAAGGGUACCCGUCUAUAUACUUUACCAACUCAGAUUGAUUGUCCCAACGAACUAAUCACAGAAAACUCUCUAGGAGUAUUCUCAGCAGUUAAACCCAUAUUUACAGUAACAACACUAGCUAUAUACAAGUGAGUAGAGCCAAUAUCAAUGAGAGCAUAAUACGGAAAAAAAUGAAUAAAGAAAGUACCUACAAUGACAUCAGCAUCAUCGGUCUCCUUGUGGCUUCUCACCGCAUAAACCAGUGCUACCGACGAGCCUCAACCUGACCUGCACCUCUAGCCGGUGCUCUCUGUCCUCUCCCUGAUCCAUUACCACCCCUACCAGUACCACAACCUAUGAAUGGUUGUUAAAUCUCUCUUGGCGGCCGAACAAAAUUGGUAGUUAGAGUUUGUGCUGCAAUUGACACUGAAUCAGGUUGACGGGGGCAAUCCCUAACUCGAUGCUCUAUCGAACCACAAUGGAGGCACGCUCCUAAUUUCCUCCAGCACUGGCUGGGAUGGCAUUUCCCACAAUCACUACACUGUUGAAUCUCAGUCACUGCAGCUGAUGCCUCGGCCCUUAGGGGCCUAUAAAACCUCGUCUGUUUCUUAGUGCACUGAACAGAACCAAAGGGACCCAAAUCCCUCAUAACCCUAUUCUAAUCGUUAUCACGGUCCCGCCUCUCGUACUCAAUGUGUUUCACUUCUUCCACUAUCUUAGUCUUGUGGACUAGAAUCAUAAAAACCCUCUCCCUCUAAGAAGCUAUCAAGACUCGUAGAUCAUAUUUCAAUCAUUCCUAAAAUCUCAUGCACCUGUCAUAAUCAGAUGCUACUAGAGUCCAUGCAUACCUACUCAAUCGUAGAAGCUAGCCUCAUAGUCAGCUACACACUGAUCGCCCUGAACUAGGCUCAUAAACUCAUGUCGACGAGGCUGGACAUAACUUGCCCCCACAUAUUUACCCAGGUCGGCGUUCUUGAAACAAUCCAGUUCACUUGUUCAGAUUGAGCACCUUGCUUAACGGUUAACCACCACUAAUAAGCUUCAUCCUAGAGUAGGGACACAUGUAACACCUCUAACCUGUAACCGUCAUUGAAUUAGGGUUACAAGGCAUUACCAGACAGACAGAACAUUUUAGACCAAUUCAGAAUCACAAAUAUCACAUAAUAUUAAUACAUAGGCAAUCAUCAACAAUUCAUAUCUUAUGAAGGUCUACGAGACCUAAAACAUACUUUCAAGGACAGUCGGGACUAAAUCGGACACAUUCAUAAAUUUUAGAACUCAGAAAAUUUUUCAAUUCGGUUGAGGCCACACGCCCGUUGAUAAACCCUAAUUUAUACAUAUUUUUAUCCCAUGCUUACCACAUUUUAUGAAUGAAUUUUCCUUAAAAUUGGUGAAUUUGAUGCUCCUAAUGCCUUAAUUUCAUGUUUUAUACUUAGGUGAGCAUAGGAGAGUAAAAGGAACGAGAAACGGGACAAAAAAAGAGAAAAUAGGCCAACGUCCAAAAUCAACACAGCUUAGACCUCCACACACGGGCAGACCAUACGGCUAUGUCAAUUUGGCAGAAUCGAAGCACGACUCACACGGGUGGACCACACGACCGUGCCUAUUUAACAGACUUGACCACGGCUUGAAGUAAUCGUACACGGGCGUGUCACACGGGCGUGUCCCUGCCGAGCCCAAGUUGAGUCCAAUUCGAAAAAGGCCAAUUUUGAGGGUUCUUAGACAUUCUAAAGCCUAUAAAUACACCCUAGAGGAGGAGGAAAGGGGACAAACAGAGAAAGAAGCAGGGAACUACUCAAGGAAAGCCGAUUGAUCUAUCUCAGAAGCCGGAUUCAUCAUUAAGACUAAAGAUCUCCCAUCAAUUUCCCCCACGAGUUUUGGGUUUUCUUUAUGUUUUGUAUUCAUUAUUCUUCUGAGAUGUUUUCCUUUUUAGUUAUGAACUAAAUCCCCUAAAUACCUAAGGGGAAUGAAACCUAAGAUGAAUCUUGUUAUUAUUUUCUAAAUUGUAUGAUAAAUAUUUGACUUGUUCUUAAUUAUGUGUUCUUAAUUCCAGUUUUGAUAUUCCAGGAUAUUGAUUCAAGUUAAGCUCUUAUUCAGAGGAAGAAUAGACCCUAUCUAAGAGUACAAUUUUCAUAAUAAAGUGGAGUUGAUUGCGCGCCUAGAGAUAGGGUGACAAGAUUUUGCCUGAUUAGGGUGAAACCUAAUAAGAGGAUCCAUAGAUCGAGUUAAUGUAACCCUAGGAAGUUAAUUAGAAACAGAUUUCAAUUAUUCAACCUAGGGUUAGAUGUUGGUAGUCUCGAGAGAGAUAAUAAUAUAACUUAGGGAUUUCUACGGAUCAAGUCAAAUGAAUAAAUCGUCCGAUUCAGAGUAAAAUAACAAGUGAAGUCUAGGUGGAUUUUUCCUUAGGUAUUGUCUCAAUCAAUCGAGUUUUUCCAAAAGUAAUUCCCCAAUUCUAUUUUCUGUGAUUUCUUAGUUUAGUUAAUUAGUUAGUUAAAACAAACCCCAUUAUUCUUAGGCUAGAUAAUAAUAAGACAGUCAUUAUUAGUACUUUUAGUUUCUUUGGGUUCGACAAUCCGGUCUUGCUAAAACUAUACUACUGUUCGAUAGGUACACUUGCCAUCAUCGUGAUAAUAGUUAGUUUCAAGAACAAUUCAUUAUAAAUAUUUAAAACUUAUCACCCGAAUAUCACGAUCAAGUUUUUGGUGCCGUUGUCGGGGGACUAAGAUAUUAAGAACACUCAAUUUUUAUUACUUUAGCCAUUUAUUUUUCUUGCAAGUUAAUUUUAUUUUAUUAUUAUUUAUUAAUUUACUUUCUUUUUCUCUUGGCAGGUUUUUAUAGUUUAUGAGUAGAAGAAACCCGUCAGGACUACUACUUUUUGACGAAGAAAUCGAUCGCACAGUUCACAGAAGCCAAAGAGAAAUAAGGCGAGGCUUAAGAUACACAAAGAACGAGCAAGAAGACGAUAUUCAAACCACAACCAAGGAGAUGGCUGAAAACUAAGAAAAUCCGCUACCUCCUGCGAUUGCUGUUAAUCAGAAUCCCGCUCCGCGCACUAUGUCUGAUUAUGUUAAACCUAAUUUAACAGGAACUAAGUCAAGUAUAAUUAGACCUGCUGUUGCUGCAAAUAAUUUUGAACUGAAACCUAACACAAUUCAAAUGAUACAACAGUUUGUUCAAUUUGAUGGUUUGUAGGACGAGGAUCCCAACGCUCACUUGGCAAACUUUUUGGAACUAUGCGACACAUUUAAAAUUAAUGGGGUUUCUGAUGAUACCAUACGUCUUCGAUUGUUUCCCUUUUCAUUAAGGAACAAAGCUAAACAGUGGUUGAACUCGUUACCACGAGGGUCAAUUACUACUUGGGAACAAAUGACCGAGAAGUUUUUACUUGAAUAUUUUUCACCGGUUAAAAUGACUAAAUUACGUAAUGAUAACUUUUCUUUUGUGCAGAUAACUUAGAAACACUCUACGAUGCAUGAGAGAGAUAUAAGGACUUUUUGUGAAAAUGCCCUCAUCAUGGGUUACCAUUCUGGCUACAGGUUCAAACUUUUCAUAAUGGCCUAAAUCCUUCGACUCGACAAAUGGUUGACGCAGCUGCUGGCGGAACCAUCAAUAAUAAAAACACCUGAAAAUGCCUAUGAAUUUAUAGAGGAGAUGUCACUGAAUAACUAUCAGUGGCAAGUCAUGAGGACAAAGCCAAAGAAAACAAUCGGUAUUUAUAACGUUGAUUCUGUCACCAUACUCUCUAAUCAGGUAGAACUCUUGAAUAAGAAAAUUGACGGUUUUCUUAGUUCUUCACAGGUUCACCCAGUAAUGCAGUGCGAAGCAAGUGGAGGUGGAUCAAGCAAUUUAGAAUACCAACCUUUUGGCCACAACAUGGAUAACGAGCAAUUAAAUUACAUGGGUAAUAAUCCUCAAUCUCAAAACAAUUCAUAUAGUAACACUUACAAUGCAGGUUGGAGGAACCACCCAAAUUUCUCAUAGGGAGGCCAAGGAAAUCGGAGACCACCUCUAGGCUACCAACAUCCGCCCUACCAACAGGAAAAGAAGCUGAACCUUGAGGAGAUGCUCUCCAAGUUUAUCUCGGUGUCAGAAACUUGUUUUCAAAAUACCGAGACAGCACUUAAGAAUCAACAAGCAUAAAUCCAAGGGCUCAAAACUCAGAUUGGGCAGCUUUCCAAGUUGAUUUUUGAACGACCACAAGGUAGCUUGCCAAGCAACACAGAAUCUAACCCAAGGGAACAACUCAACACGAUUACUAGUCAAGAUGAGGAAAGGUUAGCCACACUUAAACCAGAACCAUGGCAAGAAACUGAGAUAAGCAAAGGCAAAGGUGAGGUAGACCACAAUGAGUAGAAACCAGUAAGUACAGAAUACAAACCUCGUGUUCCAUACCCGAAUGCCACAAGGAAAGACCGCUUAGAUGAACAAUUUGGUAAAUUCCUUAAAUUCUUAAAAAAAAUUACAUAUUAACUUACCGUUUAUUGAAGCUCUAUCACAGAUGCCAAAUGCAAUAAAAUUUUUAAAGGAGCUUCUAGCAAAUAAGCAGAAGUUGGACAAGGCUUCGCAUGUGAAGUUAAACGCAGUUUGCUCAGCUAUUCUACAGAAUAAACUACCCAACAAACUAAAAGAUCCAGGGAGUUUUACGAUUCCUUGCUUAAUUGGUAGUUUAGAUGUUAAUAAUGCAUUAGCUGAUUUAGGGGCUAGUAUUAACGUCAUGCCCUACAAAAUGUUCAAACAAUUAGGUCUUGGGAAACCCAAACAGACUAGGAUGAGCAUUCAAUUAGCAGAUAAAACUAUAAGCUUUCCUAGGGGUAUUAUUGAAGAUGCGCUAGUUAAAAUCGAUAAAUUUAUAUUUUAGGAAGACCUUUUUUAGCAACUGCUAAAACGAUUAUUGAUGUUGGCAUAGGUGAGCUCACACUUCGUGUGGGAGACGAAAUAAUCACCCUUCAAGCUCGCAAUUCUGGCAACACAACAGAAAUUGAAGGUGAUCGUCUAAACCAUUCUACUAAGACUAACAAUAUGGUACAACCUACUUUGCAGGAAAUGAGUUUGAAGGAAGUAUAUGAGCCAUUUUCAAGUAAUAGUAUAGGACCUAUUCAUAAAGAACAAAGGCUACAAAUCGAGGAGCUAGAUUAAUGGCGGACACAUAAAUCGAGAACACACGAUAAACUAAAACUACGCCAGAACGAGCUCAAUACCUUCCCAAAUUAACUUAAGGUUAGAGAUAAAGUUUCAUUAGAUACCGUAGAUCCUCAUAUUGUCACUACCAAACCAAAUGAAGAAAUCCCUCUUACGAUACUUGGCAUUUUUCCAUUCGGUACAGUCGAGGUAAGUCAUCCCAAGUUCGGCACUUUUAAGGUAAACAACACCCGUCUAAAACCUUAUUUUGAUAAGAUGGAUAGCAGGAAUGAGGAGUAUAAACUCCUCGAACCACCAUGACCAUUCAAUGGAGAGGUAAGUCGAGCUUAGACUAUAAAUAAGCGCUUCUCUGGAGGCAACCCGAGCACUAACAAUAUUAAUUUCUUUAAAUUUUAGUAUUUAACACCUAACGUACUAAUGGAGCUCUUGAAUACAGGUUUCCCACAUAGACACGGCCUAACACACAGGUGUGCCUUAGGCCGUGUGGAAACAGGGCAAAGAUUUUCCCCAGCACAGGCUACGAUAAAUCGCCAUGGCAGUGCGACAUGGCCGUGGGCAAGCCUGCCAAAUCAACACAGGUGUGAAACACACCUGUGCCUUGAAACCGUGGCCAAACCUGUCAAAUUAACACAGGUGUGCGACACGCCCGUGCCUAGCAACCGUGGUCUAACCUGUUAAAUUAACACGGGUAUGUGACUAUAUACAUGGGCAUGGGAGAAGCGGAUGAAGACAAACACGCCCUUGCGAAACGGUCGUGUGCACCCACACGCCCAAGGAACACAAGCGUGGGCCAAUUGUGAGACGCGCCCAAAUUUAAAAUACGUGAAUCACACAAGAAAAAAUUGGGGAACACGGACGUGUUCCAUGGCCAUGUGUCCCAAAAUCUAUAAAUAUCAUACACUAUUCAUUGUCUUCUUCACUCAAAAUCCCUAACCUUAGCCGCUGUAAGUCCGCACGACCUCUCUACCAUGCCCGUGCGCCGCUUCGCACUCUAUUUUUUACGCCCAAUCUCUCUCCCUUAGCGUUUGUUCACUCUUUUCACUUCUAUUUUACUUAUUUCUAAUGCUUAUUAUCAAAAUAAUCUUCAUUCUUCUCAUACUAUUUUCAUUUUACUCAUUAUUCUAUCAUUUAAUUUGCAUUCUUAGGUUAUUUAUCAUACAUUUCAUGUUGAAUCGAGUUGUUAGGAAAGCUUCAUUCUAUUGUCUUACUCAUGCCAUUACUAUGCUCAUUCUCAUGCUAUUACCAUACUAAUGUCACAAAAUUACGCUAUCAAAUUGUUUAUUCUGGUUGAGUUUGGUUAGUAUUAGUAGUUUUGGCUUAAAUAGUUAUUUCAAAUUCAUGGUUUUUUCCUUUUCAAAUUUGUCUACCUACUAUUAUUCUUUUUUAUAUUGUAGGUACACAAUGUCGUCUUCAUGUGGUAAAAAGGUCGUCAUCCCUACUUCAAAGAAAAGGAAGGGAACGUCAUCUUCCUCGGGUCCUACCGCGAAAAUUCACCACCCUUUCCUGUAAUUUCCUAUCGGGCCCCAAGAAGAACUUUUCCAAAUACUCCGGGCCCGACCUUUAAUUGCGAGCCACUGCAUCGAUUGGGCUGUAGUAGAAUAAGUUCAGUUGGCUGAUGCGAUUCGGGUCCUCCUAACCACGACCCUUGGGAGCUUUUCUUUGGGAUCAUUGAACCAACAUAUCUCGACCUCACGAUGGAACUAUGCUCAACGUUUCAUCUUCAGACUGUAAUGACGAACUACGAUGAUCCUAGCACGGUCCAAUUUUGCCUAGGCGGAUUAGUCCGCCAGCUAAGCGUCCCAAAAUUCGAUACUGCACUGGGCUUAUAUACAGAGGAGUUCAAGGAGGAGAAUGACUUACAUGCUUUCAACCGCCACAUCUAUCGUUCUCAUUCACGAUGCUGGUAUGUACCAGUACCAGGUUCAGCCAUCUACAAUCCUAGCCACACCAAAGCAUCGGCUCUCCCUCCAUCUCUGAGGUACGCACACGCCAUUUUGGCUCACACGAUAACAGGAAAGUGAGAGAGCACUGGCGUCGUCAGCACUCAUGACGCCUACUUUCUAUGGUGUAUGUCGCACGGGCACGUCAUAGACCUUGCUUAUUUCAUUGCCUUUGCCAUUCAGCACCACACGGAGUGGCAUAGGAAUGGGGUCAUCUCCAUUGGCCCCUAUGUUACUUGGUUGGCUCGACACUUCGGGCUCCUCAACACCACGGCCCAAGAAUCAUCCUUGACCCUUAUUGGCCAAAUGCCUUCCCAAGGCAUCUCGAGCAUGCCAAGCAUGAGGAUGAUCGAAACGCGCUGAGGAACCUACCCUCCUCAAUAUCGUCUCGUCCAAUCUACUGAGGAGGAGGCCCCCGUGGACAUUACUGAUGAUGUCCGUCCACAUCACAAGGACCUACCAUCUCAGCCACUACUACCCUCUCGUCUAGUUCAUGCGGCGGCUCCAUACGAUGAUAUCUCUGAGCGCUUAACUCGAUUCGAGCAGCAAUGUUCUCAGUGUUUCGAUCACAUUGAUGCUACACUGCACCAGAUUUGUCAGCACUUCCACAUCCCAUCCCCACCCUCACCUUGCGAACCAUCUAGCGAUGAAGAUGUUUAAAAACUUUUGUUUAUUAUUUUAUGUUUUUACUUUUAUUCUACUUUAGGACUACAUUUUAUUUUUCUUUAAGCUUAUUUUUAUUAGGUUUUAUAAUUUUUAUUUAACAAUUUUGAAUUUCGGCUAUUUCCUAUCAAGUAAUUAUUCUUCCUUAUAUAUUUUCUAAAAGAGUUCCUGAUUCUAUCACAGUUAUAAAGAUCUCCAAAGCUCACUAUUACUUAGGGACUCGAAACUCCACUAGGAAAGAUUCUCCAUGACUGCAAUGUCUUGCUCGACCACGACCAUAACCAACCUCAGAUAUAAUAUUCUUUUGGCGUAGGACUUAUGGACUAAUAAACCUUUACCACCACCAGAGUAUCCUCCUCCACCCCCACGCCGAUUAUUCUCCAAAACUCCAGUUCAAGGAAAUUCAUUCAUCACUCAGGAAGUUUCACUACUCUCCCUUUUUUAUUUUUAUAUUUUUUCUACAUAUCUAUCUUUGUACAUUGAGGGCAAUGUACAUCUUAAGUGUGGGGGGUAUUCAUUUUUAUAUUAGAAAAAUCCCUGAAUGAUUGCCUUGUUCUCUUGAAAAGCUCUCAUAUCAUGUUUAGGAUAAAUUUUGAUUGAUUUAUGAUUUUUAUUGAUAUAUCUUAAAUUAAAACAUAGACAUUCAUGCAUUGAUUUUUUUAAACUUUAAGACAUUAGAGAAUUUAGCAUGAUAAGUUGAUUUUUAAGAAUUUUAAGUCGUUUCCCCAAGUUUAGGUAUUAUCUUGAGUUGGAAUUCACAAGUUUAAACAUCAAAAAGCCAUAAUUUUUGUGAGAUCUUGAGCCUUUAGAGCAUCUUUUAUUUCUUUCAUGCUCACUUUCAUUAUUAGUGCGUCAGUAUUGAAUUGUUAUUCUAGAACUUGCUUGAUUAUGCAUGUCAAGACCACACCGUUUGAUUUGAUAUGUCAGAAUGAUAAAGGCACUUAGGUUUAACCCACUCACUCUAUAAAAGCUUACCUUCACAAUUAACCCUUAGUGAACCCCCUUGAGCCUAACAACCCAUUCAUUGAUUUACCCUCAAUAUUAACCCAUAACUCAUUAUUGUUGAAAUCUUCUAAAUUAAUUUGAUCCCUAUUUUUGUCGAGAUUUGAGUUAAUAAUUGCUUAGCUAUGUUUUAUUCUAUUUUGUAAUUUGACUUGUUCUUAAAAAAAAUGUAUACAUAUUAGUGGUAGUGAUCUUCUGAGCUAAAGAAGUUAAAUUCCAUAUUUUGAGAAAAAGCUCUGUUGUACGCAAUUAUUGACUAGUCAUUUUUCUAGUUAGGCAAUUUUUUAAUUCAAUCUCGAUUCUAACCCUUUCUUUCAAUUUGUGACCACACCCUCUAACCAAAACCACGUUACAACCCUCUAAAGACCUUUUGAUUGAUGUUUCAUCUCAAUCUAUAAUGGUGGAGAUUUGAUUUUCAUGCAAGCCUAUGGUAAUGACUUUUCAUUAUUGACUAUAGAGUGCUUCAUUUUAUUGUCCUUAAACACCUCGAGUGCUUUGAGUGAAUCUUUAGUGAGGAUGUGAAACUCUGUGGUAUUUUGAAUCAAAGGUAAUUACUUAAAUGAAGGGAGACACAUAUGUUUUCAUGAUAAAAUGCUCAACUUGGAAUGUUUGAAACUUUGAUGUUCUUUCAGUUGAAUUUUCAAUGUAUAAUUACCUAUGGAUUAUUUUGAGAUAUUAUCGAUAGAAAUUAUAAGUUGAGAAGAAUUUAUUUUGAUUAUGAGUUGAAGAUUUUGCUUGAGGACAAGCAAAUGCUUAAGUGUGGGGGUAUUUGAUAAAUCGUAAUUUAUACAUAUUUUUAUCCCAUGCUUAGCACAUUUUAUGGAUGAAUUUUUCUUAAAUUUGGUGAAUUUGAUGCUUCUAAUGCCUUAAUUUCAUGUUUUAUACUUAGGUGAGCAUAGGAGAGUGAAAGGAACGAGAAACGAGCCAAAAACGGAGAAAAUGGGCCAACGUACAAAAUCAACACGGCCUGGACCUCCUCACACGGGCAAACCACACGGUCGUGUCAAUUUGGCAGAAUCGAAGCACGACUCACACGAGUGGACCACACGGCCGUGCCUAUUUAAUAGGCUUGACCACGGCCUGAAGUAAUCGCACACGGGCGCAUCUCUACCGAGCCCAAGUUGAGUCCAAUUCGGAAAAGGUUAAUUUUGAGGGUUCUUAGACAUUCUAAAGCCUAUAAAUACACCCUAGAGGAGGAGGAAAGGGGACACACAGAGAAGGAAGUAGGGAACUACUCAAGGAAAGUCGAUUGAUCCAUCUCAGAAGCCGGAUUCAUCAUCAAGACUGAAGAUCUCCCCUGAAUUUCCCCUAGGAGUUUUGGGUUUUCUUUAUGUUUUGUAUUCAUUAUUCUUCUGAGAUGUUUUCCUUUUUAGUUAUGAACUAAAUCCCCUAAAUACCAAAGGGGAAUGAAACCUAAGAUAAAUCUUGUUAUUAUUUUCUGAAUUGUAUGAUAAAUAUUUGACUUGUUCUUAAUUAUGUGUUCUUAAUUCUUGUUUUGAUAUUCCAGGAUAUUGAUUCAAGUUAAGCUCUUAUUCAGAGGAGGAAUAGACCCUAUCUAAGAGUACGAUUGUCAUAAUUAAGCGGAGUUGAUUGCUCGUCUAGAGAUAGGGCGAUAAGAUUUUGCCGGAUUAGGGUGAAACCUAAUAAGGGGAUCUAUAGAUCAGGUUAAUGCAACCCUAGGAAGUUAAUUAGAAAGAGAUUUCAAUUAUUCAUGUAAUGCCCCGAACCCAAGACCAUCACCAGAGUCGAGCACGAGGUGUUAACGGACUUAAUUCAUUAAUUAAACAGCUCAAACAAUUUAUUUUAGAACUUCUAGACAAGCUGGCUAACUGCAUCAUAGUCGCUUGAAAAUUCAUAUCUUGAGUUACAAAACUCGAAAUCCAAUUCUGUAAAUUUUCCCUAAAACUAGACUCAUAUAUCUAUCAACUAAUUUUUUUUUAGAAUUUUUGGUCGGGCAAAAUAGUACAUUUUAUUAGUUAAAAUCUCCCAUGUUUAAGGGAUCAACUAUUCUGACCCCUGUGUAUUACGAAUUAAAUAUCUCCUUGUACAGAGUUUAAAUUAUUAUGCCAUUUGUUUCUAAUAAAACUAGACUCAAUAAGAAAUCUGUACAUUUAAAGAAUGACUUCUAAUUAUAUUUGUACAAUUUUUGGUGAAUUUCCAAAGUCAGAAUAGGGGAUCCAGAAAUCGCUCUGGCCCUAUUUCACAAAAAUUUAAAUAUCUCAUAAAAUAUAACUCAUAUACUUGUUUUGUUCCAUCCAUAUGAAAAUAGACUCAUCAAGAUUUAAUUCUAUAUCUCAUUCACUAUCUAAAUCUAUUUCUACUAUUUUUAGUGAUUUUCCAAAUUCAUGUCAUUAUUGUUGUCUGAUACUGUUUUAAAGCUAAUUUCACCUUUUUCAUGAUUUCCAUGGAAUAACUAGCAUUUAGGCAUACAUAACACCAAACAUGUCCUUGAUUAGCCAUUCCAACAGCUAAUCAUUAUCAAGCAUUUACAUACCAUUCAUCAGCCAUAUCAUAAGAUCAUACACACAAAAUGGCUACGAUGCUAUACAUGCCAUACUCAAAAUGAAACGUCUAGCUAUACCAAAAUAAUCCUCGUGAUAGUGUGCCCGGACCUCCGACGUACUUUACGAUCCCCGAGUUAGCUUGAAAAAAAUAUAAAAAGAAGGAAAAUAAAUGGGUUAAGCAUUAAGCUUAGUAAGUUUGCAUGCAAAUAAAUAACAACAUUCAUAAGAAUUAUCUUACUACUUGGCAUGAUACUACUUAAUGCAACUUCAUUAAUUGUCAUAGACAUAUUUUAAAAUUCUUCACUUACUCACUUACUUAAAUACUUACUUACUUAAUCAAAUUUAUUAAUACAUUUUACUUACCUUUUUCCUUAUCAAGCAUACAUGAACAUUAUGUACUUACCUUUGCUCUUCUAGCAUGAACUUGUCUUACCUUUUUAGUAUAACUCGUCUUACCUUACCUUACCUUGAUAUUCUCUUUAAAUUUUCUCGUUGAACCACUUGGAAUACUAAGGAUACGCGGAUACCUUACCAUUGCCAUGACUUGUCAUGGUCUUACGUGGUAUCCUUUUGAAACUUACCAUUGCCAUGUCUUGACAUGGUCUUACAUGGUAUCCUUGCCUUAUGAACUCACCAAUGCCAUGUCUUGGCAUGGUCUUACAUGGGACCUUUGCCUUAUAGUAACUUAUCAAUGCCAUGUCUUAACAUGGUCUUACAUGAUUACCUUGCCUUAGAAACCUUACCAAUUGACAUGCCUUGGCAUGGUCUUACAUGGUAUCCUUAAACCCUAAUGUCAUGACAUUUGUAUCCUACACAUUCCUAAGGUUUAAUCGGGACUUUCUGAAAUUACUUCUCCAUCAAUUCAUGCUUGAGUAUUCUUUGAAUAAUUUCAUAAAAUAAAUAUACACAUGCUAGAAAUUAACAAAAUUAACAUAAAAAAUAGAAUAUUGCAUUUAUUUACCGCAAACUUACCUCGAAACAAAAUACGAUCAACUAUAUCGAUUUAGUCCACUAUCUUUUUCUUUCCUCGGUCUAACUUCGGAUUUUGUUCUUCUUGAUCUAUAAUAAAAAAAAUUUAGCUUAUUUAAUACUCACAUUUAUUAAAACAGUCCUUGACCCAAACUUUGGAAAAAUUACAUUUUUGCCCCUAAACUUUUAUUUACACUUUUUCCCCAAGGCUCAAAAAUUAAACUUCAUCCUAUUUUCUUAUGUUUUAUGACAUGCUGAUCAUUUUUCCCUUCUAUGACAACAUCAAAUUCUCACUCUAACAUGUACUUAUGACUAUUAGGUAUUUUUACCGAUUAAGCCCUUUUACUCACUAGUACUUAAUACCUUUGUGAACUAGAACACACAUUUUACAACUUUUGCAAUAUAGUCCUAAAUAUCAAAUUGGACCCUCUAUCGAUAAAAUUUCUAAAUGAAAUUUUCACACAAUCAUGCAAUCAUUCCAUAGACCUUAAAAUGAUAAUAAAAUAAAUUUUUCUACCUCGAAUUUGUGGUUUCGCAACCACUGUUCCAUUUAGGCCCUAUUUCGGGAUGUUACAAUUCAACCUAGGGUUAGACGCUGGUAGUCUCGAGAGAGAUAAUAAUAUAACUUAAGGAUUUUUACGGAUUAAGUCAAAUGAAUAAAUCAUCCGAUUCAGAGUAAAAUAACAAGUGAAGUCUAGGUGGAUUUUUCCUUAGGUAUUGUUUCAAUCAAUCGAGUUUUUCCAAAAGUAAUUCCUCAAUUCUAUUUCUGUGAUUUCUUAGUUUAGUUAAUUAGUUAGUUAAAACAAACCCCAUUAUUCUUAAGCUAGAUAAUAAGAAGACAGUCAUUACUAGUACUUUUAGUUUCUUUGGGUUCGACAAUCCUGUCUUGCUAAAACUAUACUACUGUUCGAUAGGUACACUUGCCUUCAUCAUGAUAAUAGUUAGUUUCAAGAACAAUUCAUUAUAAAUAUUUAAAACUUAUCACACGAAUAUCAAGACCACCCGUGUAACUAGACCGUGUGCCUCACACGGGUACCAGACAUGCCCAUGUGAACCAGCCGUGCCAAAACAAGGCAUACAUCCUGACUUUCACCCAUGGCCAACAGACACGCCCGUGUGCUAUGUCCGUGUGAUACAUAGCUAGCUACUGACUUAAGCCUACAGCCAUAUGUCACGCCUAUGUGUCUUAACCAUGUGGUCUUAAGAGGUUACCUCUUUGCAUACACAGCGACAAGGCACGCCCAUGUGCCCUGGCCGUGUGGCACAAUGCAGGCUUGGUUUAAGCCAAUUUGCCACCCCUUUUUGGGUUAUUCCUACCAGAAAUAUUAAACAACAUUCAUGCUACAAUUUCAGCCAAUUCAUACUUAAAAUGACCAAAUCAUAUUAGAUCAUAAAACAUUACAAGCAUACACCAUUUGGCAUCACCAACCGAAUACCAAAACUAUGCUCAAACAUAACAUUCGCUAGCCAACUGUCAUGGCAUAACAUAUAUACAUUUCAAAGAUUAAAUACAUAAACAUUCUUGCCUAUACAUGCCAUACUUAAAAUAUUUACACUUUUAAAAGUACCAAAAUGAGUUUGAUAGUGUGGUGACAAUCCUCAACUAUCCUCGAGCCUUCAGUAGCUACGAUAAUUGUAAAACAGACAGAAAUCACACAGAGUAAGCUACAUAGAGCUUAGUAAGCCAAAUACAAUUGGUUUAACUAUAAAAGCAUAUAAAGUGAAAGUCAAUAGCAUGAAUUUAUAGCCAUUUCACAGAGUAAUUCAUGAGCCUGAUCGUGCUCAUUUGCUUGUCUACAUGUCAUGCUUCAUUUCCAAAUUCCAUACAUACUUCACAUUCAUUGUUUCACAGAAACCGAGUCUUUCACAUUUAGAAAUUUAGUACGAUGGACAUGUACCAGUAUAGAUUAUACGUUUCAUAUAUUCAUUCCUGUAUCUCAUACUCUAUCAUCAGAUGGUUCAGAAACGAUACAGAUGCUCAUAAAAUGCCGACGUCCCAGAUGUGGUCUUACAUGUAAUUUAGUAUCGAUGCCUCUGUCCCAAAUGGGUCUUACAAAAAAUCAGAUAAGAUGCCAAUGUCCCAGACAUGGUCUUACAUGUAAAUCUCAAAUCGAGGCCUGUGUCCUAGACACAGUCUUACACGAUAUCUCAGAUCGAUGUUCACAUUCCUUUAGAUACAUACAAAGGUUUUUAGAUACUAGCAUAUUAUUAGAAUUUAAUCGGAAUUCAUUCAUCAGGAUCUUAAGGCCUUCCAAUACAAAUUACAGUUUGUAUGCGCAGAAUUUAGUCAAUUGAACACAUAAUUGUAAUUUGACUUACCUCGUAUGGAUUUCGGACGAAACGAGUCGACUAUUCAACUAUUUUGGACUUCCUUCGAUCUAAAUCCGAUUUUCUUUGUUCUUGAUCUAUUAAAAUUAAAAUUCAACCAUUCAAUCAUUUAUUUCAUUCAAAAUAAUCCAUGAACACAAAUUUAGGGCACUUUGCAUUUUAGCCCUUACAUUUUCACACUUUGACAAUUAAGUCCAUUUUUCACAAAAUCACAAAUAUGAAAAAUUCACCAAGACUAUAGCUUGGCUGAAUAUACAUAGCUUCUAUACAAGUCCAAAUAACAUAUUUAUUUCACAAUUUAGUCCUUCAAAACCUCAUUUUCACAAAUUAGCCCAAAUAGCUCAAUUCCAUAAAAAAUUCAAGAACAAAACAUGAUAAUCUCACGUAUAAUCUUUCAUAAUCCAUAUAAAAACAUCACAAAGCUCAUAUAAUCAUCAAUGGAACAUUUCAUAAUCUUCAACAAAAAUAGAAAUUCAGACAUGGGUUUUGAAGAACACGAAGCAACGAUCACAAAAACAUAGAAAUUAUCAAGAAAUAACCAAAGUACAUACCUUAAUCAACCAAAUCAAUGACCGAACCCUAGGAUGGUCUUCUUCUUUCUAUUUUAUUGAUAUAUAUUCGGCUAUAUGAAGCAUAAUGGUUUUAUUUUAUGCUUUGGUUUUAUUAAUAUAACUUCAUUUUGCCCUUGACUAAUAAACAUUAAAACUUACCAAUUACAUGUCCAUAUUUGUCCACCAGUAAAACAAAUGGUAAAUUUGACAUACAAGGACCCUCACUUAAAUAAUACAAAUCAAAUAGGUACUUUUAACUUCUAGCACUCAGCUUUUUAUAUUUUACGCGAUUAAAUCCUUUUUCAUAAUUAAGUACAGAAACAGACAAAUUAAAUCACAGAAACUUCGUAGAUAUAAAUUCACAUAUCACAGACGCAGAAAAUAAUAUUAAAAUAUUUUUUCAGAAUCAGUUACGUGGUCUCAAAACCACUAUUCUGACUAGGGUCACAACCGGACUAUUACAACACAACACUCUUCAAUUUCUAAGUAGGAGUACAGUCAAGGUCUCUCAUAAUACGCUCUAUAGCCUUGAGCCAAUAUUCAGCCACAAUAAGAGCAACUCCUAUAACACCCCUGAAAAUUUCAACACCAUUCGACUGGAUUCGUUCAGUAAUCGACCCUUAGCCUCCCGAUCUCGAAUGUGUCCCAACGACUCUCUCUAGUUCCUGAAUCAUGGCCUGGGAUAGUGUGUCGUCCCUAGCAGUCGGAGUCUGGGACUCCAUCUUAGCAGUGGGAGUACCAACAAUCUUACUGGUCUCUAGGUUGGGUAUGCUAACCAUGAAGGAUGACUCGGCUAGCGAUCCUCCUUGGCGUCAUCGAUGCCCCCGCAUACCAUGAUCACGACUACCGCGUAAACUCAUUCUGGCAAUUCUAGCUACAAUAUCAGAGUACACAGAUCAGUUCAGACAUCCAGUAGGAUGAUUUCACUAGUUCGCAUCAAACAAUUUACCCAUAAUAGUUCAAUAGUUAUGAUAUUUAUAAUAUAACAUAAUUAUUUACAGGGUCAGCGUCGGAGGCUCGGUUGUUCACUAAAGUUUUAGUGUUUCUCUUAUUAGUUCAGAUACUAAUUAUCACUAAGAUACUUUUCUCACAAUUUAUGAGCCCAAACACGGUCCGAUGUUGACUAACUUGGCUUUGAUACUACUAAAUGUCUAGACCAAAUUGGAGAGUUACAUCACCUGUACUAAAAUUAAUACUAUCAUAGCACAAUCAAAUUGAACCAUUCGCCACGCAAUAUUCAUCACAACCAUAAUUUAAAACAUAUAACCUUCAUAAAUUCCAUAAUAUCAUAAAACAUAGAUCCCUAAUAAUAAUGCUUAAAAGGAAGGAUAGAAGUGUAACACCCCGUACCCGAGACCGUUGUCGGAAGCGACCACGAGGUGCUAACAAACACAUUUCAUGUAUGUUCACAGUCCAUUUUAAAAAUUUCCAGACAGCUCGCUAACUGCGUCACUGUCACCUUAAAAAUCAUAUCUUGAGUUCCAAAACUUGAAAAUCAGUUUCGUAAUUUUUCCCUGAAACUAGACUCAUAUAUCCAUCAACAAAUUUUUUUCUAGAAUUUUUGGUUGAGCCAAUUAGUACAGUUUAUUAGUUAAAGUCUCCCCUGUUAUAGGGUUCGACUACACUAACCUUCCUGCAUUGUGACUUAGAUAACUCCUUAUACAGGGCUUCAAUACUUAUGCCGUUUGUUUCUAAUGAAACUAGACUAAAAAAGGAAUCUAUACAUAUAUGGCAUGACUUCUAAUUAUCUCUGGUUAAUUUAUAAUGAAUUUCCAAAGUCAGAUCAGGGGAUCCAGAAAUUGCUCUAGCCCUAUCCCACGAAAACUUAAAUAUCUCUUAAAAUACGACUCAUACGACCGUUUUGUUUCUUCCAUAUGGAAGUAAAUUCAUCAAGGUUCGAUUAAAUAAUUUAUUCACUAUUUAAUUCCAUUCCUACUAUUUUUAGUGAUUUUUCAAAUUCACACCACUGCUGCUGUCAGCAUCUGCCUUUAAGGUAGACUUUACCUAUUACAUAGUUUCCAUGAUUCAACUAACCCUUUAGCAUAUAUAGCACAAAGUAUGAUCGUGAUUAACCAUUCCAAUGGCCAAUCAUUUCCAAGCAUAUCCACACCUCUCAAUAACCAUAUACAUACAAAAUGAUUAUAACAUUAUGCUCAAAUAUAUAUAUAAGCCAUUUUCGCAUGGCUAUCCAAAUUUGUACAAUACCGAAAGGUACAUGACCAACAUCAAAAAGGGUAGUCCUAUACAUGCCAUUUCAAAGUUCAACCAAAAGAGUACCAAAAGGGGGCUUUGAUAGUGUGGACGACUUCGACUUCAACAAUCCCCCGAGUCAGAUAGCUGACGAACCAAAAUCUAUAAAACAGAAAAUCAAAGAAACGGAGUAAGCAUUUAAUGCUUAGUAAGUUUUGAGCCAUGAAAUUAGACACAACUAAAGUAUAACAUUCGUAUGGCUAAACGGAUAAUUUCAUAUGCACAAAUUCUCAAUAUCAUACUUACUUCACAUUACCGACCCUUAUAUUCAUACACAAAGGAUCAAUUUAGCCAAAGGCCGGUAGCUCAUUUAUCGACUGAGCGAAUACUAUUUGUAAGGAAUCAACCAAUUCAAUGCAUAUACGAAACAUACCUCAUCGCUGGGAUUUUACGAGCGUAUUAAUUGAAAUUAUUACAGCAAGUUCGCUCAUUCCCAAGCCAGGUACCUUCGGGAUUUAACCGGAUAUAGCUACUCGCUCGAAUGCCUUCGGGACAUAGCCCGGAUGUAGUAACUCGCACAAAUGCCUUCGGGACUUAGCCCGGAUAUAGUAACUCGCACAAAUGCCUUCGGGACUUAACCCGGAUAUAGUAACUCGCACAAAUGCCUUCGGGACUUAGCCCGGAACUAGUCACUAGCGCAAAUGCCUUUGGGACUUAGCCCGGUUAUCAUCCGAAUAUUCACGCACAUAUCAAUAGAUCAUGACACAUUUAUAUCUCAUUUUCAUAAUUAGAGUUCAAACACAAGUCACGUAUUAAGCAUUAACAUUUUCAGCUCAAAAGCUACAUACAAAGGGCAUGAUUUUGAUUUGCUUAUAACAUAAUCUAAUCGAAUCGUAAUCUAAGUUUCAUUACUCGAAAACUUACCUCGGAUGUUGUCGAACGAUUUCGGCGGCUAUUCGAUCACUUUUUCCUUUCCCUUAUCUAACUUUGGUCCUCUAAGCUCUUGAGCUAAUUCAAACAAAUUUAACUUAUUAAAGUCUCAUUAUGCUAGCUUAUGGCCGAAUAUGACAAGAAGUUUGAUAGGUCAUAUGGCCACUUUUAGCUCAAAUACAAAACGGUCAUACGCAUUUUUAAUCGCAUUGAGUAAUUUAAUACAAUUAAUCUAACAUUUCCUCAUGUGCACCUUUAUGACCGAAAACACACAUCAUUAACCUAAUAUCAAUUACUAAGCACUUUAGCAAUUUCUCCUUGAGCCGAUUAUCCAAGUCAAGAUAGAUUCAUCAUCAUGCUUACCUAUAACCGAACACAUGCAACACCAAUCCAUCUAUUCAUUCAUGCGUGCAUCUUAUUCAAGCAUGUAUAUCUACAACCGAAUUCAUCAUAUAAAUGACUAUGAAUUUACUCAAACAAUCUCAAUACCACACAUGGUGCUCAAGCCCUUUUUCAAUUUCAAAACUCGGCUAGUACAACUAUAUACACUAGUAAAUCAAACACUAACAAUUGCACUUCACCUUACUACCAUUUCUCAUCCAAAUAACGUGAACAACAACCAUAUUUCUCUUCUACUUCCUACCAUGGCCGAAUGCAUCAAAACACCAUACCAUUUCAAUUUUGGUCAUGGUUAAACAAAGAACUUAAUGUCUAACUCAAAAAUGCUAAAAAGAAAAUUUAAAAGUCAUCAAUCCACCUUCACAUGUAUCCUUACAAAGCUUCACUUUUAGCAUGCAAAUGACAUCAACACCAAUCCACCUUAGCCGAAUAUCAUCUCCAUGGCAUAGCAAAGAUUUGAACCAUGGGCUAGGUAGAACUCAAGCUAACAACUAAAAGCAUGCAUGAAUCUCAUGGAACAACAUCAACAUACCUUAACCUAGAUACAAGUAUGGCCGAACCUCUUCCUAAUCCUCUUCCAAGCCGAACAUGAAGCAAGAGAGCACCUUCCUUCUUCCUUCCUCCUUAGAACUUUCGGCCAAAAAAUGUAAAAGGAUGGACACUUUUUUUUUCUUUGUUUUCAUCAUUUUCCCUUCCAUUAUUUUAUUACCAUGCUCCUUAUUUUAUCAUUCCUCCCAAGAAACACCAACAUAACAUGUUUAUGACAUGUUUUUCCCAUCACACUUUGUCCACCCUAUUUGUCAUGGCCGGCCACUACUACUUAGGGGGAAAUUGACAUGCAAGUCCACCCUUUUUAUUACAUGCACUAAUAGAUCCUUAUGUUUUGACCUACCACAUUUCAAAAGUGUUACACAUAAGUCCUAUUGACUAAAUUCACAUGAAAUUUACUAAAUCGAAGCUUAAAACUUUCACACAUUCAUAUUCACAUAUUUUAGACAAUAAAUAUCAUAUUCAAAAAAUUUGGUGACUCGGUUAACGGUCCCGAAACCGCUUUCCGACUAGGGUCACUUUAGGGCUGUCACAAGAAGUUUGACCGAGCUUCCGCGACACUGACCUGAUCAAGACUGGGUACUACCUGAAAUCCAAUCAAUAAAUGGGUGAGCUAUGAACUCAGUGCGAAAAAGGAAUAUAAUUCAACAAUGGUUAUUAAUAAAGAAUUUCAAAUUCAGAUAUUCAAUUGAAGUAGAAGCAUGUUCAAUUAAGAUUCAGAGCAGAGUGGUACAUAUAUGUACAUAUAUACAAUUCCAGUUCAUGUAUGGUUAAGAUCUGAUUCAGAUGUAAUAUUCCUAUUUCCGUCUGCUACAUAUCAUCUUUAGCCAUCUGAACACACUACUAUGGACAUUUAAUGCCCAUCCAUCCCUGCACACCUUUAGAGUGUUCAAUGACACUUUCACAGAAACGUAGCUUAGUUGCUAAUUUAAUAUGCGACAAGUGCCAGAAUCAGAGUAAUACUCAUUAUGGCAUAGCAACAAUUUCAGCACAUAUAAUAUUAUUACUUACGAAUCAGUUCCAAUGUAUCAGACAAUUCUCAUAUAAUCAAUUUUAAUUACCCUUCCAUUGAGGAAACCAAUAUCAAGGUUAUGUAACAUUUUCGGCCUCAAAAGACAAUUUUUGGCCUAAUUAUCAGUUAAACGGUAGGGUCACACGCCUGUGUGCCCUGGUCGUGUGGUUUUAAAGCAUAAAGAGUGAGUUACACGGGCCAGACACACGCCCGUGUCUUUGCUGGACACAUGUCCGUGUCCUUACCCGUGUGAUUUACACGGCCUGGGUACACACCCGUGUUCUUGCCUGUGUAGCUUUUAUACCCUAACAGCAAGUUACACGACCUGGGCACACACCCGUGUCCUUGGCUCUGUGGUCUCAAUCGACAAAAAAUGAGUUACACAGCCCAAACACAAGCCCGUGUCUGUUGCUCGUGUGAACCCUACACCAAUAUGCCUAUAUAUGGCCUAGACAUACGUCCGUGUGUUCACUCGUAUGGCCUUAAUUUAACAAAUAGUGAGUUACACUACCAUUCACAUGGCCUGCCACAUGCCUAUGUAGCUCACACGACCUAGUUACACGCCCGUGUGUCUGGCUUGUGGCUCCGGCAGCCACUAUUUUUGGUGGUCGAAACUUGCAAAACUAUGGUUUCCGAUAUGCACCUGGAAAGAUUUCAAAGUGACAAAAACUUUACAGAUUCUCGAGGCUUAAAACAAGCGUUCAGUAGCACAAUUUAGCCAAUUAACCAACAAAACUUCCUAAUUACUCUCUUAAUACCUAUGUCAAAAGUUUCGACACGAAACCUUCAGAUAUCCCAAACUUAUCGAAACUUUAGCAACAAUUACAGAAAUUGUCUUAUUGCUAUUCCUUGUUGUUAAUAGCCCUGCUUGCUAAGUAAAUACACACUCGUUUAGAAAAGAUUCUCGAAACUCACAAAAAUUCUCCGUUCUAAAUAAUUUACAAAACGAAAGAAAAUUCAUAGAGAAGCUCGCAUUGACAAUUACUUACCGAUAGCCUUCUGACCAGUGACUAAUAACAGAACUUCCAUUAAUCCCGUAUCCCCUUACCACUUCUGGUUAACAAAAAAAAUAUAAAAACGAAAAAGAAGAAGAACAAAAAUAAAAAUGGGAAGGAAGAAGAAGAAACUAUUGUUAAAAUUAAUUCCUUAACUUCCAAGUAGAUUUUUGACAUAUAACAAAAAUAUUUUCCUAAAGCAUACGAUGGUAUUUGAACUCGAAACUCGACAGAAUAUAGACAAAUGUUUAACCAGUGAACCAGCAAGCUCAUUCUUGUCAUAAUUUCACACCGAAUCGAACUUAAGCGGUUAAGGCGUGCUUUUAGGUUGAUUUCAAAACUAACAAAACUUUUAAUAAUGCGACUCAAACUCUAGACCUUAAACUUAUUCGCAGAAUACAGAACCACAGAUACAGAAAUUAAUUACUGCAGAAUCUCACAAUUAAAUUCUUAAAAUUUUGGGGCGUUACAAGAUCUCUUCCUCCUUCACAAAUAUCCCAACCUAUGCAAAUGUAGAUUACAGAUAUCAACAACAUGUGUUCAGUCAUUCCAAUUCAAUUCAUAAAUAGUUAAUACAGAUUAGUGUCAUUAAUAGUGAUCACAACUUAUAUACAUUUAUAUACUUUAUAUCUCAAUCUCAUAGUAUCAGAUAGUCCUCAUACAAUUAAAUUUAGAUCAUAGAUACAUUGUGGAGGCUAGUACUCGAGUUAGACAAUACUCAUGACUUCAAAAAUAAGGUUCGGACCCUAUUUAAAUGCGACAUGGCCUCACACAUACCCAUACCGUCUGCUCGUGUGGUUCUAAAUCGUAAACAGUGAGUCACACGACCUGGACACCUGCUCGUGUCCUUGCUCGUGUGAUUCACACGGCCUAACCCUCACCUGUGUCAUCUGCCCUUGUAAGUUUAAAUCGCAAAUAGAGUGUUACACGGCCUGGACACACACCCGUGUCCUUGCCCAUGUGACUCACACAACCUGGGCACAUGCCUGUGUCCCUAGCCGUGUGGUCCUAAUUCAUAAACAGUGAGUUACCCGGCCUAGACACAUGCCCGUGUGAACCAUGGAUUAAUAUAGCCACACACGACCUGGACACACUGCGAACCACAAGAUCUACCACACGGUUGUGUGGCGUCGACAACCACAUUUUUCGACAUCCAAAAUUCACAACAACAAGGGUUUUUGGUACGUACCUGCAAUAGUUUCAGAGUAUAAACAACAUAAAAGAAUCCUAGAACCUAAAACAACCAUUCAAUAAUCAAUUAUACAAUUAUUCUCAAAUCAUCGCUAAGAUCGACCUAUCGCCAAAAUUUUGUCGAAAGUUUUGACACAACCCCAACUCAAAUUCGUACACUUACCUCGCACGUAUCAAAAGAAAACCAGACUAACACGACGGAGGAGUGCCUCCCGUAAGCCGUUCUCCUAAAAAGGUAAGCAAUUGAACAUUUAAACAGAGGAUUCAAGUAAAACGAGCAAAAUCUCGUUUUGACAGAAUAAACGAUAACGAGACGAAAACUCGCAGAAAUUGAAUAAGAUAACUACGAAACUUACACAACGAUCGCACAAACAACGCAAUGAGCAACAAAAGAACUCCCACUUAACACAGUAUCAAGUAUUGAAACAAGAAAAAAUAUAAAAAAAGAAAAAAAAACAAAGAAAGAAAAUGAAUAAGAAUAAGAAAAGGAAACAAAAAAAAGACGAUAGAAUUAGUUCAAAAUAAUUUAACCACAAACCAACUUUCCAAUGUUUAGCAAAAAUAUUCCCCCAUCGCAGACUCAAGGAUUCAAACAUAAGACCAAACAAAAUAAAAUGUUUAACCAUUGAACCAAUAAGCUCAUUCUUAUUACAAGGUUACUUGUAUUAAACUUAUUUAUGUCAUUCAAGGAUAAAGGUUAUCUUUAAAUUAAAAUAAUAAAACUUCUAAAGAUACAACUUGAACUCUUAACCUUAGAGAUUUAAUUACAAUGAAAUUCAACAGUCAAUGUUAAAAUUUUGAGGUGUUAGAUACUCAGUAUUCGCUUUUUCUUUAGAUUAGAAGAAAAAUAGGGUUGUCUCUUAGUAUUGGAAAGGCCCCGUGUUCGAUGCUUGAACAAUACAUGGUUGAUUAAAAUAACUCGAUUCUUAACUUUCGUUUUUAUUUUACCGAAGAACAAAUUGGUGUUAUUCGACUGGUGUACAGUUGGGUGACACCAUGAGAUUAAGUGAUCUAAUUUAAAUGAUAUGCACAAUUGAGACUGUUAAUUAGAGUUGGAUUCUUCUCGUUUCGCAAGACUGUCAGUGACUUAAAUUGUCAGGAUGUUCUUGUAGUUAAUUUAUAACUAAAGAAGGAUUGAUACAAUAUGUCAAAUAUGAAGACUAAAUUUAUUAUUAUACCAAUUUUGGUACUAUCACCGCCGCAACUUACAUUUAACAAGACUUAGUAGAAAAAAAAAAACUAAAAUAGUUGAAGGGUGAUUUUGAAAGUUUCAAAAGUGAGAUGAGAAAAAAACAAACCAACCUAGAGUGCAAUUUAUCUAUUGUUUUAAUAAAAGUAUUGGUCCAGCUCAGUUGUACUCGAUUAUCAUCAGGCCCCCACCCUUUGCUGUAAAUUCUCCCUUGUGAUCUCCUCUACAUGGCCUUUUCUGAUUCGUCAUAGUAAAUCUGAAGCCCCGCUUUCCUCUCCUACCCUUCCUUUCCCUUUUUUGUAUUACUUUUGCGCAGCCAGUGGUACACCUUCGACGCAUCAAAAAAGAAAAAACCUUAAUUUAUUAUUGUAACUGAUGUGAUGAAUUCAAAGCAGAAAUGGAGUUCAUUAAUCCGAAUCCACGUCACCAAUCCUCGUAGUGUCGCAUGAAAUAAAUGGAUACCGUUGGAUAAACACCCCGCAAUAAGCUAUCCCUAGCCGUUGGAUUAUAGCUCCUACCAUUGUUCUUCUCCCUUUCCUUCCAUCUCACAGCCAAGUUUUCCCUUUUAAAUCCUAAAGCCUUCUCAACAAAAUUAACAAUUAACAGUUUACUACUUCGUCUUCCUCUCACUCUCUUUUUCGCUUUCUCUUAAAUAAUACGAAAGCUAAAAAGAAAAAGCUCUAAAUUUCAAUGGCGACCGAAGAAAUUAGUCGAACUCAAGGCCUCAAUCCUUCUCAACAAUCUUCUUCACUUCCAGACUACCCUCAGGUAGUUUGCAUUUCGUUGUUUGUUGGGCUUUUCCAGAUCAUUUCAUUUGAUGUUAACUUUUUUUAUUUUUCUGAUUUUACUGGAUAGAUGAUUUUGGAAGCCAUAGAGGCAUUGAAUGAGAAAGAGGGUUCCAGUAUGUCAUCCAUCGCCAAGCACAUCGACUCCACUCACUCCGAUCUCCCAGCGUCGCACUCCACUCUCCUAUCCCACCACCUCAACCAGAUGAAACAAAUGGGUCAAAUUGUUAUGUUGAACAACAAUUACACAAAACCCGACCCCAAUGCCCCACCCAAGCGUGGACGUGGACGUCCACCUAAACCCAAGGUUCCUCUUCCACCUGGCGUCGUCGUCUCUCCUCCCAGACCUCGUGGUCGUCCGCCUAAGCCGAAGGACUUAUUGGCUCCCCCCAAGCCCAAAUCCGUCAGCACCGGAAGGCCACGUGGGCGCCCACCUAAGAAGGCUAAGACUGGUACCGCCACUGCUCCUCCACCUCCUCCCGGCGUUAAGCGA
rnacentral:lncRNA from 1 species